CAAAUUUGAAGUCUUCAAAUUGCUCACUAUUUUUUUUCUUUUAUUUGGGAAAAGCUAAUGACUUUUUUUUUUUUUUUUGGUUGGGUUAAAUAUUUAGGUGGCGAGCUUAAGACUGCCAAACAGAAAGUUGAUGGAAUUGACAAAGAAAAAUUUACAUACAGUUAUACUGUACUUGAAGCUGAUGGAUUUAACGAUGUAAUCGAGAAAAUCUGUUGUGUCAUCAAAUUUGAACCCUCUGCUGAUGGAGGUUCAAUCUGCAAAACCACUAACACAUACUACCCCAAGGGUGGUGCACAGAUCAGUGAGGAACACGUCAAGGGAGGAAAAGAGAAGGGUUUGGGAAUGGUUAAGGCUGUUGAGGCUUACCUCCACGCAAAUCCUACUGCCUACAACUAAUUAUAAUGAAUGCUACUGAAGGACUCUUCCACAUAUUUUCUUCAAGAUUGAAGUAUAAACUGAGGGUGUCUGUUUCCUUUUUUGCUUGGUUUGCUUUAAGCUGUUUGGUUAAGUUAUUUGCAGCAAGAGAAUAAAAUAAUUCAUUUGCUGUUUUUAGAUAUGAAUUCAUGACUGUCAGUAGUCUAUAAAUACACUUAUUCCUCACCACUCUUUGCACCGCAAAAUCUUUUCAAGAUCCAUCAAACCCUCCUGUUCUUGAUCUUUCUCCAUUUGUGAAAAAACAAAUUAAAGCAUCAUGGCCCCUAUCACUUGUAGUGCUGAGAUGACCUCCCCCAAUCCCUCCUGCAAGGUUGUUCAAGGCCGCCAUCCUUGAUGACCACCUUGUUCCCGAGAUCAAGCCACAGGCUAUUAAGAGUGUGGAAAUCCUUGAAGGAGAUGGUGGGUUUGAACCAUUAAGUUGAGCACAUUUGGUGAAGGUUAGAUGUUAUAUUAAAUGUAGAACCCAAAUUUUAAGGAUCUAAUAAUAAUCAAUGCGUGCAGGGUUACAGAAUUGGAGGGAUAAAACAAAUACUCAAAUAAAUGUGGAAGAAAAGAAAAUAAUAAAUUCAACUCACAAAAUUAUUGAAAUUUCAAACAAUGAAAAAAAUCAUACCUUAAUAAAUUCAGUUGGUUUUAAUAAUAAUCAAAGCAUACAAGGUUAAAGAAUUAAAAGGAUAAAACAAACACUCAAAAUAUAUGUGGGAGAGAAGAAAAUAAUAAAUUCAACACACAAUAUUAUUGAAAUCUCAAACAAUGAAAAAAGUCACACCAUAAUAGAAAAUCUUGCAAAUUCUUCUAGAUUCUUUCUCUUGAGAAACCAACCUAAAUAAUGUUCUAUUUAUAAUCUACCAAACUUGUUAGGAAAGAAACCACUUGCAUAAGAAAUUACCAAAUAAAACAGAAAUUCCUAAAUCACACAACUACUAAAAACAUAACUCAAAUAAAACUAAAAAAUAAAUAAAUUUUUCUUGGCUUAGUUUAAUUUGUUAACAUUGCCUCCCUUAAACCAAACUAUCCAUUGAGAUAUGUUCAACACCAUCUCGAGUAACAAUUUCUAUGCAAAUCUAUGUUGUAGUAUACUUGACAUGAAACUCUAACUUGUUACCAGUUAUUAAUUUCAUCUUUACACGUAACAGUGGACGUACUAUGUAUUUUGUAAAAAAUUUCUCAACAAUUUCUUCUUGAUCAAAGUACUCAUUUAUACAAACCCAUUCAUCACCAGAAUCAUCAUAUUUACCACCAAUGUAAGUUCCUAAAAAUACAAAAUCAUUGCUUGCUUUCUCGCUAAAAUUAUCAUAACCAAAUAAUUUAAAAUAGCCACUACUACAAUCAUCCAAAAUUUUCAUACUGUCAGUCAACUCUUUUGGAGUAAAAUAUUUUUCAACUAUAAUGACAUCCAUAUCUAUCAAAUCAAGCAUUCUCCCAUCACUUUGAAGAAAGUCCGAACCAACGAAUUUUUCAACAACAAUUUCAUGAUCUCUUCUCUUAUCAAGUCAAAAUUUUCUUCUUCUUUUGUCAAAUUACCAUAUUAUUGUUUCAACAAAUUCAUUACUUCUAAUUUCUCCAAACAAGGUACGCAAAUCAAAACUAUCAAUUGAUUCAAAAUUUUCGAUAUCACCCAUAUUAUCAACAAAUCUAUCAUUUUUAAAAUCCACAAACCAAUACCAACAACUAGACUUCGGUUUGAAAGCAUAAUUUCUCUCAAUCGUGUGCAAAACAAAGUAAAUAUCCUUCCAAAAUCUCUAAAGUAUUUUAGUAUGACCAAUAAAGGUUUUAUAAAUACUUUCUGCCAUUAUUUUACACAUCACUUGAAAGAAUAAUUGUGCUUUUUUUCUUAAAAACAUGUUUUGCCAACUUACUUGCAUCAACCCAACAAAGAAUAUCAUCCAAAUUACAUUGUUUGAGAUAUUUUUCCACUGUUAAAAUUCAGCCAAAAUAUGUAUGUCUAUUUGUGUUUAUAGGAGUCAAUAUGGAAAAUUUUUCACCAUCAAUCAGAUCUUUAUAAUAUUCCAUUAUUUAACAAUUUGUAUACCUGAAUAAAUUUUUUUCCUCCAUCCUGUCAUGUUUUCUUGGCCUCCUUGGUUGACUGACCAAAUUAUUGUUGUAUGUAUACCCAUGCUUGUCAAACCUCAUUCGUGUACACUCGUAAGGAGUGGUUUUGAGCUUACUGUGAAUGCUUAAUACCAAGAAGUAGAAGAGAGAAUGCAUAAGAGAGAAUUAACUUGGCUAAAGAAUUGGGAAGCAAUUUAGGGAUUUUUUAAGAAAUUAAUUCUCCAACCGCCACUUUUGGAAAUUUCUAUCAACAACUAGUUACCAAAACACUAGGACAGCGAUCCGUCUCUAUUUUACUCUUCAAGUCUUCGCCGGGGAAGCAACCCGGCCUUGCGAGACUAUAAUGAAUAGGCACUUGCCUUCUGUUUUUACUUUUUUUUUGUUCAAAGACUAUAAUGCCCUUAUUAUUUGACUGCGCAUCUCGCAAGAUAAUGCUUUCCAUCAAAAUUAACUGUUGGGUUUGACAGAAGCGCCACGAAUAUUCUAUUUUAUUAGAUCCAGAGUCAAAAUUUUACCGUUAAUUGUUAGAGGGUUAAAACUUUAUCUGGAAAGGAGUUGGAGGGCCAUUGGAACUCUUUUUCCAAAAAAAAAAAAAAGUCACUUUUGUCAUUUGUCCAAGAACAGUUCUGGGGCCAUCUCGACAGUAUAUAUUUUUCUUACAUGCCAAGACAAUUAAUGAAAAUUGACCAAUAACACACGCACACACACACACACACACACACACUCUCUCUCUCUCUCUCUCUCUCUCUCGGUUGCUGCCAAGUCUUUCCAUUGAAAAAGGAAAAUUCAUAUUGUUUACAUAGAUAAAUUACCUCCAGUCCGUGGAAUGUCUUGAUGUUAGGUGAGUUCUAAUAUUUUGGUAUCAUCUAGAGGUGGCAAAUCAACCCACUUAACUAAAUUUACCCAUAUCCGCCCAUGAAUAGAUGGGUAUGGAUAUCUUAAAUUUUUGUAUAUGAGUAUAAAUGGGUUACCCAAUAAUACCCAUUUAAAUGGGUAACCCAUCAAACCCAAUUAACCCAUUUAGAAUUCUCUUCCCCUCAAGUCUCUUCUUUUCCCCCACCUUUUUUUUUUUCAAAUUUUUCAUUUUGUCAUGAUGUUAACUACUUUUGUUUUAUUAUUAUUAUUUGUUGGUUUUAUCUUAUUAUUUUAUUUUCUCUUAGUUUGUUAACUUACUCAUUUUUUACCAUUACCAAUUUAUGAUAAAUUUUAGCCUAUUUUCUUAUCUUUAUAAAAUGAAAUUUUAAAUUUAUAUAUGAAAAAAAUGUUAGGGGUUCAAAAAUUUUGGAUUAAGUUUUUAUAUUAAUUUUUAUAGUACUUAGUUCAAAAUUUUAUAUUCUUAUUAUUCAAUUAUUAAAUAAUAGGUAAUUUUGUGACAUAGAGUAUAAAUGAAAAAAAAUUGGUAAUUAAGUUUAUUGAACAUUAUAAGUAAAUAUUUAAAACUAAUGAUGGGUAUAAAGAGUGAUAUAAAUUGAUAACUUAGUUUGCAAAAAUGAAUUUAAAUGAGUUUGCAAAAAGUUAAAAUAAAUGGGUUAUAAAUGGGUAAUUGGGUUACCCAAUUCAUUUUUUGACUUGCCUAUUUAUACCCAUAUAAUUAAAUGGGUAUAAAUGAGUUGACUCACUUAUACCCAUUACCCAUUUUACCCAACUCAAACCCGCCCAAGUCACCCAUUUUGACACCUUUAGUAUCAUCUAAUGUUCAUUUGUGAAAGAUUGAGAAAUGAUAAAGAGCAAAACACCAAUUUAUUCCAUAAAUUAUUUUGCUAAAAUCAAAAUAGUCCAUAAAUUUUCUUUUGGCCAAAUUUUUGUCAUGAACUUUCAGAAACGGUUGCAGGGGAUUUCAUCCGGAUUGCUUGUGCAGUUGAGUAACUAUACAGAAAUUCUUUUUGGGAUGCUGAGUAUCUUAGGAUGGGUACAAUGAUCGCUUAGAUCAGUAGAGAUGAUUGAUGAUGUAGUAGGGGAAGAUUCCCUUUAUAAAGCUGAUUUUCUCAUGAUUAAUAAGAAUAUAAAUGUUACCAAAUUUUCUUUUCAAAUGUGUAACGAAAAUAUUGGCCAUGAUCAGCAAGACCUCCUUAAUUAUAAAAGUUUCUUGAAUGUCAUCAUCCAAUUUGUUUAAGCGAGGAUUUUUAAAUGCUAUCUUUAAGCAAAUUGAUUUUUGUAUUAUAGAUACUUACUACUAUUACUUCAUACCUAGCUACAAACCUCAUGUAUGUUUUAGUUUUAAUCCAGAACAAAUCAGGGCCACGGGCCACCUUGCACAUAGCGAGAGUGGAAAAAUAAAACUACACAAUUGCUUUUUUGAAGCCAGUGACUCAACUGAUUUUGCGCUCGGCAAUUCAUCCGAUUUUCAUUAAAAGGGCCCUAAGAGGCCAUUGGCGUUUUGGGCCUGUGAAAAUUUGGAUGAUUUGGUGUGUCCAAUGCAUGUGUAAGCACAAAUUUUGUUGUCUAAAAUAAAAGACAAGAAAACUUACAUAAAUAUCAAAUUUAUUAAAUUAAAUAACAAGAGGGUUACAAUAUUUGAAAAUUUUUGAAUCAAAGAAAUUAAUCUCCUAAUUUUUAUCUUCAAAAGGCUUUAAUCGGAAGGCCAAAAAGGCUUGUUCUCCGAUCAAGAGGGUGUUUUCUAUGAUUUCUAUGUAAAAAACGGCUGCUUUGAUGAUGACGUUAAUAUUUGAAUCUUUAAAUCUUCAACGCCGAUGGAAGGAGGAUUUAUUUAACUUAAUUUGGAUUUGGAUUUGAAUUUGAGGGAAAAAGCUCUCAAGAGAAUUUGACAAAGUUACUUUGAAAUUUAGGAAUUUUAAUGUAUUUUUGCCUUGAGGGAAGACCUUUAUUUAGAGUCAACAUAUGCAAGCUAUGUCUUCAAGAGAAUCCUUCAAAACCAUCUUGCGUUUGGGUAACUUGUACCUUAAGAAACCCAUUUAACUUGGAGUUAAAUAGUCGGCCGACCCAAAUAGUCAAUUGUGAAUUAACAAAUCAAUUAAAUCACUUUAAUUUAAAUGGGCAUCACAUUUUUUAUUUGAUUUAAUAGCUCAUAUAACAUUGGCUCAAUUUGUCAAUCCAAAACAUAAUGAACUUCUAUAAUUUAAUUUAAUUUAAUAAAAAUCAAUUUAAUUUACUUAAUCUUGCCUAAAAAUAAAUUAAAUAAAUUUUCGUUGUCUAUGUCCCCACUUCAAAACUUGGCAAGGCAUUGCAUGUUAAUUGCUGGAGGCAAGACUUGAAGUAGAGGUGUCAAGAUGGGUGACUUGGGCGGGUUGGGGUUGGGUAAAAUGGGUAAUGGGUAUAAGUGAGUCAACUCAUUUAUACCCAUUUAAUUAGAUGGGUAUAAAUGGGUAAGUCAAAAAAUGAAUUGGGUAACCCAAUUACCCAUUUAUAACUCAUUUAUUUUAACUUUUUGCAAACUCAUUUAAAUUCAUUUUUGCAAACUAAGUUAUCAAUUUAUACCACUCUUUGUACCCAUCAUUAGUUUUAAAUAUUUACUUAUAAUGUUCAAUAAACUUAAUUACCAAUUUUUUUCAUUUAUACUCUAUGUCACAAAAUUACCUAUUAUUUAAUAAUUGAAUAAUACGAAUAUAAAAAUUUGAAUUAAGUACUAUACAAAUUAAUAUAAAACUUAAUCCAAAAAUUUUGAACCCCUAACAUUUUUUCAUAUAUAAAUUUAAAAUUUCAUUUUAUAAAGAUAAGAAAAUAGGCUAAAAUUUAUCAUAAAUUGGUAAUGCUAAAAAAUGAGCAAGUUAACAAACUAAGAAAAAUAAAAUAAUAAGAUAAAACCAACAAAUAAUAAUAAUAAUAAUAAUAAUGUUAACAUCAUGACAAAAUGAAAAAUUUGAAAAAAAAAGGUAGGGGAAAAGAAGAGACUUGGGGGGAAGAGAAUUUUAAAUGGGUUAAUUGGGUUUGAUGGGUUACCCAAUAAUACCCAUUUAUUAAAUGGGUAUUAUUGGGUAACCCAUUUAUACCCAUAUACAAAAAUUUAAGAUACCCAUACCCAUCUAUUCAUGGACGGGUAUGGAUAAAUCUAGUUAAGUGGGUUGAUUUGCCACCUCUAACUUGAAGUAUUAAUUUUACUGCUGACUUAAAGUCAAACUAAAUUAAAGACUUCAAGCGUUCGGCAUACGGGUGAUCCACUUUUUUUUUUUUUUUUUUUUUUUUCCCUUUUUCUUUGGGAAGAGAAUGGUCCACAUCAAUUGAAGAAUUGCACCUCAAAGUCCAAUUGAAUAGGCAACGGUCACGGGUCUUCACUUUCACCUACUACUUGAAUAAAGCCUUGAAGCUCUUGAAUUUUCCAACUCUUAAUUUAGUCGUCAAUGGAAGUGCAGCCCCACAAUAUUAGACCACAACUUUGACCAGUAGAAAUUAGAAACUCCCAUUUGAUUAAGCGAUGUGGGCUCCUGCGCAGAAACUCCCAUAUGCUGAAAUUUGGAGUUUGCUCUUACGUUUCUGACCACCAAAUCUUGUUUUGGCACUUGGCAAUAUGGAAUUUGCUGAGUUUCAACACUUCCUAAACGGAACUUAAUGUAUUUCCAAAACCUAAGGGUGUGUUUGGAUCCCUUGUUUUUGGGACUGUUUUUGAAAAACUAUUUUUCACAUUCCAAAUGCUACAGUAAAUGUGGAUUAGUUAUUUUUGGGGUUAUUUUUUAAAAAUUAUAUGAAAAACUUUUACUGUAGAUGUUUUUUGGGUUAUUUUUAGAGGUAUUUUUAAAACAUAUUUUUGAGUAUUUUUAUAAUUUAUAAUUUUUAUACAUUUAUGCAUUUAUAAUACAUUUAUAAAUAUUCAUAAAUAAAUAUAUUUAUAUAAAAUAUAUAAAUUUAUUAUAAAUGUAUUAUAUUAUAUAUAAUGCAUAAUAUAAAUAUAUUAUCCCAUGUAUAAAUGUAUAUUAUUAUAAAUGUAUAAAUUAUAAAUGAAUAUUAUAUAAAUGUAUAAAUUAUAAUUUUUAAUUUUUAUAUAAAUAUACAUUUAUGCAUUUAUAAUACAUUUAUAAAUAUUUAUAAAUAAAUAUAUUUAUAUAUUUAUAUAAAAAUAUAUAAAUGUACUAUAAAUGUAUUAUAUUAUAUAUAAUACAUAAUAUAAAUAUAUUUAUAAAUGUAUAAGUGUAUAUUAUUAUAAAUGUAUAAAUUAUAAAUGAAUAUUAUAUAAAUGUAUAAAUUAAUAUAUUAUAAAUAUAUAUUAAUAUUAUGCAUAAAUGUAUUCAUAUUAUGUAUAAAUGUAUUAAUAUUAUGUAUAUUAAUAUAAAUGUAUAAAUGUAUGAUAUUAUAUAUAAUGCAUAAUAUAAAUGUAUAUUAUAAAUAUAAAUUAAUAUGUAUAUUAUGUAUAAAUGUAAAUUUAUAUAAAUUUAUAAUAUAUAUAAUAUAUGUUAUAUAUUAUAUUAUAUAUAAUUUAUACUAUUUAUGUAAAUAUAUUAUAAAUAUAUAAAAAUAUUUUUUAAUAAAAUAAUAUAUUUAUAAUAUGUAUAAAUAAAUAUAUAAAUAUUUAAUAUAUAAUAUACAUUAAUAUUACUUAUAAAUAUUAUAAUAUUGUAAAUAUGGUGUUUAUAUAAUAUUUCAAUUUGUAAUAUUUAUUGUAUAUUUCAUUAUAUAAAUAUUUAUAUAAUAUAUAAUAUAUAAAUAUAUAAUAUAUAAUUUUCAAUUUGUAUAAUAUACAUAAUAUUGUAUAUAUAUAAUAUACAUAAUAUAAUACAUUUAUACAAUAUUACAUAUUAUGUAUAUUAUAUAUUAUACAUAACAUUAUUAUACAUUAUUAUCCAAUACACAUUAUGUGAAAAAUUGGAGGAUCUGGUGUAUCCAAUGCAUGUACAUGUAAAUUUCAAACUGGUGAUACUUUUCACAAAGAGUUUUCAAAUAGUAAAAGUUCUGAAACAACGCAUUCACUGAAUGUGCGAAUCUGUCUUUUAAACAACGUAUUAAUAAAUAUAUCUUUUAAAAUAAAAUGUCUACACAAAUAAAAGAAUGAAUUCCGUGAAUGUGUCUUUUGAGGAAACAACACAUUUACUAAGUAUGUUUUUUCACUUUUUGGGAAGAAGUUUAAAAAAAUCACCCUUUGAAAGGUAAUUUUUAGAAAAUCCCACUUUUUGACAAUUUACUCAAGCUUGUACUCGACAAAAUGUGUUGGGAAAUUUGUGACGUCAGGUGAAUUGUAAAACUGUCGUGCCAUCGUAAUGUAUGUUUUGCACUAGAUUGAGUAAGAAUUAUAUCAAAACAGUCGGCCACAACAAUGUGAAAACUAGAUUGAGUUGUAAUAUUUUUGUAUCAUGUAAGGUAUAUUUGCAAUCGAUUGAGAAUAUAAUAUAUGGAAACAAUAGGUCACAAUGUUGAAAUGUCAAACCUCAUGUUUCAAAACAAAAACUUAUUAAACUCCUUCAUAUCGCCAACGAAUUUUGAUUCUGAAGUAAUAAUAGUUUUAUUUAAUUAUUUGCCUUUUUUUUGGAACAAUAUUAAAAUGUAGCCAUAAAUUUAAAUUCCAAAAUUGUUGAAUACUUGGGGAAUUCUAGAAAUGGCACUGGGAGUCAAAGUUCACCCUAUUCAAACGUCACCAGCCAUCUCAGAGUAGGGCUGCAAACGAGCCGAGUCAAGUCGAGAUUUAAGCUAAUCGAGCCGAGCCUCGACUCAAUUUUACCAAACUCGAGCUCGAGCUCGAAAAAAAAUAAAAAAUAAAUAUUUUAUUUAAAAAAAAUAAAUAAAAUAAUAUUUUUUUCUUAAUAAAUAAUAAAAUAUUAAGGACAUAUACGUAAUUUUACUAUGAAAAUAAAAAAUAAAAAAUAAAAAUAUAAUAUACGUAAUUUUAUUAUUAAAUAAAAAUAAAAAUAAAAAAUAUAUAUAUAUACCCAAGCAGCUUAAUAUUCUGAGCUCGAGUUUGACUCGAGUUGGCUCGAGCUCGACUCGAGUUCGAUUAACAUCGAGCUCGACUCGAGAUUGACUCGAGCCGCUCGCGAGCGGCUCGAUUCGUUUGCAGCCCUAUCUCAGAGUGCAUGUUUCUAUUGAGUUUCUGGAUCAAGGUGCAUCCAUUGCCAUUUUUGGCUGAUCAACCAUGACUAAGAGAAUUAAUUGAUUUGCUUGCCGUUUUUGCAAAAGGAUUCAUUACUUUCAGUAGUCUAUAAAUACUCUUAUUUCUCACCACUAAACCUCUUCAAGAACAACCAAAACCUUCCUGGAUUAAAUCCCUCUUGUUCUUAAAGUAUCAUGGCCCCUAUCACUUAUAGUUCUGAGAUGACCUCCCCAAUCCCUCCAGCUAGGUUGUUUAAGGCCGCCAUUCUUGAUGACACCCUUCUUCCCAAAAUCCUGCCACAGGCCAUUAAGAGUGUCGAAAUCCUUGAAGGAGAUGGUGGAGCUGGAACAAUAAAGUUGAGCAAAUUUGGUGAAGGUUAGAUAUUAAAUUCAACAUGAUUAUUUUCAUAACAGUUGAAUUCAUUCAAGGGAUUUCUUUAAUGUUGUAGUGACUUAUCUUUGGUAAAAUGUAAAAGCUAACAACUUCUUUAUACUUCGAUAUUCAGCUAACAAAUUCAAGAGUGCCAAACACAGAGUUGAUGAACUUGACAAAGAAAACUUCGUUUACAGCUAUAGCGUAAUUGAGAGUGAUGCAUUGAAAGAAGGAAUUGAGAAAUUCACCGAUGAGAUCAAAUUUGAAGCCUCCCCUAAUGGAGGGUCAAUUUGCAAAACUAACAGCAGCAUCUACACCAAGGGUGAUGUCCAGAUCACUGAGGAAGAAAUUAAGGGAGCAACAGAAAGGGCUUUGGGAAUGUUCAAGGCUGUUGAGGCUUACCUCCUUGCCAAUCCUGAUGCCUACAACUAAUUAAUCAAGCUAUUGCAAGACUCUUCCACACAUAUUUACUUACUGUUGUUUUUUAACGAAAGCUUCAAUUGCCUUAAGCUGUAUGGUUGAAUUAUUUUGGAGCUCUGAUCAUAAUAUGUGAUCAAGGUGUGCUUUGCUUGUAUUUUUGCUUGAUCACAGAGUGUGAUCUUGUUUGAUGCUUUUUCUUCGUUCUUGUGCUGCAACAAACUGUUUUGAAUUCAAUUUCAUAUCUCUCAUCUUGAAGUCCCAAGAUUCAAUGGGAUUGGGAAUUCUUACCAAUCAGCAGCAUAUAUUGGAGAAUCGAUAUGGAGACACGAAUUACUAUCAUUUACGUGCUUGCAAAUACAUAUGCUUAGUGCGAUAAUGAAGAUUAAUAAGUCUCAGAAAUGCCAACACAAAUGAGUCGCAGGGAUCUUCUUGUUUAGAGUUAAUUCUAAAAUUCCAAUGCUACUUUACAGAUAUAUAUACGUGUCAAUGUAAAAAAAAAAAAACGACCUUUUGUCAAAAGAAAAGAGAAAAGGGCCAACUCUACUUUACACGCCUAAUAUUUUCUUUAAUUUUUUAAAUCAUAAUUGAUUGUUAUUUUCGACAUUUUGCACCCUAAAUUAUCAAAAUUUCCGGACAUUCUAAUUGCUCUUAAUAUUGAAGAAGUGAUAGAUAUACAGAUGCAGGUUUUCAAUUUUUUCCCCUUUCUGGAUUCGCAAGAGGCAGUGUCUAACUUUUAUUAUUGUUAAGUAGCAAGAAUUGCAGUGUACAAGCACACAUCACUUAUAUUCUUUUUAAUUAAAUUAUGUAAGAGAGUAUGGUGAUCGAAAUUAAUUUAUAAGCCCAAAAUAAAAGCUGGAGAUGUAUUGUAACCAUUGGUAACUUAGGCCACAAAUGAUCAAAAUAUAUCUUGAAGGUGUAAUAUGAGAUUAUGGAUUCAAAGUAUGAGAUUAUGAGAAACUUAUUUAGAGUCAUUUUUGUCUUCCUCAAAAAACAAAAAAAAAAAAAAGUCACUUUUGUCAUUGUCCAAGAACAGUUCUGGCUCCAUCUCGACAGUAUAUAUUUUUCUUACAUGCAAGACUAUUAAUGAAAAUUGACCAAUAACACACACACACACACAUUCUCUCUCUCUCUCUCUCUCUCCCUCUCUCUCUCUCUUACGGUUGCUGCCAAGUCUUUCCAUUGAAAAGGAAAAUUCAUAUUAUGUUUACAUAGAUAAAUUACCUCCGGUCCAUGGAAUGUUAGUGAGUUGUAAUAUUUUGGUAUCAUCUAAUGUUCAUUUGUGAAAGAUUGAGAAAUGAUAUAGAGCAAAACACCAAUUUAUUCCAUAAAUUAUUUUGCUAAAAUCAAAAUAGUCCGUAAAUUUUCUUUUGAUCAAAUCUUGGCCAUGAACCUUCCGGAACAGUUGCUCGAGGAGGGAUUACAUCCGGAUUGCUUGUGCGGUGGAGUAACUAUGCAGAAAUUCUUUUUGGGGUGCUAAGUAUCUUAGGAUGGGUACAAUGAUCGCUUAGAUCAUUAGAGAUGAUUGUUAAUGUAGUAGGCAAAAAUUCCCUUCCUAAAGCUGAUUUUCUCAGGGCCACGGCCCACCUUCCACAUAGCGAGAGUAGAAAAGCUAGAGGAAAAAUAAAACGACACAACUGCAUUCUUAUAAUCAGUGACUCAACUGAUUUUUCACUGGAUUAUUCAUCCGAUUUUCAUUGAAAGGGCCCUAUGAGGCCCUUGGCUUCACGUUCUGGGCCUGUGAAAAAUUGGAUGAUUUGGUGCGUCGAAUGCACGUGUAAGCAUAAAUUUUAUUGCCUAAAAUAAAAGAUAAUAAAACUUGUGUAAAUAUUAAAUUUAUUAAAUUAAAUAAUAAAAGAGUUACAAUUUUUGAAAAUUCUUGAAUCAAAAAAAUUAAUCUCCUAAUUCUUUUCUUUAAAAGAUUUCAAUCGAACGGCUGAAGAGGUUUGUUCUCGGAUCAAGAGGGUGUUUCCUGUGAUUUUGGUGUAGAAAAUAGCUGAUUUGAUGAUGUUAAAUACUUGAAUCUUUAAAUCUUCAAUGCCGAUGGAAGGAGGAUUUAUUUAAUUUGAUUUGGAUUUGGAUUUGAAUUUGAGGGAAAAAGCUCUCGAAAGAAUUUGACAGAGUUUCUGUGAAAUUACGAAUUUCAAUGUAUUUUUGCCUUGAGAGAAGACCUUUAUUUAUUGUCAAAAUAUGUAGGUUAUGUCUUCAAGAAAAUCCUCCAGAACCGUCCUGUGUUUGGGUAAAUUGUACCUCAAGAAACCCAUUUAACUUGGACUUAAAUAGUGGGUCGAUCUAAAUAGUCAACUGUGAAUUAAUAAAUCAAUUAAUCCAUUUUAAUUUAAAUGGGUAUCACAAAUUUGAUUUGAUUUAAUAGCCGAUAUAACAUUUGCCCAAUUUGUCAAUCCAAAACAUAAUAAACUUUUAUAAUUUAAUUUAAUUUAAUUAAGAUUAAUUUAAUUAAUUUAAUUUUAACUAAAUAAAUUAAAUAAAUUUUCGUUGUCUACGGACGUCCCCACUUCAAAACUUGGGGAGGCAUUGCAUGACAAUUUCUGAAGGCAAGACUUGAAGUAUUAAUUUUACGGCUGACUUAAAGUCAAACUAAAUUAAAGACUUCAAGCGUUAGGCAUACGGGUGAUCCACUUUUUUUUUUUUUGGGAAGAGAAUGGUCCAUAUCAAUUGAAGAAUUGCACCUCAAAGUCCAAUUGAAUAGGCAACGGUCGCGAGGCUUCAUUCAAGUCUUGACUCAACUGCUACUUGAAUGAAGCCUCGCUGCUCUUGAAUUUUCCAACUCUUAAUUUAGUAGUCAAUGGAAGUGCAGCCCCACAAUAUUAGACCACGACUUUGACCCGUCUAAAUUAGAAACUCUCAUUUGAUUAUGCGAUGUGGGCUCCUGCGCAGAAACUCCCAUAUGCUGAAAUUUGGAAGUUCGCUCUGAAGUUGCAGACCACCAAAUCUUGUUUUGGCACUUGGCAAUAUGGAAUUUGCUGAGUUUCAACCCUUCCUAAACGGAACCUAAUGUAUUUCCAAAACCAAUGUUUGCAACUUCUGAAUAAGAAUAUGCCAAAUUUCAAGAGCUUCCUAAAUUGACUUCCUGCCAUUGAAAUUAUUCUUGGGAACCAAAUUCAAGUGAUUUCCAAAAAGUUAAAUGAUAAUCACUGAAUUUAGGGUCUAUUUGGAAGUUGAGUUUUUACUCAAGUUUGUAUUAUACUAGUUUUUUACCAACUUUCGCUACAGUAAUCUAAAAAAACUUCUCAAAAUUUUUUAUCUACACACUUCAAAAUACCUAAAACAAAAAAAGAAUUCCCUUCCCCUUUUCUUCUUUUUCCUCCCCCAACCCAACCUACCACCACUUCCGUUGCCCGCCAUCACUCUACCGUCGGUUCUGGCACCGAGCACCUCUUCCGAUGCCGGUCUUCUUUUUUUUUUUUUUUUUUUCCUUUCUCCCUCUCCCUUAUUCCUCCCCCACCACCUUUCUCCUUCCCCUCUGGCUGAUCUGGUCGCAAGACCAGAUCGCACCGAGGGAGGAUGAGGGUGGCGGGGGAAGGGGAGGAGAUGGGGAGAAGGAAAAUUGCAAAAAAAAAAAAAAAAUUUGGCAGUUGCUACUUCAUCUGCUAGCAAGAGAAGGAGAGGAGAGGGAAAAUUGAAAAAAAAAGUUUCUGUUGUUGCAGUAAUUAGGUGCCGGCAAAUUUUGAAGCGGCGGCGAGGGAAGGGGGAGGGCGAAGGGGAGAGGGGAGGAGAGGGGUGGCGGGGGAGGGGAGGAGAGGGAGAGAGGGAGAGGGAGAGGGAGAAGAGGGUGGCAGGGGAGGGAGAGGGAGGUGGCGGGUAGGAGAGGGGGAGACAAAAAAAGCAAAAAAAAAAAAAGAAAGAAAGUUGCUGCUUCAUUGGCUUCGGGAGAGGGAACAGGGGAGGAAAGGGGAAGGAGGAAGGGGAGAAGAAGCAGGAAGGGAGGAAGGAAAAGAAAAAAGAAAAAAAGGAAAAAAAGAAAAAAGAAAAGGAAAGAAAGAAAGAAAAUGAAAAGGAAAAAAAAGUUUUUUCAUCUCACAAAAGUUUUUUUACAACUUCUAUAGUGAUCUACAGUAAAGUUUUAUACAAACACCCAAAAAACUCACCUUUCAACCGGGGCCUUAGUAGCUGCCCAAAACUUAAAACUUCUCAAUACGGUUCAUCUAAGCACCUUUAUAUAUAUAUAUAUAUAUAUAUAUAUAUAUAUAUAUAUAUAUAUAUAUAUAUAUAUAUAUUUAUUUAUAGAGGUACACAAGACAUGUCUUUGUCUUGAAUGUGACAAACAGGGCACUUAAGACAAGGGCGUGUGAAGACUACCGUACUAUUUGAGGGAAAAAAAAACCUGUUUUACAUGCACAUCUUGAAGGUAAUCAUCUUUAUUUUCUUUUGACAAUUUCAUGUUGGUCGAGUAUUAGAUGUUCACCUUGUGAGUCCCCUUAGAUUACUCUUCUUUGGGUCGUUUAACCGCUAACUCCCUGAGUAUUUCUAAUCUAAUUGGGUGUGUGUGUUUCUGACUCUCGACAGAAAAAAAAAGUAUCAAAUGUUCACCAAAUUUUGUUGAAAUCUGUCAAAACUUGAUUUGUUUCCAACUUGGAGAAAAAAAGAUUUUUUUUCUUCGUUUUUGCAAUUUUCCAAUUCACUCUUUCCUAUCAACAUGUUAUGAUUCAGAAUUUGAGACAAAUCUUGUACAUAGGAAUCCUUUUUAACAGCUGAUGGUUUGAAUUUAGCAGACACCUUGAAGUCAAAGAAGGCAACUAGCAUUCCAAUAGCAUUAUUUGGUUGCAUGCCAUAUCCAAGAUUUUCACUAGUAAGCCACCAUUUUCUUGCUUUUGAUUGUUAUUCAUUCUCUAUUGCGCAAUUUUAUUUUCGCACAAUCCAUUUUUUUCUUUGAAUUUUCUCUUUUACAAAAUAGCAACCACUAAGAAAAGACAGAAAGAAUUUUAUUUUUUUUAGGUUGCACCUUGUGUUGGCACCCCUUAUUUGAAGCAAGUCAGGGAUUUCAGGGCCAUAGCUCUUAGAACUCAAAACACUAAAGUAAUUUCCACACUCCAUGACAUUUACUUCUUGUCAAUGCCAAACUCUCCUCUUUUUUUUUUUUUUGUGACAUGAAAGGAAGAUCUCUCAUUGCAACAUAUAUGGUGGACACUCAAUUUGAAAGAAGAUGCAAUCACCAACUCCUACGAGAGCCAUAUCAUGGUUUGAGGAGUAUAAUGAAGAUAAUGCAACCAAAAAUUUGAAUAAGAUGCAACCGCAAACUCCCAUGAGAGUCAUAUCAUGGCUAUCAUGGCUUGAGAAGUACAAUGAAGAUAGUGCAAUCAAAAAUUUGAAAAAGGUGCAACCACAAACUCUCACGAGAGCCUAUCAUGGAUUGAGGAGUACAACGAAGAAAGUGCCAUCAAAAAGUUGAAAAAUAUGCAAUUGCAAACUCCCACAAGAGCCUAUCAUGGUUCGAGGAGUACAACGAAGAAGGUGCAACUACCCACUUCAAUGAGAGCUUACCAAAACUCGAGAAGCGCUUUCAUUUAACUUCACGUUGACAAUUUAUUACUUCUCUCACUGUCUUCGAUCACACCAUUGUAAUCAAAUUUUUUUCUCUUGCUUUUAUUGCAAGUUGGUCCUAACGAAAUGGUGAUGGUCAAGGAAGUUACAUCUUCAAACAAAAGGUACCUCCUUAUCACUAAUAGCCAUGAUGACUCUGCUGACAAAGGAAUGAAAUUAUUGGUGCAUCCCUCUAUACAAGAAACUUACUCUGGUGAUUGGUUUUCUCACAAAUAUUCCGAAUUAAAGGAUUGGUCACUAAAAUUUUCUCAAGAUGAUGGUACAAAAGUUCACUCCUUGAAAUUCCUUAUCAUAAUAAGGAGCCAAGGACAAUUGGCAGGCGAAUCAUAGAUGAAGACACACACUGGGGUGCUUCCUUGAGAUUUAGUGAUGAAUUUGGUUAUAUCGAGAAUUAUUAGGAGCGGUUGGAAGAUAUUUUUGGAAAAAACAAACAAGUGUUUCGUGAAAAUUACUUGUUCGAUGUCUUAUAUGCUUCGCUUCUCAUAUAUAACAAAAAUUCUCAUGUGUUUAGAGCAUUUUGCGAGACAUGGUGCCUAAACACUAAUACCUUGCAUAUGUCAAUUGGAGAAUUAUCUCUCUCACUUUGGGAUCUGUGUAAAUUAGAAGGACUUCCAAUCAUCGGAUACAUCUAUGAAGAGGCGAUCCCAUGUGUAGAGGAACUAACUGGAGUUAAUGAAAAGAAAUUGAGGCAUAUUCCACAAAACUGUGAGUAUUUGUUCGCGGCUCUGCACUAUCUUCAACAUGGAAAAUCCUACAAUUAACUUUUGGUUUAAAGGCAAAGUGAGGUAUUCAAAACCAAAACAGAAAAGGAUAAAGAGAGCAUCUCGUGCUCAAGUGACCCAAAAUCCAGAUGGAGAGAUUGGACAACCAUGUAAAUUUUUAAUUCAAGACAAUGACAUAUAUGAUACCAUUAGAGUCAAGUCUCACUUACGAGAAGAGAUGUAUCUUGGAGCAUUUAUAUCUUGUUGACUCUACAUCUUUGCUCUACUAGAUAAGGACCUCCAUUAUAUUAAACUAUCUACUUUCAAAAUUACUAGUAUGAUGGCCGCCGGAUGUAAAACUUGCCUUGUUGUUCCUGUCUUUCCGAGUAUCUAUUGCAAAUUCAAUAAAAGUUCAAAUUCAUCUACCCCAAAGUGUACGCGUGCAUCUUUUUCAGUGCACUACGUGUAUGCUUAACUAGCGAGUUAUUUCUCUAUCCAUUAUUCAACUCCGAAUAUCAUGCCUGGACCAACAAUUGUCAAUUAUUCUGGAAAGGGUGUGCACAAUAUUUUGAUGAAAACAGUGCUUGUGACCUCAUUCAUCAAGGAGACAAAGUAACUUGGGGGACAACUUCUCUUGUGAAGAAUUAUGUGGCGUUGUUAUGUGGUGUUGACUCAAAUAACAAGUCUUCACUAGUGAAUCCGAUAUUUGUGAUAUCCAUAUCUUCAUUACCAGUAGGUACGUGAGUUAUUUCACAAGGAAAUUUGCGAGUAUCAUCCUUUGUUCUUCAAUAUCAUCAACUUGCGUUGUGUGACAUGAGACCACAUCAAUAUCAAAGAAAUUUUUAGACAUGAAUUCUUUUAAAAUGAUAGAAACUCGCGGCUUUUGGUUGAAUACUUGAUUUUCUUGAAGAUUAUGAUUAUUAUUAUUUUUCUCUAUGUUCUUCUCUUUUCUUUUCCAGACCAUUAUGCUUCUUGUUAAGGCCUUGUUUGCCUUAUUAGAUGGACGAGAGUUUCGUCUUCUUCUUCGCAUGAUCAGAGUCUAUCCUUCGUCAUCUACUUCUGAUUGUAAUGACUUAUUAUCUUCAUAUUCAUAUUUUUGAAGAGUUGAAAGGGCGAUUUUUUGUUCAACUUCUAUAGGAUCAAAUGAUCCAAAUUGAUUGGUUGGCAAUAUAGUUAUCGUAAACUUUUCGACUUCCAUGGACUGCAGUGAAGCAACGGAGGUUUGAUUCAUACUUGCUUUGUUUUUUUCAAGAAAUUUUUUUUCUUGUCUUGCCAAAUCCAUCAUCUCAUCUUUAAAGACAAAGCAUUUUUGAAUGGAAUGUCCAACCAAGCGAUGAUACUUGCAAUAAUUUGGAUUAUCAGUAUUCCUAAUCUUGUCAGGUCAGUUCAUCUUAGAAAGCAUGAUCAAGUUCAUGCUUAACAAAUUAUCAAAUACACCAGGAACAUUAGAAUCAAGGAAAUGGUACUCCUUGUCUUGCAUCUCCUUGAGAGUUGGUUUUCUCUUUCCUUACUCUUGAUGCGUACUAGUUUUCUUGUCUUCUCUCUUAGCAGUUCUGAGAAUAAUCUUGAAAGGUAUUAUACUUGCAUUUGUGGCCUCUUUCUCACUUUUGAUUGGGGGCUUGCCUCCUUUCCUCACUUGUUUCUCCUUAACCUUGCGAGGAUCAGGAACUAGCGACUCUUGUCCAUCAAGGUUAAUUUCUACCUUAUGAGUUUUUAUGGAUAAUUCAUCAAAUAUUUCUGGUUGUACACCUUGCAAGAUGUAUCUGAAUCCCCAAUGCAUGUCUUGAAUACACAUCUCAAUAGCGUAAGACUCGAAAAUUCGAUCCUUACAAUUUAGGCUCAGAUUUUUCGAGUGAUCGAUGAAGUUAAUAACAUGUUCAUUCUUUCACUGGCACGUAUUUUAGAGUUCAAUCAUGCUGACAGUCCUCUUUGUGCUAUAGGAUUAAGGAAUUCUUACUCUAAUUGUUCCCAACUGUCAAUGGUGCUAGGUUCUAAAUCUGUAUACCAAUCAAAGGUGUUACACUUCAAUGAGUGAACAAAUUGCUUAACUAGCAAGUCACCAUCAGCGCAACAUUGUUACAAGUUUUGACAAAGUGCGCAAUAUGUUGUUUAGGGUUACCCUUGCCAUCAAAUUAUUGAAACUUUGGUAAUUGAUAUCCCACGGACAUCUUCAAACUUUCACUCUUGUGGUGUAAGGUUUGGUAUAAUUGUUGUAUGACUUGGUAUUUCCACCAAUCUUAUCCUUGAUCGUACCUUUGAUAAAUUCUUUUAAAUUAUCAACAUGAAUAGUACUAUCAAGAGAGAUUGAAAACUCCUUCAUUGUUUGUGACUUGAUAUCCUCUUUCUCUUUCUCCCUUGAUGAUGAGUUACUUUCAUAUUUUUUACCAUGGCCAUUAGUUAGGCUAUUUUGGCAUCUUGACUUUGCACAUGCCCUGCUAGCCCUUCGACAAUUUGGCAAGAUUUGAAAUUUGAUCUUUCACGGUUGUGGUGUUAGUCAUCAUAAUGGGCAUUACCAUAGAAGUAGCUGUAUUGCUUGAGCUAUCAGCAGAUUCAUCAUGGACUUCCUUCUUGUUGGAAAAAAUCUCAAAAUUUUAUCUUUCAGCCACAGCAUUCGCCUUAACCCUCUCUAUUAAUUUCUUAGCCUUGCUCCUCCUCAUAGGUGCAAUAUACUGCAUCUCCUGAGUUGUUGGAAUGCCAGCAGCUGAGCCUUCAAGAGCAAAACUCACCUUCUUGGACUCCAUUAAUUCUUGAAAUAGGCAAGUUAUUGGAAGAAAAGAGAUGAGAGAUAGAGAUGGUUCCAACGGACGUGUCAUAAAAUUUAUAAGCAUAAAUUUUAUUGCCUAAAAUAAAGACAAGAAAAUUUGCAUAAAUAUCAAAUUUAUUAAAUCAAAUAAUAAGAGGGUUAUAAUUUUUGAAAAUUCCGGAAUUAAAGAAAUUAAUCUUCUGAUUCUUUUCUUCAAAAAACUUCAAUUGAAGGGCCGAAAAGACUUGUUUACCGAUCAAGAGGGUGUUUCCUACGAUUUUGACAUAGAAAACCGCUGAUUUGAUGAUGACGCUAAAUACUUGAUGUUGGAUUUGGGUUUUAUUCAACCAACCGUUCAUUUUGACAAAAUGAACGGUUGGUGGGAUAUAACUCAAAUACAAUAAAAUGAACGGUUAAUGGGAUAAAAUUCAAAUCCUACACUUGUAUCUUUAAAUCUUCAACAUCGACAGAAGAAGGAUUUAUUUAACUUGGUUUGGAUUUGAAUUUAAGGGAAAAAGCUCUCGAGAGAGAAUUUGACAGAAUUUUUUCGAAAUUUAGAAAUUUCAAUGUAUUUUUGCAUUGAGGGAAGACCUUUAUUUAUAGGUAAAAUAUAUAGACUAUGUUUUCAAGAAAAUUCUCCUGAACCUUCUUGCGUUUGGAUAACUUGUAACUCAAGAAAUCCAUUUAACUUAGGUUUAAAUAGUAGAUCUAUCCAAAUAAUUCAUUGUGAAUUAAUAAAUCAAUUAAUCCACUUUAAUUUAAAUGGGUAUCACAAAUUUGAUUUGAUUUAAUAGCCCAUCUAUCAUUGGUCUAAUUUGUCAAUCCAAAACAUAAUAGACUUCUAUAAUUUAAUUUAAUGUAAUCAAGAUCAAUUUAAUUUAUUUAAUCUUGACUAAAUAAAUUAAAUAAAUUUUUGUUGCCUACAGCAUGUACGUCUAAAUUUCCAAAUAAUGAUACUUUUCAAAAAGAGUUUUCAAAUAGUGAAAGUUCUAAAACAACGCAUUCACCGAAUGCGUGAAUGUGUCUUUUAAACAACGCAUUUAGUAAAUACGUUUUUAAGGAAAAAUGCCUAUACAAAUAAAAGAAUGAAUUCUGUGAAUGUGUCUUUUGAGGAAACAACACAUUUACUAAGUAUGUUUUUUCACUUUUUGGGAAGAAGUUUAAAAAACAUCACCCCUUUGAAAGGUACUUUUAGAAAAUCCCACUUUUUGAGAAUUUACUCAAGCUUGUACUUGACAAAAUGUGUUGGGAAAAUUGUGACGUCAUGUGAAUUGUAAAACUGUUGUGCCAUCGUAAUGUAUGUUUUGCACUAGAUUGAGUAAGAAUUAUAUCAAAACAGUCGCCCACAAUAUAGGAAUGUGAAAACUUUAUGUUGGGUGAGUUGUAAUAUUUAUGUAUCAUCUAACGUAUAUUUGCAAACGAUUGAGAAUAUAAUAUAUGGAAACAAUAGGUCACAAUGUUGAAAUGUCAUACCCCACGUUUCAAAACAAGUACUUAUUAAACUCCUCAUAUCGCCAACGAAUUUUGAUUCUGAAGUAAUAAUAGUUUUAUUUAAUUAUUUGCCUUUUUUUUUGGAACAAUAUUAAAAUGUAGCCAUAAAUUUAAAUUCCAAAAUUGUUGAAUACUUGUGGAAUUCUAGAAAUGGCACUGGGAGUCAAAGUUCACCUUAUUCAAAAGUCAGCAGCCAUCUCGGAGUGUGCACGUUUCUAUUGAGUUUCAGGUUCAAUAUGUAUCCAUUGCCAUUUUUGGCUGAUCAACCAUGACUAAGAGAAUUAAUUGAUUUGCUUGCCGUUUUUAAAAAAGGAUUCUGUACUUUUUUUUUUUCUCUUUGAGCAUCCGUAUCUCCACCCUCAAUGAAACUAAUCUAGAUUCAAUAUGAGGAGUGCCCGUAGAUGCUGACUCUUACUCGGAAGUGAAGACUUGACCCAGAACUUUUCAAGGCGUCAUCACAUGUAGGAGUCAAACUUACAAACUCCGUGAAUAGAUAAUUUAGCUCCAGUCUGUGGAAUGUCUUGAUGUUGGGUGAGUUGUAAUAUUUUGGUAUCAUCUAAUGAAAUUUUUGAAAGAUUGAGAAAUAAAUAGAGCAAAACACCAAUUUAUUCCCUAAAUUAUUUUGCUAAAAUCAAAAUAGUCCGUAAAAUUUAUUAUGAGUCAGUUUAGUCCCCCAACUAUUUUUACAAAGCUGAAAUAGUCCUUAAACUUUAUUAUGAGCCAAUUUAGUCUCUCUUUUUUUUUUUUUUUAAAAAAAAAACAAUUCCAUCUUUUUUAUUCAGAAAAACGUAACAUCACAACCUUUUACGUCGCUUACAGGGCAAUGCCCAUGUUUUUCACACCAAAUCCCUAGUUCCCUUUAUUCUUCUAAUGGAAGGUACUCCUAAUCUGUUAAGCCUAAUUUCCCCCCUGGCCAGCAACGGAAUAGUGUACCAACUGUCAUAAAUCCUAACCUCUUCUAGCGGGUGAGAAACCCCCUCAUUGGACAAGAUGUCAGCAACCUUGUUCGAUUCCCUAUAACAGUGCAUGAAAAUAGGACGUUCCCCCGCCAGGCUCAAUAUUUGCUCCACCUCUCUCUUAAUGUGCCAGGGGCAAUGUAGCCGCCCUUGUAAUAUCCCAAUCAACAGUAAUGAAUCAGCUUGUAUAGCCAGACGUUCAACUCCCUUCGCACGACAUAACCGGCUGCCAACCAAGGCAGCCAAUGCCUCUGCUCGUAGACUCGUGCCCUCUCCAAGGAACGCCGAGAACGCAAACACAGCAUGCCCAUUCGAAUCCCUGACCACCCCCUCCUCCACACACACCCGGAUUCCCCUUAGAGCAUCCAUCGGUAUUGAGUGUCAGCACCCCUUGGCCUCCCCCCUUCUAUCGGACAACUCUGAUAUUGUAAACAUAGGAUGGGUAAGAGAUCUUCUCAUAAAAUUGGGGGAAAGUCAGCAUACCCAACUCCUUCUGAAACCGAAUCUCAAACGCAGCUUUGACAUCGUGAGCAAUCAUAUUACAAAUACCUUGGUCUUGCGGCUGGAUACCAUCAAAGACCGCUCUAUUCCUGGCCUUCCAAAUAUUCCAGCAAAUGAGACUAGGGAGCACAUCCAACACAAACCUCUGCUGCCGAGACAACGCCGGGGAAAGCCACCACGUAAUCAAACGUGCAUGUACUUCGGAGCCCUGGACGACUACACCGCACAUGUUUUGGAAGUAACUCCAGACCUGGGAGGCCAGUUGUCCCGUGGAAAAUACAUGCUCGAGUUCCUCUCCUGUGGCAGGCACACAGCAGAAACAUUUGGACGGUAACUGAAACCCCAUCCGUCCCAGAAUGUCAUCUAGGGGCAAUCUUCUCAGUAGCAUUCGGUGCAUGAAAAAGGAGAUUUUCAAUGGAAUGCUAGAUUGCCAGAUUCUGGAGAAAGCCAUUGAGUUAUUCCGAACCUGGCGAACCUCUUGGUAGGCCGAUGCUAAAGAAAAUUUCCCUGACGUCGUAGGCAUCCAGACAGCUUCGUCAGGGAACCCCCUGCGAGGCACCGGGAGCCGUACCACAUUAGCAACACACUCCGGCGGUAAUAUUUGUGUCAGCCGAUAGAUAUUCCAGCUCCCAUUGCACACCAAUUCCGCAAAAGACACAUGCGGCGUAUCUGCCACUCUAAGGAACAGUGCCCCACUCCCCAACCAAUUAUCGUACCAGAAACUGCACUCCCCCUCAUUCACCAGCCAUAAUAUAGAUAAUUCUACAUGCCGGCUCACAUUUACCAUACGGCGCCACGUUGCCGACGCAAACGGAGCGAUGGUUGCUUGACAGGGGUGGAUCCCAUUACAAUAUUUUGCCCGCAUGAACUGAGACCACAAAGAUGAUCAUGUGCGCAAACACCACCAUAACUUACACGAGAAUGCGUUGUACACCUCCCUCACUUGCCGAAACCCCACCCCCCCUCUUCCACCGGAUAACAUAGAUUGGACCACCGGAUCCAGUGGUGCUUCACUUGCUCGUGCGAUGAGCCCCAUAAGAAAUUGGAACACAGCUUCUCAAUGCUUUUAAAUAUUACACCAGGGACCACUGCAGCAGAUAAGAGAUGAAUGGGCAUGGAUGUUAGGACGUGCUUGAUCAACACCAGCCUCCCUCCUGGGGAUAAUAGUUUCGACUUCCAUGAUAUAAUUCGGGCGGCAAUCUUAUGACACAUCUCCCCAUAAUAGGCCGAUUUGCACCUUCCCAGAUAUAGAGGGAAACCUAGAUAUCGAACGGGGAACUGCUGGCGGGAGAAUCCCGUUAUCCUCUCUAUUACCCUCCGGCGCGAAGGUGACAUAGAUGGGUGAACUAAGUAACUACACUUCUGGACAUUCACCAGCUGGCCAGAAGCUUGCUGGUACUGCUCUAAAAUCUGCAUGACUUUCUUCAAGGAUGUAGCCGAGCCAUUCGCAAAGACCAGAACGUCGUCGGCAAACGCCAGGUGUGUCACAGGGGGACAUCCCCUGGGUACUGUGUAACCCAAAAAGCCAGAUUGAGCUGCGAGACUGUUCAGCCCCCUUGACAAUACCUCCGCUCCAAUAACGAAUAAAGCCGGAGACAAAGGGUCUCCCUGACGGAUACCUCGACUAGAUUUAAAAAACCCAUGUGAUGCCCCAUUAAUAAUCACUGAAAACCACACGUUUGAAACCAACCUCCAGACCAUGUCAAUGAAUCGUUCCCCAAACCCAAAUUUGCGCAAGACACCGACAGUGAAACCCCACGAGACUCUGUCAUACGCUUUAGCCAUGUCUAACUUGAAAAUUACAUUUCCCCCUCUAGCCCGGUGUCUAAAUCCCGACAUCAAUUCCUGGGCCAGUAGAUAGUUCUCAGUUAUAUUCCUACCCUUGACAAAACCCGUCUGUUGCGGUGACACCAGUUUUGGCAAUAUCCCCACAAGCCUAUCCGCCAAAAUUCUAGAUAACACUUUAUUAAUAAAAUUGCAAAGGCUAAUAGGCCGAUAUUUCGAAAAGUCCUGAGGAUUUGGUACCUUCGGGAUUAGAACAAUAGAUGUAGAAGUAAUAAAUCUAGGCAGCUCCGCCCCACAGAAAAAACUCAGCACUGCUUGAUAGACAUCAUGUGCAAUAAUCUCCCAUGCAAAAGUGAAAAACUUACCUGUAAAGCCGUCUGGGCCUGCCGAACUGUCCCCAUCUAUAGCAAAGAUCACUCUUUUCACCUCCUCAAGGGACGGACAUGUUUCAAGUGUCUCAUUAUCAUCCCCCGUGACAACACGCGGAAUCAGGUGCAAUAAGUCCCCUGAUGCCCCUCCUGGCUCCGAGAACGGCUCCGAGAAAUACCGGACUGCCAUGGAGGCAAUCCCCUCAUCGUCCUCAACCCAUGCCCCACUCUCAUCCUGCAUCCUAUGAAUCGCCCCUUGCACCCUUCGUUGCUGUACGGUAGCAUGAAAAUACUUAGAGUUCCUAUCCCCGUGCCGGAGCCAUUUGACGCGAGUCUUUUGACUCCAAAAUCGCUCUUCGUUGGACAACGCCAGCCGCAAUUUUGCUUGAGCCUUUUGCAGCUCAAUUUGAGCGUCCCCCGAUUCAUCCUCCUCCACUCGAUUUUCCGCUGCUAACAAGUCCGAUUCUGCCCUUUGAACAGCAAUAAAAAUAUUUCCAAAAGCCUCCUUAUUCCACUCCUGUAUCACCCGUCGGGCCUUUACUAAUUUGGAACAUAACUUCCGUAGGGGGGAGCCCGUACACUCUAACUGCCAUGCAUUUCGAAUAACCUCCAGCAGAUCCUUUCUGUCUGUCCAGAGAUUCAAAAAGCGGAACGGCCUAGGCUUAUUAUCCAUGCGUGAUGCCAAACCAAUCCUCAGCGGGGCAUGAUCUGACGGAUGUCUAGCCAGAUGGACUACUGACACAGAUGAAACGGCAUCUGAGAAGAUUCCAUUAAUUAGUAGCCUGUCUAGACGCUUCCAAAUUCGUUCGCGGCCUCUCCGAUUAUUACACCACGUGUAGCUGGAUCCAGAGAAACCCGCGUCAAAGACCUCCGCCUCCUCCAUGAAUGACAGUAGCUCCAUACCCUCUGCUCUAGCAAAUGGUCUCCUCCCUCGCUUCUCGUGAGGGUCUAUGAUCACAUUAAAGUCACCACAGACACACCACGGAAGUGAGGUGGGUUUGUCAGUCAACAGGUCUUGCCAUAAAAUUCGCCGCUCCUCCAUCGUGCACCGGGCAUGCACAAACGAGAAGCACAGCGACCUUGGUAGCCACGGGUGAUGCACCAGUAACAUAAUGUGCUGUGAAGAAUUACCUAUUAUAGUACAUGUAAUCGGAGCACUAAACAGCACCCAUAUGUCUGCAGACAAGUUACCCACUACAGAAUCAAAUGGUAACCGCAUUUUAAUAGAAUCUAUUUGGGACAUUGCUAGCUUCGGUUCACAAAUAGCAACAAAUUUCAAGUUAUGCAAACGAACUAGCUUAAUCAGACGACGCAGGUUGGGGGGUUUGGAGACCCCUCUAAUAUUCCAAAAUAGCCCACUAAUCAUGGGAUAAAGGUUGGAAAGAGUUUUGAGAUAAUGUUACCGAUGACCGCAGCUGCCUAUCUGAUAGGAACUGAGCCCGAGCGCCUUUUUUCCUUGUUCGCCUAUCCCGUUGGACCAGUACGUCGGCUUGAUCGAUGUUGAGCUCCACCAUUAUGGCGGAUACCGGAUGUGCACCGCCGAUUAAGUCCUCCUCCUCAGCUGCACUUAAAGACCCUUGUUCAGCUAGCACCAUAGCCCCAUCCCCUAUAUCUUGCUCCUGCCAUUGCUGCUCAUUUGGGAUAUCAUCACAGGCAGUACCCGCAACUGCUUCGUUCAAGCCCUUUGAAGCAGAGUUGCUGCUAGUGCCGCUGGUGUCCAUCGCCCUCUUCUCUCCAAGUUCCGCUGCCUGCUCUCUUCCCCCAUUUGGAGCCAGCUCCACCACUGCCAAAUUAGCAGCUGCAACAUCCACCGUCCCCACCGUUGCUCGAUCCUCACUUGCUCCAGUUGCGGCAACAGAUUCUGUCAACCCAGAUGCUGGAGCGGUGACUGAUGCCCCAGGUGCGGCAACAGCCUCUGCUGCCUUUUGGACUCCUAACGUCUGCCCACAGUUAGGAUCAUCAUCUGCCAUCGCUGUCUGCAUUGUUGCAGCAAAAAUAUCUGCUGCACGUUGGGUCCCCAACACCUGCCCACCGUCUCUUGCAUCAGCAACCAUCACGUGCUGCCGCACCUCCGCACCCAGACAUUGCGCCUAACCUUUAGUCUCUCAACUAUUUUGUUUAAGUGAAAUAGCACCUAACCUUUAUUUAUUUGGCCAGUUUCGUCCUUGUUUGACUUAUCUACCCAAUUUAUCAACCUUGUGCACUAACAAUCAGGGGCAAAAUAAGAAAUUUAGUCAAUGCCCUUACAAAAAUGAUAGAAGAAAUAGAUAUUUGACAAAAAAUUAAAAACAAAAUUGAAUCAUGUAGAGAACAAAAAACAUAAUGUUUCUUACGGAGAAAAAAAUGGAGCUGAUGCCUAAAAUCUCACAUGGAUCCAACUCAGUCCAUUGAAUGGAGAAAAGGGAAAAUAACACAACAAGAAUAUGCUAAAAGUUGGAAAAAUGUGCUAUAAUUAUGAUUACUCCUUUAAGAAAUAAAGCUGAAAGAAGCUCAAUUUCUUUUUGUUUUCCAUAUUAUUCAAUUUCGUUGUCGAUUUUUUGAUAGAUGUAUGUUUUUUUAUUGUUUUAAUAAGGGCUGUGAUUGGAUUUCCUAUUAUGACAUUGGCUGUCGAUACUAAACUUGAUAAAUUAGAUGGAUCAUCCAAAUAAAGAUAAAAUUGGCUAUGUAAACAUUGGUGAGGGACUAUUUCAGCUUAAGAAAAAUAGUUGAGGGACUAAAUUGGCUUAUAAUAAAAUUAGGGACUAUUUCAGCUUUGUAAAAAUAGUUGAGAGACUAAAUUGACUCGUAAAAAGUUUAGGGACUAUUUUGACAUUAACGAAAUAGUUUUGGGACUAUAAACAUUAGGUCGCAAUGUUGAAAUAUCAAAACCCGUGUUUUGGACCAAAACUCAUAGAACUUCUUCACGUCGCUAACGAAAUUUGAUUCUGAAGUAAUGCUAAUUUUAGUUAUUAUUUGUUUCCUUGUUGGACUUCUGUCUUUUUGGUUACAAUAUUAAAAUGUAUCCAUAAUUUUCAAUUCCAAAAUUGUUGAAUAUUUAAACGAAUUCUAGAAAGGGCACUGAGAGCCAAAGUCUUAUUCAAACAGCCAGCCAUCUGAGAGUACGUAUUUUUUUAUUAUCAGGUUCAAUAUGUAUCUAUUGCUAUUUUUGAAUGAUCAGCCAUGACUAAGAGAAUGAAAUAAUUCACUUGUUUUUUUUAGAUAUGAAUUCAUUACUGUCAGUAGUCUAUAAAUACACUUAUUGCUCACCAUUCUUUGCACCGCAAAAUCUUUUCAAGAUCCAUCAAACCCUCCUGUUCUUGAUCUUGUCCAUUUGUGAAAACACAAAUUAAAGCAUCAUGGCCCCUAUCACUUGUAGUGCUGAGAUGACCUCCCCAAUCCCUCCUGCAAGGUUGUUCAAGGCCGCCAUCCUUGAUGACCACCCUUAAUGCCACAGGCUAUUAAGAGUGUGGAAAUCCUUGAAGGAGAUGGUGGAGUUUGAACCAUUAAGUUGAGCACAUUUGGUGAAGGUUAGAUGUCAUAUUAAUGUAGAACCCAAAUUUUAAGGAUCUAAUAAUAAUCAAUGCGUGCAGGGUUACAGAAUUGGUGGGAUAAAACAAAUACUCAAAAUAUACGUGGAAGAAAAGAAAAUAAUAAAUUCAACUCACAAUAUUAUUGAAAUUUCAAACAAUGAAGAAAAUCAUACCACAAUAAAUUCAGCUGGUUCUAAUAAUAAUCAAAGCAUACAAGGUUACAGAAUUAAAAGGAUAAAACAAACACUCAAAAUAUAUGUGGGAGAGAAGAAAAUAACAAAUUCAACACACAAUAUUAUUGAAAUCUCAAACAAUGAAAAAAGUCAUACCAUAAUAGAAAACCUUGCUAAUUCUUCUAGAUUCUUUCUCUUGAGAAACCAACCUAAAUAAUGUCCUAUUUAUAAUCUACCAAACUUGUUAGGAAAGAAACCACUUGCAUAAGAAAUUACCAAAUAAAACAGAAAUUCCUAAAUCACACAACUACUAAAAACAUAACUCAAAUAAAACUAAAAAUAAAUAAAUAUUUCUAGGCUUAGUUUAAUUUGUCAACAUUGCCUCCCUUAAACCAAACUAUCCAUUGAGAUAGGUUCAACACCUUCUUGAGCAAUAAUUUCUAUGUUGUAGUACACUUGACAUGAAACUCUAACUUGUUACCAGUUAUUAAUUUCAUUUUUACAUGUAACAGUGGACGCACUAUGUAUUUUGUAAAAAAUUUCUCAGUAAUUUCUUCUUGAUCAAAGUACUCACUUAUACAAACCCAUUCAUCACCAGAAUCACCAUAUUUGCCACCAAUGAAAGUGCCUAAAAAUACAAAAUCAUAGAUUGCUUUUUGGCUAAAAUUAUCAUCACCAAAUAAUUCAAAAUAACCACUACUACAAUCAUCCAAAAUUUUCAUACUGUCAGUCAACUCUUUUGGAGUAAAAUAUUUUUCAAUUCCGAUGACAUCCAUAUCUAUAAAAUCAAACAUUCUCCCAUCACUUUGAAGAGAGUCCGCAACCAACGAAUUUUUCAACAACAAUUUCAUGUUCUCUUCUCUUAUCAAAUCAAAAUUUUCUUCUUCUUUUGUCAAAUUACCAUAUUAUUUUUUUCAACAAAUUCAUUACUUCUAAUUUCUCCAAACAAGGUACGCAAAUCAAAACUAUCAAUUGAUUCAAAAUUUUUGAUAUCACCCAUAUUAUCAACAAAUCUAUCAUUUUUAAAAUCCACAAACUAAUUCCAACAACUAGAUUUCGGUUUGAAAGCAUAAUUUCUCUUAAUCGUGUGCAAAACAUAGUAAAUAUCCUUCCAAAAUCUCUAAAGUAUUUUAGUAUGACCAAUAAAGGCUUUAUAAAUACUUUCUGCCAUUAUUUUACGCAUCACUUGAAAGAAUAAUUGUGCCUUUUUCUUAAAAACAUGUUUUGCCAACAUACUUGCAUCAACCCAACAAAGAAUAUCAUCCAAAUUACAUUGUUUGACAUAUUUUUCCACUGUUAAAAUCCAACCAAAUAUGUAUGUCUAUUUGUGCUUAUAGGAGUCAAUAUGAAAAAUUUUUCACCGUCAAUCAGAUCUUUAUAAUAUUCUAUUAUUUAACAAUUUGUAUACCUGAAUAAAUUUUUUUCCUCCAUCCUGUCAUGUUUUCUUGGCCGUUCUGGUUGACUAAACAAAUUAUUGUUGUAUGUAUACCUAUGCUCGUCAAACCUCAUUCGUGUACACUCGUAAGGAGUGGUUCUGAGCUUAUUGUGAAUGCUCAGUACCAAGAAGUAGAAGAGAGAAUGCAUAAGAGAGAAUUAACUUGGCUAAAGAAUUAGGAAACAAAUGAGGGAUUUUUUAAGAAAUUAAUUCUCCAACUGCCACUUUUGGAAAUUUUCUAUCAACAACUAGCUACCAAAACACUAGCACAUAGUAAGAAAUUGGGAUAAUUUCAGAAACCUCGCUUGAGGCUUUUAAUAAUCUCAAGAAGCUCCCCUCAAAAUUUUAAAAUUACACGUACCAUUCCUAUUGGUGCAAAAGUACUCUACUACCCCUAAUAGGAUACUCAAAAGACUUUUUUAUGGGAAAAAAGAAGGCCAGAAAUCCAAGCGAAAACAAAAAAAAAUCAAUUUCUUUUCUCUUUUAGCCUUUUACGCUUGUGCCUUCUACCUUUGCUCACUUUCCCAUGCCAAUCUUCCUAUAACCACUUUCCUAAUCCCUUUUCCCCAACUUUUCUUCUCUACUUCAAGACCAAUUUUUGUCCAUCAACCUUGGCUUGUGCUUUGUUCCAUUCCCUUCCCUUCUCCUUCUUUGAUUUCCCUUACAUCUCCCUUUCUCUUUGCAAAAGUGACUAGGCUCAUCUCUCUCCUUUUUUUCCCCAUAUUUUAAGUGUAGUGGGUUUGAUUAUUUUGCCUCUAUUUUAUUUGAUUUUGGUGGAUUAUGGGUGAUAAAACUUGGUGAUGUCACAUAUUAAAAGUUUGAUAGAUGGAUAUUGGGCUUUAGACAAUGAUUUGCUGAAAAAAAAUGGCCGCAAUGAGAGGAAGAGGCAAGGGGAUUUGAGUGUGGGGGUUGAUUGUUGAUGAAUUGUUGUUUUGGACAAAAUUUGAGGUUGAGUUUUAUCAAAUUUGGUAGCAAGUGGCGAGAUUUGUUUAGGUUGCGGGAAAUAAAUUGGAUUGUGGUUUCUUGGGCAUCCACAGUCGUUGGAAUUGGUUUUGAUUCAAAUUAGGGUGGUUACUUGAUUUUCCUAAUAGUGUUGCUUAAAAGCACACGAUCAUCAAAAUUCCUUAUUUUUAUCUUUUAUUUUUUUUGUGGAAAAGAUUUCAUGACUUUCGUGAUAGUCUAAUUUGGAAGAAGGCAAUCAAGGGAUGCAAUCAACAUUUAGCAAAAGCUUUUGUUGUUUUCUUUGUAAUUUUUAGGGUAAAAAGGGUAGUUUAGGUUAUUUGAAGGAAAUGAUAGUCUAUUGGAUCUAUUUUGAAGCAUAAAUAGUGAACAUAAGGGAGGUUGGUGUUAUUUCUAAAAUCUAAGGGGAAUUGUCUGAAAUUGUCCGAGACCUCGGAGGAGGUUUUCAAAAUUAUCCGUAAGAAAUCAAAUGCGAAACUUGAUUAGUACACGCACACACGACACCGCACCACGCCACGCGUGUGUUGAGGACUGAUGUCCGUAACCAACGACAAGCAGGUUUUCAAUUUUUUUUUCCUUUCCUAGAUUCAAAGAUGGUGUCAGCUUCUAUUAUUGGUGAGCAGGAGGAAAUCCACAAUAUACAUUACACAUCACCCAUAUUCUUUUUAAUUGAACAAUGUAUGAAAUUAUGGUGAUUCGAAAUUAAAUUAUAUGUUUAUUGGGCAACGAAUCCAAAAUAAGAGUUGGAAAUGUAUUGUGACAACAAUUGUUAACUUUGGCCACAAAUGAUCAAAAUAAAUAUUUAAGGUUUAAUAUGACAUUAUGGGUUCAAAAUAUAGUUACUUGUUAUGAAACAACUAAAAGUGCGGAUGCCCAUUUGUAUUCUCAAAAGGAUCAAUUCACAAUUCAUUGCUCCCAAGAGGAUUAAUUCAUAAUUCAUUGCUAUAUUAUGUAAAGGAAUUACAUUGGAUGAACGGUUUCAAUCCAUAAGAGCUAUUCAUGUAUUGGAUGAACCAUUUCAUAUGGCUAUUUAUAUUCUUGUAGUAAUGAGUGUUUAAUAGAAUUGUUGUACCUCUAAUUUUGUAGUACCUAUAUAUAGAGGUACCUUAGCACCUCUUGGGUGUACUUUUUGAUUAGUUGGAAUAAUAAGAAAAUCAUUCUCUAUUUUUGUACUUCUUUCUCUAAUAUUUCAAUUCCUAUUAUAGUAGUUCAUUUUUUUUUUAGUUUUACAACACGUUAUCAGUACAAGUCUCUACUUUUGAACAAAAAGGUGAAAACGGAGUCUCUACCUUAAAAAAAAGUGAAACACGAGAUUCUGCCGAAAUUCUGCCCGUAUUUUUCCAGUAACUUCUGUCUACUUAUUGAGAAACGGAUGCCAAAUAUUUGGGAUUAAAUAAUGGUGAUGAUGACAUUUGUCUCAUUGAUAGUGCUACUACGCACACUAUAUUGAAAAAUAAGAAAAUUUUCUUGUAUGAAAAUGAGAGAGACAAAUGUUAAUACCAUAAGUGGUAGUGCAAAAUUGAUUGAAAGAUUCGAAAGAGCCACUCUAUUUCUUACUGAAGGGACUAAAAUUGUCGUAAAUAAUGCACUACUGUCUCCCAAGUCUCGGAGAAAUUUAUUGAGUUUUAAAGAUAUCCACGAAAACAGAUAUCAUAUCGGGACAAUAACUGAGACAAAUAAAGAAUUUUUAUUAAUCAAAAGUAUCAUUUCUAGGCAGAAAUACGUAGUAGAAAAAUUACCUUCUUUUUCUUUUGGCUUAUAUUAUGCACAAAUUAGUGCAAUUGAAAUUUAUCACCUAGUAGACCAGAAGUCUACUCAUCCCAAUAAUUUUAUCAUUUGACAUGAUCAUUUCAGAAAUCUUGAAUCUAUAAUGAUGAGACGAAUAAUCGAGAAUUCACAUGGUCACUCAUUGAAAAAUCAAAAGAUAUUAAAAGCAAAUGAAUUUUCCUGUGUUGCUUGUUCCCACGGAAAAUUAAUUAGACCAUCACCCGCUAAAGUUGGGACUGAAUCCCCUACAUUUCUAGAACGAAUUUAUGGUGAUAUAUGUGGAUCAUUUCGAUAAUUUAUGGUGCUAAUUGAUGUAUCAACUGGAUGGUCACAUGUAUGUUUAUUAUCUACUCCCAACCUAGUGUUUGCGAGAUUGCUUGCUCAAAUAAUUAAAUUGCGAGCACAAUUUUCAGACUAUCCAAUAAAGAAAAUUCAUCUAGAUAAUGCUGGUGAAUAUUCAUCACAUACUUUUGACGAUUAUUGCAUGCCCAUUGGAAUAACUGUUGAACAUCUUGUAACUUAUGUUCACACAUAAAAUGGUCUAGCCGAAUCAUUUAUUAAACGGGUACAAUUAAUUGUUAAACCAUUGUUGAUGAGGUCUAAACUACUUUCAUCUGCUUGCGAACAUGCUAUAUUACAUGCAGCAACACUUGUGAGAAUUAGACCGACAAGUUAUCAUACUUAUUUUCCCCUACAAUUAACUUUUGGUGAUAAAUCCAAUAUUUUUUAUUUACGAAUAUUUGGUUGUUCGGUUUAUGUUCUAGUUGCACUGCCCCAACGUCGUAAAUUGGGCUCGCAAAAAAGAUUGAAAAUAUAUGUCGGGUAUGAAUCACCUUUAAUUAUUAAGUAUAUGGAACCAUUGAUAGGUGAUUUAUUUACUGCGAGAUUUAUAGAUUGUUAUUUUGAUGAAUCACAUUUUUCAACAUUAAGGGGAGAUAAAAAUCGACCAAAAAAGGAAAUCACUUUAAAAAUAUCAUUGAAUUUCUCGAUUCUCGUACCGAAGUAUGUGAACUAGAAGUUCAAAAGAUUACACAUUUGCAAAAAAUUACAAAUCAAUUACUGGAUGCAUUUAAUGAUUCCAGAAGAGUUACUAAAUCACAUAUUCCUAUUGAAAAUGCUCCAAUUAAAAUUAAUGUCCUUGAAAGACAAAUUACAAGUGCUAAUGAGUCUAAAGUGCACCUGAAGUGUGGGAGAUCUCUUGGUUCCAAAGAUAAAAAUUCUCGAAAGAAAAGAGGAGCAUAUGAAUCAACAAUUAGUGACAAAAUUCAACCUCUUGAAGAGAUCGCUCCUAAAGAACCAAUUCUUGAGAAGAAUGAAAUCAUAGAAAAUUCAAUAAAUUUUAUCACUUCAGGAAAAAGUUGGAACCGAAAAGAAAUAAUUAUUAAUAGUAUUUUUGCAUAUAAUGUAGCACUUGAUAUUAUGGUAGAGAAUGAGGAUCACGAGCCUAAAUCGAUUGAUGAAUGUCGACGUAGAAAUGAUUGGCUAAAAUGAAAAGAUGCGAUCCAAUCUGAAUUGAACUCACUGGUUAAAAGAAAAGUUUUUGGACCUAUAGUCCAAACACCUGAAGGUGUAAAGCCAGUAGGAUAUAAGUGGGUAUUUGUGAGAAAAAUGAAAUCGUAAGGUAUAAAGUAAUACUUGUAGCCUAAGGAUUUUCACAAAGGCCUGGAUUUGAUUAUGAUUACACUUAUUCACCUGUAGUAGAUGCUAUCACAUUGAUAUUUUGUGAGUUUUGCAGUACAUGAAAAAUCAGAUAUGCAUCUAAUGGACAUCGUUACUGCAUAUUUAUAUGAAAAUCUUGAAAAUGAUAUUUAUAUGAGAAUUCUCGAAGGAUUCAAUAUGCCUGAAGCAUGCAAAUCAAAUCCUAAAAAUAUUUAUUUCAUUAAAUUACAAAGGUCUUUGUAUGAAUUCAAACAAUGUAAACGCAUGUGGUACCACCUCAAUGAAUGUUUAACUAAAGAAGGCUAUACCAAUGAUCCAAUAUGUCCAUGUGUCUUUAUAAAAAAAAUGGAUCAAAUUUUGUGAUAAUUGUUGUAUAUGUUGAUGAUCUAAAUAUGAUUGGAACUCCUGAAGAGAUUCAAAACAGUGUUGAAUAUUUGAAAAAAAAUUUGAGAUCAAAGAUUUUGGAAAAAUAAAAUUUUGCUUUAGUUUACAAAUUGAGCAUUUGAAAAGUGAAAUUUUUGUCCACCAAACUGCUUAUACCUGGAAGGUAUUAAAGCGAUUUUAUAUGGAUAAGUCACAUACAUUAAGUAUUCCAAUGGUCAGAUCAUUAGAUCCUAAUAAGGAUCCUUUAGACCGUGAGAGGAAGAUGAAGAGAUACUUGGUCCUAAAGUACCAUAUCUCAGUGCAAUUGGUGCACUACUGUAUCUUGCUAAUUGUACAAGACCUGAUAUAUCAUUUGCAAUAAAUUUAUUAGCAAGAUUUAGUUCCUCGCCCACAAGACGACAUUGGAAUGAUAUUAAACAUAUUUUUCGUUAUCUUUAAGGAACAAUUGAUCUUGCGUUAUUUUAUUCAAAUAAAUCUAAACUUGAAUUGCUUGGUUAUGCUGAUGUUGGAUAUUUAACUACUCUGCAUAAAACAAAAUCUCAGACUGGUUAUCUAUUUACAUAUGGAGGUACAACCAUUUCUUGGCGAUCUACAAAGCAAUUAUUAGCCACCACCUCAUCGAAUCAUGCUAAAAUAAUAGCAAUUCAUGAGGCUAGUCGAGAAUGUGUUUGAUUAAGAUCAAUGACCUACUAUAUCCGGAAGAGUUGUGGAUUAUCCUCUGAAAAAGAAAAUCCUCCAACUAUAUUUUAUGAAGAUAAUGCAGCUUGUAUAGCUCAAUUGAAAGGAGAAUAUAUUAAAGGAGAUAGAACGAAACAUAUUUCACCAAAUUCUUUUUUACUCAUAAUUUACAAAAGAAUAGUGAAAUUGAUGUGCAACAAAUCCGAUCAGAUAAUGAUUUAAUAGAUUUAUUUACUAAUGCAUUGCUGACUGCAAUAUUUGAGAAAUUGGUAAAGAAUAUUGGAAUGCGAUGACUAUAAGAUCUCAAAUGAUAUUUGCAUCAGGGGAAGAAAUCAAUACACAAGAAUAGUGUACUCUUUUUUCUUCACUAGAACUUUUGUCCCGUUGGAUUUUUUUCUAGUAAGAUUUUAAUAAGACAUAUUCUUUGUGUAAUGAAUAUUCAAUGGGGAGUGUUAUGAAACAACUAAAACUGUGGAUGUCCAUUUGUAUUCUCAAGAAGAUAAAUUCAUAAUUCAUUGCUUUCGAGAGAAUUAAUUCAUAAUUUAUUGCUACAUUAUGUAAAGGAAUUACAUUGGAUGAACGGUUUCAAUCCAUAAGAGCUAUUCAUGUAUUGGAUGAACCAUUUCAUAUGGCUAUUCAUGUUCUUCUAGUAACGAGUGUUUAAUAGAAUUGGUGUACCUUUAAUUUUGUAGUACCUAUAUAUAGAAGUACCUGGCACCUCUUGGGUGUACUUUUUGAUUAGUUGGAAUCAUAAAAAAAUCAUUUUCCAUUUCUGUACUUCUUUCUCUAAUAUUUCAAUUCCUAUUAUAGCAGUUUUUUUUUUUAGUUUUACAACAUUACUCAAAUAAGAGAGUUAUUGGACUACAUGUUUAUUGACCUCUACUAACUUAUUUAAGGUCAUUUUAUAUCACUAUCCAAAGAAGAAUUAAGGUCAUUUUAUAUCACUAUCCAAAGAAAAAUUCUUGGGCGUUAGCAUUUUUCUUACAUGCGAAGACUAUUAAUGAAAGUUGACCCAAAUCUCUCUGUCUCUCUCUCUCUCUCAAUUCUUAGGACUGAUGCCAAUUCUUACCAUUUAGAAAGAAAAAUUAGAUUGUUUAUAUAUAUGAUGAGUUCCCUCUAAGUCAUGGUUAAGAAAAAUUCUUAGUUAAACGUAGUUUUAUGAAAUGUGAAUUUCCUUUUCGUUGUCUUUAUUCAUUAGUAUUAUUGGGAUUAUUGUAUUCUAAUUGCAAUGCACAGAUACAUGGAUUUUUGACAUUUUUUCUUUUUAAUUGACUCUGACUAUGUCUCAAACUCGAGACAUCAAACCUGGAGACGACUUUUGUCCAAAAUGCUUGUAAAAAUUCAGAAGAAUAAUUUUGGACCUUAUUAUUUAAUAAUGGUAGAAUUAUGAGAGUCAUUCCUAGUUAAUUAUCAAACUUGGAACUUGAAAAAAAUGUCGACAUCAUGUCAUUAUUAUUUGUUUGUUUCAUAGAAAAAUAAAGCAUUCUCCGACUCCACAUUAUCAUAUUAUUUUCAAUUGGCAGCUUAAGUGAGAAAGACAGGUGAAAAUUUUGUGCAUUACUAAUUUAUUUAGGCCUCACGCGUCGCGCGAAUGUGCCCACAUCAUCUUCGCUGUAUUGGAGAAAUUUGAGCGCUUUGAUCAUAAGAAAUUCACAAUCACAACUGGCCACAAAGAAAGCACUAACUGGUUUAAACAAAGCAUGCAAAUUUCUUAAACAAUAGAUACCUAAACCAACCAUUUUACCGUCCUGCCAAAAAAAGGGCAUUAAAGUAAAAACAACCUAUGCCUAACACAGCUAACAAACUUCAGCACCUUCACUUCACUGCCACGUCAUCAACAACAUUUGCAAAUUUCCAAGGAAGUCCACGCACUAAAGGUGCCCAUGCCCCAUAGGUAGGGCUGUCAACGGUCCGGGUCUGGACCCGAACCCGACCCGGACCCGCCAAUAUUUGUCGGGUACGAGUAGGCAUAUAGUUCCGGGACCCGGACCCGGACCCGGAACCGUUUAACCUAAUAGAUUUGCGGGUAGAAUACGGAAUAUGCCGUUCCGACCCGUAUAGGACCCGACCCCGUUUUUUAAUUAAUUAAUAAUUAAAAAUAUAUACCCAAUUUUGUUCAACCCUAAAUCCCUAAUAGUCUAAUACCCACGUAACCCACCGCCGCCGCACUCUCUUUUCCUUUGCUCCUUACCCAGCCCCAGCGACCAUUUUUCUCCUCUGCCUCCCAACUCCUGAGUCGCGCCUCCACCACCACCACUCACCACUCACCAGAUCUGCAAUUUUUCAGGAAAUUGACUGAAGUUUGAGUCUGACCGAAAAGGACUAAACGUCUAAACCGAACGUCUUCAGUCUUCCUGGAGUUUCUGCUCGGCUGCCGCCGACUGCUUUUGCCGACUGCAUGUCGCAGCUAACGUGGCACACUACAAGAAAGUGAGAAGACUGCAGUUCGUGGACGCGAUUCCUAAAUCUCCUUCAGGAAAGAUAAUGAGAAGGCUCAUCAAGGAGAAGAUGGCAGAAAUUUAAAUAAGAAGAUGCGACCAGUGGGCGUUUUUGCUCAGAACCAACACGGGUUCUGUAGGAAUAAUCAAUUCCCUCCUCUUAGUCUUCGGUAACAUAUGGGCUGCUAUUCCAUUCUCACCUUUACUAUUGUGAUUGUAAUAAGCUAAUGCGAAAUUCACUUGGGUCGGUCCCAUGGAGAUAUUUUAAAUACUAGUACUAUGUCUGGCUUAAAGCAGUAAAGGCCUCAAAUAGUCACAACCACAGCACACCAGCAGUACUGCCUUUCACACGCCACGAGGUUAUCUCAUCUCGAAGAUCAACAUAGGUAAUUAAGUAGAGCUCCCAAAGUUUGCCACAGGUUUUAACGGGUCUGAUUGCCGGGUAGACCCGGCCCGGAUUCGGGACCCGUCGGAUACGGGUCCGAUGACCGAUUAAAAGAUCCGUCGGGUAUUCGGGCCGAAUCCGGAACUAAUCUAGUAUAACGGGUCCGGAUUCGGAUAUAUGCAUUCCGGCCCGGACCCGGCCCGUUGACAGGCCUACCCAUAGGGGACCUCAGGUUAGUCUUCUUAACAUCAACUCCUGUCUUUCUAUUCUUAGGAAAUAUUGAAAUUAAACGUUAUAACUAAUCCUGAUUUCCUUGUGCCAUAUUUGUACACAAUUUGGCAACAAGGGUAAAAAAAAAAUAAAAAUAAAAAGGUUUAUCUGCAAACUGUAGUUCGGCCUGGCUCUUUUUUUUUUUUUUUUUGGGGAUAAGAUCAUCUCAGCACCCGCAGACCCCGUCAUGUAUCAAUAUUUCUGUACUUAGCAUUGGCUUCUUCCGCCUGAAGAACACACGAACCACCGAAAUAGAUGGUGAAUGAAAGUGCACUUAACCCUUUUAAUUUUUCAAAACAAUUGCUUUUAGAAAAAAUAAUAAAAACUUUUUUGAAUUUAAUUUUAGAGAAGAAGAAUUUUAAACCUUUUUGAAUUUAAUCUUGGAGAAGAAGAAGUUUAAAACGUACUUUAAUUUUCACAACUGAUGAUGAAAAUAGCAAAAUGUUCACGGAGAGUGACAAAAGUGACAUCUUAUCUUUUUGCUGACUGCUCCGCUUUCCAAUGAGAGGGUCCAGAAGGGACCACGGGGAGCAGUUGCAGGUCCAAUCGUUUCUAGUGAUUUUGUGUAUUUUACACAUCAUGUAACUUUAUUUGUAUACGACGUAAUUUUAUUUGUACAACAUGUAAUUUUAAAAUAAAUUUUUGUGAACCCUACACACGUUAUUAAAAAUGAGGUACAAAAAGUAAUUUGGAUUGCAAAAAUUUUUUGAACCAAAUCUUGGCCGUGAACAGCUCAGGAACGAUCCAUCUAAUGAACGCUUCUGCCUCUUAUCCAUCCAGAAGGGGGUGCCUCUGCUUCAUAUUUUAUCCAUAUUGAUAUUUUUUUUUCCUGUGCCUCUAAGUAUUAAAUGUGAAAGGUUGCCCACCAUAUUUGACGAAACCGUUUAUCCUAAUUGAUUAUUAUCAACAGGGCAUAACUUUAAUAUUCUUCGUCCAACCCUUUCUGGUGAUUCCUGCAACUCCAGCCGUCCGUCAAUGACCAUAAAGCACCAUUAACCGACAACUAACUAACCACUACUAAUCUAUUCUCAAAUUUUAAUGAAAUUGCACAAUUAGUUUUCAUUUCUCACUUUUAUUUCAAAUUUGGUCUCAAUUUAAUGUGAACCCCAACAAAUAAGAUCGGAGUUGAAAUCAAAGAAGGUAUUUCAAUCACCAUCAGAUAAAUUCGUCAUAUCUAGUUUUGUUUUUGAGAUGCAUAGAAAAUGUAAGCUGAUUUUUCAAUCUACGAGAAAAACGAAAGUCUAAGAGAAUAAUUUUGUCAAAAUUUGACAAUGGAAUAACAGUUGUGAACGGGUGGCCACUGGUUGGCAGCUAGAAGUUAUAGCAGUUUUAAAACAUAAUUGGAGAAAGUAAAAGAUUAAAACUACGUUGUCUACUAUUAACGACUUACAUUGACAAAAUGGCUAAAGUUAGGGUUGAAAAAUAAAUUAAACUACGCGACAUUCGAAUCAACUUCGAUUGGUAAGAGUUUAUUUCAAUUUGGUUUGUUAACUAGUCAAAUCAAAUUUCAACAACAUUUUAUAGUCGAUAACUUUGAAACUUGAUAAAAAAGUCCGUUUAAACUCGAUUUAGUAAAUAAACAAAUCAAGUUUGAACAAUAUUUUAAACUCAUUAAAAUAAUUAAAUAUGUUUGAAUACUAGGGUAUUCGAUUUAAUUAGAUACGUUUGUACCCCUAAUUAAAGCAUGCACUUUUAUAAGUUUAGGAAUCAACAUUAUACAUUUAAUAGCUAGCUAGAGGGUCAAACAGUUAAUUGCCUUAAAUUCUUUUAGCAGCCAUAAGGUAUAGUUGGAGGGAUUCCCUUGAAAUUGGUUAGAUUCUUCUAUGUGACUAAAGAAUUUCGGGUGCGACGCAUUACUAGUCCUACCCUAAAAAAAAUGGUAUUACUAGUCCUUUUUUUCUUUUUUGGCGUGCCCCCGCCGUGGGAUGUGGGGAGGGGAGUCUGUGCGAGAAUUCUAGGUGGGGUACAAGGAGCCAAAGUUCACCUUAUUCAAAGUAAACAACCGUCCAUCUCAGUUGUCGACUUUCCUGUCGAUUGCGUAUAUAUAUUACUAUCUUUUACCAUGACUCUAGAGGAUAGCUAAUUUUGCUUGCUAUUAAAUAAUAAUUUCGGUAGUCUAUAAAUACUCUUGUUCCUCACCGCUCCUAGCACCACAUAAUUCCUUCAAGAACAGCCAAAACCUUCUUGAAAUCCCUCUUUUUCCUUCUAGUUCAUUUCCAAGAAACAAAUGGCCCCUGUCACUUCCAGUUAUGAGGUCACCUCCUCAAUCCCUCCUGCAAGGUUGUUCAAGGCCACCAUCCUUGAAGAGAAGCAUCUUCACAAGAUCUUGCCACAGGGUGUUAAGAGUGUCGAAAUCCUUGAAGGAGAUGGUGGAGUUGGCACAAUUAAGUUGACCACAUUUGUUGAUGGUAAGAUAAUCAAUACAAAGUGAUUAUUUUCACACAUUUGAAGUCUUCAAAUUGCUCCUUUUAUUUGGGAAAAACUAAUGACUUUUUUUUUUGGUUGCGUUAAAUAUUUAGGUGGCGAGCAUAAGACUGCCAAACAGAGAGUUGAUGGAAUUGACAAAGAAAAAUUUACAUACAGCUAUACUGUACUUGAAGCUGAUGGAUUUAACGAUGUAAUCGAGAAAAUCUGUUGUGUCAUCAAAUUUGAACCCUCUGCUGAUGGAGGUUCAAUCUGCAAAACCACUAACACAUACUACCCCAAAGGUGGUGCUCAGAUCGGUGAGGAACACCUCAAGGGAGGAAAAGAGAUGGGUUUGGGAAUGGUUAAGGCUGUUGAGGCUUACCUCCAUGCAAAUCCUACUGCCUACAACUAAUUAUAAUGAAUGCUACUGAAGGACUCUUCGACAUAUUUUCUUCAAGAUUGAAGUACACACUGAGGGUGUGUUUCCUUUUUUGCUUGGUUUGCUUUAAGCUGUUUGGUUAAGUUAAAAACAAAAUUGAAUCAUAGAGAGAACAAAAAAAAUAUAGUGUUUCUUAUGGAGAAAAAAAUGGAGCUGAUGCCUAAAAUCUCACAUGGAUCCAACAAGGAUAUGCUCAAAGUUGGAAAAAUGUGCUAUAAUUAUGAUUACUCCUUUAUGAAAUAAAGCUGAAAGCAGCUCAAUUUCUUUUUGUUUUCCAUAUUAUUCAAUUUCGUUGUCGAUUUUUGAUAGUUGUAUUUUUUUUAUUGCUUUAAUAAGGGCUAUGAUUGGAUAUCCUGUUAUGCCAUUGGCUGUCGAUGCUAAACCUGAUAAAUUAGAUGGAUCAUCCAAAUAAAGACAAAAUUGGCUAUGUAAACAUUGGUGAGGGACUAUUUCAGCUUAAGAAAAAUAGUUGAGGGACUAAAUUGGCUUAUAAUAAAAUUAGGGACUACUUCAGCUUUGUAAAAAUAGUUGAGAGACUAAAUUGACUCAUAAAAAGUUUAGGGACUAUUUUGACAUUAACGAAAUAGUUUUGAGACUAUAAACAUUAGGUCACAAUGUUGAAAUAUCAAAACCCAUGUUUGGGACCAAAACUCAUAGAACUUCUUCACGUCGCUAGCGAAAUUUGAUUCUGAAGUAAUGCUAAUUUUAUUUAUUAUUUGUUUCCUUGCUGGUCUUCUGUCUUUUUGGUUACAAUAUUAAAAUGUAUCCAUAAUUUUCAAUUCCAAAAGUGUUGAAUAUUUAAACGAAUUCUAGAAAGGGCACUGAGAGUCAAAAUCUUAUUCAAACAGCCAGCCAUCUCAGAGUACAUAUUUUUUUAUUAUCAGGUUCAAAAUGUAUCUAUUGCAAUUUUUGAAUGAUCAGCCAUGACUAAGAGAAUAAAAUAAUUCACUUGCUGUUUUUAGAUGUGAAUUCAUGACUGUCAGUAGUCUAUAAAUACACUUAUUGCUCACCACUCUUUGCACCGCAAAAUCUUUUCAAGAUCUAUCAAACCCUCCUGUUCUUGAUCUUUGUCCAUUUGUGAAAAAGCAAAUUAAAGCAUCAUGGCCUCUAUCACUUGUAGUGCUGAGAUGACCUCCCCAAUCCCUCCUGCAAGGUUGUUCAAGGCCGCCAUCCUUGAUGACCACCUUCUUCCCAAGAUCAUGCCACAGGCUAUUAAGAGUGGAAAUCCUUGAAGGAGAUGGUGGAGUUUGAACCAUUAAGUUGAGCACAUUUGGUGAAGGUUAGCAGUUAUAUUAAAUGUAGAACCCAAAUUUUAAGGAUCUAAUAAUAAUCAAUGCGUGCAGGGUUACAGAAUUGGAGGGAUAAAAUAAAUACUCAAAAUAUACGUGGAAGAAAAGAAAAUAAUAAAUUCAACUCAUAAUAUUAUUGAAAUUUCAAACAAUGAAGAAAAUCAUACCACAAUAAAUUCAGCUGGUUCUAAUAAUAAUCAAAGCAUACAAGGUUGCAGAAUUAAAAGGAUAAAACAAACACUCAAAAUAUAUGUGGGAGAGAAGAAAAUAAUAAAUUCAACACACAAUAUUACUGAAAUCUCAAACAAUGAAAAAAGUCACACCAUAAUAGAAAACCUUGCUAAUUCUUCUAGAUUCUUUCUCUUGAGAAACCAACCUAAAUAAUGUCCUAUUUAUAAUCUACCAAACUUGUUAGGAAAGAAACCACUUGCAUAAGAAAUUACCAAAUAAAACAGAAAUUCCUAAAUCACACAACUACUAAAAACAUAACUCAAAUAAAACUAAAAAUAAAUAAAUAUUUCUUGGCUUAGUUUAAUUUGUCAACAUUGCCUCCCUUAAACCAAACUAUCCAUUGAGAUAGGUUCAACACCAUCUCGAGCAAUAAUUUCUAUGUUGUAGUACACUUGACAUGAAACUCUAACUUGUUACCAGUUAUUAAUUUCAUUUUUACAUGUAACAAUGGACGCACUAUGUAUUUUGUAAAAAAUUUCUCAGCAAUUUCUUCUUGAUCAAAGUACUCACUUAUACAAACACAUUCAUCACCAGAAUCACCAUAUUUACCACCAAUGUAAGUGCCUAAAAAUACAAAAUCAUAGAUUGCUUUCUGGCUAAAAUUAUCAUCACCAAAUAAUUCAAAAUAACCACUACUACAAUCAUCCAAAAUUUUCAUACUGUCAGUCAACUCUUUUGGAGUAAAGUAUUUUUCAACUCCGAUGACAUCCAUAUCUAUCAAAUCAAACAUUCUCCCAUGACUUUGAAGAGAGUCCGCAACCAACGAAUUUUUCAACAACAAUUUCAUGUUCUCUUCUCUUAUCAAAUCAAAAUUUUCUUCUUCUUUUGUCAAAUUACCAUUUUAUUUUUUUCAACAAAUUCAUUACUUCUAAUUUCUCCAAACAAGGUACGCAAAUCAAAACUAUCAAUUGAUUCAAAAUUUUCAAUAUCACCCAUAUUAUCAACAAAUCUAUCAUUUUUAAAAUCCACAAACUAAUUCCAACAACUAGACUUCGGUUUGAAAGCAUAAUUUCUCUCAAUCGUGUGCAAAACAUAGUAAAUAUUCUUCCAAAAUCUCUAAAGUAUUUUAGUACAACCAAUAAAGGUUUUAUAAAUACUUUUUGCCAUUAAUUUAUGCAUCACUUGAAAGAAUAAUUGUGCCUUUUUCUUAAAAACAUGUUUUGCCAACUUACUUGCGUCAACCCAACAAAGAAUAUCAUCCAAAUUACAUUGUUUGACAUAUUUUUCCACUGUUAAAAUCCAACCAAAUAUGUAUGUAUAUUUGUGCUUAUAGGAGUCAAUAUGAAAAAUUUUUCACCGUCAAUCAGAUCUUUAUAAUAUUCCAUUAUUUAACAAUUUGUAUACCUGAAUAAAUUUUUUUCCUCCAUCCUGUCAUGUUUUCUUGGCCUCCCUGGUUGACUAACCAAAUUAUUGUUGUAUGUAUACCCAUGCUCGUCAAACCUCAUUCGUGUACACUCGUAAGGAGUGGUUCUGAGCUUAUUGUGAAUGCUCAGUACCAAGAAGUAGAAGAGAGAAUGCAUAAGAGAGAAUUAACUUGGCUAAAGAAUUAGGAAACAAUUGAGGGAUUUUUUAAGAAAUUAAUUCUCCAACUGCCACUUUUGGAAAUUUUCUAUCAACAACUAGUUACCAAAACACUAGCACAUAGUAAGAAAUCUGGAUAAUUUCAGAAACCUCCCUUGAGGCUUUUAAUAAUCUCGAGAAGCUCCCCUCAAUUUUUAAAAUUGCACGUACCAUCCCUAUUGGUGCAAAAGUACUCUACUACCCCUAAUAGGAUACUCAAAAGACUUUUUUUAUGGGAAAAAAGAAGGCCAGAAAUCCAAGCGAAAACAAAAAAAAUCAAUUUAUUUUCUCUUUUAGCCUUUUACGCUUUUGCCUUCUACCUUUGCUCACUUUCCCAUGCCAAUCUUCCUAUAACCACUUUCCCAAUCCCCUUUCCCCAACUUUUCUUCUCUACUUCAAGACCAAUUUUUGUCCAUCAAUCCUGGCUUGUGCUUUGUUCCAUUCCCUUCCCUUCUCCUUCUUUGAUUUCCCCUAUAUCUCCCCUUCUCUUUGCAAAAGUGACUAGGCUCAUCUCUCUCCUUUUUUUCCCCAUAUUUUAAGUGUAGUGGGUUUGAUUAUUUUGCAUCUAUUUUAUUUGAUUUUGGUUGAUUAUGGGUGAUAAAACUUGGUGAUGUCACAUAUUAAAAGUUUGAUAGAUGGAUAUUGGGCUUUAGACAAUGAUUUGCUGAAAAAAAUGGCCGCAAUGAGAGGAAGAGGCAAAGGGAUUUGAGUGUGGGGUUGAUUGUUGAUGAAUUGUUGUUUUGGAAAAAAUUUGAGGUUGAGUUUUAUCAAAUUUGGUAGCAAGUGGCGAGAUUUGUUCAGGUUGCGGGAAAUAAAUUGGUUUGUGGUUUCUUGGGCACCCACAGUCGUUGGAAUUGGUUUUGAUUCAAAUUAGGGUGGUUACUUGAUUUUCCUAAUAGUGUUGCUUAAAAGCACACGAUCAUCAAAAUUCCUUAUUUUUAUCUUUUAUUUUUUUUUUGUAGAAAAGAUUUCAUGACUUUCGUGAUAGUCUAAUUUGGAAGAAGGCAAUCAAGGGAUGCAAUCAACAUUUAGCAAAAGCUCUUGUUCUUUUCUUUGUAAUUUUUAGGGUAAAAAGGGUUGUUUAGGGUAUUUGAAGGAAAUGAUAGUCUAUUGGGUCUAUUUUGAAGCAUAAAUAGUGAACGUAAGGGAGGUUGGUGUUAUUUCUGAAACCUAAGGGAAUUGUCUGAAAUUGUCCGAGACCUCGGAGGAGGUUUUCAAAAUUAUCCGUAAGAAAUCAAAUGCGAAACUUGAUUCGUACACGCACACACGACACCACACCACGUCACGCGUGUGUUGAGGACUGAUGUCCGUAGCCAACGACAAGCAGGUUUUCAAUUUUUUUUUCCUUUCCUGGAUUCAGAGAUGGUGUCAGCUUCUAUUAUUGGUGAGCAGGAGGAAAUCCACAAUAUACAGUACACAUCACCCAUAUUCUUUUUAAUUGAACAAUGUAUGAAAUUAUGGUGAUUCGAAAUUAAAUUAUAUGUUUAUUGGACAACGAAUCCAAAAUAAGAGUUGGAAAUGUAUUGUGACAACAAUUGUUAACUUUGGCCACAAAUGAUCAAAAUAAAUAUUUAAGGUUUAAUAUGACAUUAUGGGUUCAAAAUAUAGUUACUUGUUAUGAAACAACUAAAAGUGCGGAUGCCCAUUUGUAUUCUCAAAAGGAUCAAUUCAUAAUUCAUUGCUCCCAAGAUGAUUAAUUCAUAAUUCAUUGCUACAUUAUGUAAAGAAAUUACAUUGGAUGAAUGGUUUCAAUCCAUAAGAGCUAUUCAUGUAUUGGAUGAACCGUUUCAUAUGGCUAUUCAUGUUCUUGUAGUAAUGAGUGUUUAAUAGAAUUGAUGUACCUUUAAUUUUAUAGUACCUAUACAUAGAGGUACCUGGCACCUCUUCGGUGUACUUUUUGAUUAGUUGGAAUAAUAAGAAAAUCAUUCUCCAUUUCUGUACUCUUUCACUAAUAUUUCAAUUCCUAUUAUAGUAGUUCAUUUUUUUUUAGUUUUACAACACGUUAUCAGUACGAGUCUCUCCUUUUAAACAAAAAGGUGAAAACGGAGCCUCUACCUUAAAAAAAAAGUGAAACACGAGAUUUUGCCGAAAUUCUGCCGUAUUUUUCCAGUAACUUCUGUCUACUUAUUGAGAAAUGGAUGCCAAAUAUUUGGGAUUAAAUGAUGGUGAUGAUGACAUUUGUCUCAUUGAUAGUGCUACUACGCGCACUAUAUUGAAAAAUAAAAAAAUUUUCUUGUAUGAAAAUGGGAGAGACAAAUGUUAAUAUCAUAAGUGGUAGUGCAAAAUUGAUUGAAAGAUUCGGAAGAGCCACUCUAUUUCUUCCUAAAGGGACUAAAAUUGUCGUAAAUAAUGCACUAUUGUCUCCCAAGUCUCGGAGAAAUUUAUUGAGUUUUAAAGAUAUCCGCAAAAACGGAUAUCAUAUUGGGACAAUGAUUGAGACAAAUGGAAAAUUUUUAUUAAUCACAAGUAUCAUUUCUAGACAGAAAUACGUAGUAGAAAAAUUACCUUCUUUUUCUUUUGGCUUAUAUUAUGCACAAAUUAGUGCAAUUGAAAUUUAUCACCUAGUAAACCAAAAGUCUAUUCAUCCCAAUAAUUUUAUCAUUUGGCAUGAUCAUUUCAGAAAUCUUGAAUCUAUAAUGAUGAGACAAAUAAUCGAGAAUUCACAUGGUCACUCAUUGAAAAAUCAAAAGAUAUUAAAAGCAAAUGAAUUCUCCUGUGUUGCUUGUUCCCACGGAAAAUUUAUUAGACCAUCACCAGCUAAAGUUGGGACUGAAUCCCCUACAUUUCUAGAACGAAUUCAUGGUGAUAUAUGUGGAUUAUUUCGAUAAUUUAUGGUGCUAAUUGAUGCAUCAUCUAGAUGGUCACAUGUAUGUUUAUUAUCUACUCCCAACCUGGCGUUUGCGAGUUUGCUUGCUCAAAUAAUUAAAUUGCGAGCACAAUUUUCAGACUAUCCAAUAAAGAAAAUUCAUCUAGAUAAUGCUGGUGAAUAUUCAUCACAUACUUUUGACGAUUAUUGCAUGUCCAUUGGAAUAACUGUUGAACAUCUUGUAACUUAUGUUCACACACAAAAUGGUCUAGCCGAAUCAUUUAUUAAACGGCUACAAUUAAUUGCUAAACCAUUGUUGAUGAGGUUUAAACUACUUUCAUCUGCUUGCGAACAUGCUAUAUUACAUGCAGCAACACUUGUGAGAAUUAGACCGACAAGUUAUCAUACUUAUUUUUCCCUACAAUUAACUUUUGGUUAUGAAUCCAAUAUUUUUCAUUUAAGAAUAUUUGGUUAUUCAGUUUGUGUUCUAAUUGCACCGCCCCGACGUUGUAAAUUGGGCUCGCAAAGAAGAUUGAAAAUAUAUGUCGGGUAUGAAUCACCUCUAAUUAUUAAGUAUAUGGAACCAUUGACAGAUGAUUUAUUUAUUGCGAGAUUUGUAGAUUGUCAUUUUGAUGAAUCAGAUUUUUCAACAUUAGGGGGGAGAUAAAAAUCAACCGAAAAAGGAAAUCACUUUAAAAAUAUCAUUGAAUUUUCUCGAUUCUCGUACAAAAGAAUGUGAACUAGAAAUUCAAAAGAUUAUACAUUUGCAAAAAAUUACAAAUCAAUUACCGGAUGCAUUUAAUGACUCCAGAAGAGUUACUAAAUCACAUAUUCCUAUUGAAAAUGCUCUGAUUAAAAUUAAUAUCCUUGAAGGACAAAUUACAAGUGCUAAUGAGUCUAAAGUGCGCCUGAAGCGUGGGAGAUUUCUUGGUUCCAAAGAUAAAAAUUUUCGAAAGAAAAGAGGAGUACAUGAAUCAACAAUUAAUGACAAAAUUUAACCUCCUGAAGAGAUCGCUCCUAAAGAGCCAAUUCUUGAAGAGAAUAAAAUCAUAGAAAAUUCAAUAAAUUUUGUCACUUCAGGGAAAAGUUGGAACCGAAAAGAAAUAAUUAUUGAUAGUAUUUUUGUAUAUAAUGUAGCACUUGAUAUUAUGGUAGAGAAUGGGGAUUACGAGCCUAAAUCGAUUGAUGAAUGUCGACGUAGAAAUGAUUGGCCAAAAUGAAAAGAUGCGAUCCAAUUUGAAUUGGACUCACUGGUUAAAAGAAAAGUUUUUGGACCUGUAGUCCAAACACCUGAAGGUGUGAAGCCAGUAGGAUAUAAAUGGGUAUUUGUGAAAAAAAAAUGAGAAAAAUGAAAUCGUGAGGUAUAAAUUAAUACUUGUAGCCAAAGGAAUUUCACAAAGGCCUGGAUUUGAUUAUGAUUACACGUAUUCACUUGUAGUGGAUGCUAUCACAUUUAGAUAUCUUGUGAGUUUUGCAGUACAUGAAAAAUCAGAUAUGCAUCUAAUGGACGUCGUUACUGCAUAUUUAUAUGAAAAUCUUGAAAAUGAUAUUUAUAUGAGAAUUCCCGAAGGAUUCAAUAUGCCUGAAACAUGCAAAUCAAAUCUUAAAAAUAUUUAUUUAAUUAAAUUACAAAAGUCUUUGUAUGGAUUCAAACAAUCUGAACGUAUGUGGUACCGCCUUAAUGAAUGUUUAACUAAAGAAGGCUAUACCAAUGAUCCAAUAUGUCCAUGUGUCUUUAUCAAGAAAAAUGGAUCAAAUUUUGUGAUAAUUGUUGUAUAUGUUGAUGAUCUAAAUAUGAUUGGAACACCUGAAAAGAUUCAAAAUAGUGUUGAAUAUUUGAAAAAAAAUUUGAGAUCAAAGAUUUUGGAAAAAUAAAAUUUUUCCUUGGUUUACAAAUUGAGCAUUUGAAAAGUGGAAUUUUGUCCACCAAACUGCUUAUACCCGGAAGGUAUUAAAGCGAUUUUAUAUGGAUAAGUCACAUACAUUAAGUAUUCCAAUGGUCAGAUCAUUAGAUCCUAAUAAGGACCCUUUUAGACCGCGAGAGGAAGAUGAAGAGAUACUUGGUCCUAAAGUACCAUAUCUCAGUGCAAUUGGUGCACUACUGUAUCUUGCUAAUUGUACAAGACUUGAUAUAUCAUUUACAAUAAAUUUAUUAGCAAGAUUUAUUUCCUCGCCCACAAGACGACAUUGGAAUGGUAUUAAACAUAUUUUUCGUUAUCUUUAAGGAACAAAUUGAUCUUGGCUUAUUUUAUUCAAAUAAAUCUAAACUUGAAUUGCUUGGUUAUGUUGAUGUUGGAUAUUUAUCUGAUUUGCAUAAAGCAAGAUCUCAGACUGGUUAUCUAUUUACAUAUGGAGGUACAACCAUUUCUUGGCGAUCUAGAAAGCAAUUAUUAGCCGCCACUUCAUCGAAUCAUGCUAAAAUAAUAGCAAUUCAUGAGGCUAGUCGAGAAUGUGUUUCGUUAAGAUCAAUGACCUACUAUAUCCGGAAGAGUUGUGGGUUAUCCUCUGAAAAAGAAAAUCCUCCGACUAUAUUUUAUGAAGAUAAUGCAGCUUGUAUAGCUCAAUUGAAAGGAGAAUAUAUUAAAGGAGAUAGAACGAAAUAUAUUUCACCAAAAUUCUUUUUUACUCAUGAUUUACAAAAGAAUGGUGAAAUUGUUGUGCAACAAAUCCGAUCAGAUAAUAAUUUGAUAGAUUUAUUUACUAAUGUAUUGCCGACUGCAAUAUUUGAGAAAUUGGUGAAGAAUAUUGGAAUGCGACGACUAUAAAAUCUCAAAUGAUAUUUGCAUCAGGGGGAGAAAUCAAUACACAAGAAUAGUGUACUCUUUUUUUUUCACUAGAGUUUUUGUCCCGUUGGAUUUUUUCCUAGUAAGGUUUUAAUAAGACAUAUUCUUUGUGUAAUUAAUAUCCAAUGGGGAGUGUUAUGAAAUAACUAAAAGUGUGGAUGUCCAUUUGUAUUCUCAAGAAGAUCAAUUCAUAAUUCAUUGCUCCCAAGAGAAUUAAUUCAUAAUUUAUUGCUACAUUAUGUAAAGGAAUUACAUUGGAUGAUCGGUUUCAAUCCAUAAGAGCUAUUCAUGUAUUGGAUGAACCAUUUCAUAUGGCUAUUCAUGUUCUUGUAGUAACGAGUGUUUAAUAGAAUUGAUGUACCUUUAAUUUUGUAGUACCUAUAUAUAGAUGUACCUUAGCUGAUAGGUUGCAAUUUUAUCAUUUAUUUUAUAAUUAAUUUCUCCUAUUACCUGACUUGAUGUGGAUUAAUUGCGGGAUUCUACUCACUUUUAGUAUUUUGCAUUUAUUUCAGGGAGUAGAGCGAAAAUAUAAUAACAGGUGCUAAUUUGACAAAAAAAGAGUCCAAGGCACAGAGCUUAUCCCGGGGGCAUUAUUGGCAAAGGAAGACUUUUGCCCAUUUUGGUAAUUUCAAAAGAAGAGAGCAGGGCAGAGGCCUCUAUUUUACUGGAGGCUGGAGCGCCGCACAAAGGGAGCUUCUUCUUCCUUCGGAGGCUCCGUCCUCUCCGCAAGGGGGCUGCCGCACACAGCAGCCAUUAGAAUAGGAGCAAUUGAUAUAUGACAGAGAAUGAGCACUAGCACCAGGGAGUUGCCUUUGUUGACUUUUCUUCCCUUUUAGUUCUUAGUAGUUGUUUUACCUUCCUCGUACGUAGGACCUUUAGCAUAGUUUCCUUUUGACUUUCCCUUGAGUCUUGGGUGGAUGUCUCCUGCGCAUGUCAGGAGCAAUUGAAGGUCUCGGUCACUUUCUGUAUUCUUCCAUCAACUGAGCGAACUGAGCUCCCUUGGUCAAGGGCAAUGGCUGCGGCUUCCUCUCCAACUUUGUGUGGGAUUCGUUCACCAGGAAUGAACUAAUUUUUCUUUUCUAGUCAAGGAACAACGGAGGUCUUGGUUGGCCUAAAUUUGUGAGAUCGAAUUAGUUUUUAUUUAUUUCCAUUAUUCACUGGUAUUUGUCUAUCUUCUGCUUUAUGUUCAUAUGGUUGUUUUAUUAUUCGAUUAUCCAGGGCCCGGAUACUAGAUUAAUUCAAUAACCUGAAGCCAAUUAGGAUAGUUAAAUCCGUAAUUGUUUAAUUAUUCUAAACUGCUGGCAACUGGCAUGAUUGGGUUUGUGUCAGGGGGAUAAACAUGCUAACUUAAAGAGACCCUCGUAGCGUGUUGAUUGGUUAGAAUUAGGCUCUUCUAAUUAUUCAUGCAAUUAGGGAAUUGAACUUCUAUGGUCGUACCUAGGGUUAUUUCCUGAUUAGAGAAAUAGUCAACGGUCGUACCUUGGCUAUCGACAAAUUGAGGAAGAGUUGGUUGUUUAUCGCGUGUAUGGCAACUAUAACUAAUUUAUCAGAUAGUAACUGGAAUAAUCCUUGCAUCUGUGAUCGAAUUAAGUGAACCAUCUCCGAAGUUGUCUCUUGGCUAGAGUUCGUCAAUUAUUAUUUUUAUUGUGAUAAUUAGUUAUUUGAGUUGUAGUUAUUUUAUUUUAUUUAUUCCAAGUAAUUUAGUUACUCUCAUUUUCAAAAACCCCCCAUAUCUGGAACUUGAGAAGAAAUUAAAUUAUCCCCAGUCCCUGUGGAUUCGACCCUGCUCACCGCUAUAUACAGAAUUUGUAUUUUAUUUGAGCAGGUAUUUAUUAUUGCACAGGUUCGGCACCUGUCAAUUUUUUGCUACAUUAUGUAAAGGAAUUACAUUGGAUGAUCGGUUUCAAUCCAUAAGAGCUAUUCAUGUAUUGGAUGAACCAUUUCAUAUGGCUAUUCAUGUUCUUGUAGUAACGAGUGUUUAAUAGAAUUGAUGUACCUUUAAUUUUGUAGUACCUAUAUAUAGAUGUACCUUAGCACCUCUUGGGUGUACUUUUUGAUUAGUUGGAAUAAUAAAAAAAUCAUUCUCCAUUUCUGUACUUCUUUCUCUAAUAUUUCAAUUCCUAUCACAGUAGUUAUUUUUUUUUAGCUUUACAACAUUACUUAAAUAAGAGAGUUAUUGGACUAUAUGUUUAUUGACCUCUACUAACUUAUUUAAGGUCAUUUCAUAUCACUAUCCAAAGAAGAAUUAAGGUCAUUUCAUAUCACUAUCCAAAGAACAAUUCUUGGGCGCUAACAUUUUUCUUACAUGACUAUUAAUGAAAGUUGACCCAAAUCUCUCUGUCUCUCUCUUUCUUUCAAUUCUUAGGACUGAUGCCAAUUCUUACCAUUUAGAAAGAAAAAUUAGAUUGUUUAUAUAUAUGAUGAGUUCCCUCUAAGUCAUGGUUAAGAAAAAUUCUUAGUUAAACGCAGUUUUAUGAAAUGUGAAUUUCCUUUUCUUUGUCUUUAUUCAUUAGUAUUAUUGGGGUUAUUGUAUUAUGAUUGCAAUGCACAGAUACAUGGAUUUUUGACAUUUUUUCUUUUUAAUUGACUCUGACUAUGCCUCAAACUCGAGACAUCAAACCUGGACACGACUUUUGUCCAAAAUGCUUGUAAAAAUUCAGAAGAAUAAUUUUGGACCUUAUUAUUUGAUAAUGGUACAAUUAUGAGAGUCAUUCCAGGUUAAUUAUCAAACUUGGAACUUGAAAAUAAUGUCGACAUCAUGUCAUUAUUAUUUUUUAGUUUCAUAGAAAAAUGAAGUAUUCUCCAACUCGACAUUAUCAUAGUAUUUUCAAUUGGCAGCUCAUGUGAGAAAGACAAGAAAUUCACAAUCAACUGGCCAAGAGAGUGCCAACAAAGAAAGCACUAAAUGGCUUAAACAAUGCAUGCAAAUUUGCUUGGCACUUAAACAAUAGACACCUAAAUCAACCAUGUCACUGUCUUGCCAAAAAAGGGCAUUAAAGUAAAAACAACUCAUGCCUACCACAGGUAACAAACUUCAGCACCUUCACUUCACUACCAUGUCAGCAACAACAUUUGCAAAUUUCCAAGGAAGUCCACGCACUAAAGGUGCCCAUGCCCUUAGGGGACCUCAGGUUAGUGUUCUUAACCUCAACUCCUGUCUUUCUGUUCUUAGGAAAUAUUGAAAUUAAACGUUAUAACUAAUCCUGAUUUCCUUGUGCUAUAUUUGUACACAAUUUGGCAACAAGGGUAAAAAAAAAUAAAAAUAAAAAGGUUUAUCUGCAAACUGUAGUUCGGCCUGGCUCUUUUUUUUUUUUUUUUUUUUGGGGAUAAGAUCAUCUCAGCACCCGCAGACCCCGUCAUGUAUCAAUAUUUCUGUACUUAGCAUUGGCUUCUUCUCGCCUGAAGAACACACGAACCACCGAAAUAGAUGGUGCAUGAAAGUGCACUUAACCCUUUUAAUUUUUCAAAACAAUCUUUUAGAAAAAAUAAUAAAAACUUUUUGAAUUUAAUUUUAGAGAAGAAGAAUUUUAAAAUUUUUUGAAUUUAAUCUUAGAGAAGAAGAAGUUUAAAAUGUACUUUAAUUUUCACAACUGAUGAUGAAAAUAGCAAAAUGUACACGGAUAGUGACAAAAGUGGGAUCACGGGCAGGAAAUCCUGAAGGUUGCGUGCAUUUUACACACGGCAUAAUUCUGUUUGUAUAUAGUGUAAUUUACUUUUUACAACGUGUAAUUUUAAAACAAAAUUUUGUAAGUCUCACACAUUUUAUUAAAAAUAAGGUACAAGAUGAAAUUUGGACCAUAUAAUUUUUUUUAAUCAAAUCUUGACCGUGAACUGCUCAGAAACGGUUUACCUGAUGACCGUCCCUGGUCCAAACCCGACAAAGGUGCCAUCUUAUCCUUUUACUGACUGGCCCGUUUUCCAAUGAGAGGGCCCAGAAGGGGUGCCUCUGCUUCAUAGUUUAUCCAUAUUGAUAUUUCUUUUCUGUCCCCCUAACUAUUAAAUGUGAAAGGUUGCCCACCAAAUUUGACGAAACCGUUUAUCCUAAUUGAUUAUUAUCAAUAGGGCAUAACUUUAAUAUUCUUCUUCCAACCCUUUCUGGUGAUUCCUGCAACUCCAGCCGUCCGUCAAUGACCAUAAAGCACCAUUAACCGACAACUAACUAACCACUAUUAAUCUAUUCUCAAAUUUUAAUGAAAUUGCACAAUCUAUUCUCAAAUCAAAUUUGAACAACAUUUUAUAGUCGAUAACUUUGAAACUUGAUAAAAAAGUCUGUUUAAACUCGGUUUAGUAAAUAAACAAAUCAAGUUUGAACAAAAUUUUAAACUCAUUAAAAUAAUUAAACACGUUUGAAUAUUAGGGUAUUCGAUUUAAUUAGACACGUUUGUAUCCCUAAUUAAAGCAUGCACUUUUAUAAGUUUAGGAAUCAACAUUAUACAUUUAAUAGCUAGCUAGAGGGUCAAAAAGUUAAUUGCCUUAAAUUCUUUUAGCAGCCAUAAGGUACAGUUGGAGGGAUUCCCUUGAAAUUGGUUAGAUUCUUCUAUGUGACUAAAGAAUUUCGGGUGUGACGCAUUACUAGUCCUACCCUAAAAAAAAAUGGUAUUACUAGUCCUUUUUUUCUUUUUUGGCGUGCCCCCGUCGUGGGAUGUGGGGAGGGGAGUCUGUGCGAGAAUUCUAGGUCGGGGUACAAGGAGCCAAAGUUCACCUUAUUCAAAGUAAACAACCGUCCAUCUCAGUUGUCGACUUUCCUGUCGAUUGCGUAUAUAUAUAUAUUACUAUCUUUUACCAUGACUUUAGAGGAUAGCUAAUUUUGCUUGCUAUUAAAUAAUAAUUUCGGUAGUCUAUAAAUACUCUUGUUCCUCACCGCUCCUAGCACCACAUAAUUCCUUCAAGAACAGCCAAAACCUUCUUGAAAUCCCUCUUUUUCCUUCUAGUUCAUUUCCAAGAAACAAAUGGCCCCUGUCACUUCCAGUUAUGAGGUCACCUCCUCAAUCCCUCCUGCAAGGUUGUUCAAGGCCACCAUCCUCGAAGAGAAGCAUCUUCACAAGAUCUUGCCACAGGGCGUUAAGAGUGUCGAAAUCCUUGAAGGAGAUGGUGGAGUUGGCACAAUUAAGUUGACCACAUUUGUUGACGGUAAGAUAAUCAAUACAAAGUGAUUAUUUUCACACAUUUGAAGUCUUCAAAUUUUUCUCUUUUUUUCCCUUUUAUUUGGGAAAAACUAAUGACUUUUUUUUUUUGGUUGGGUUAAAUAUUUAGGUGGCGAGCAUAAGACUGCCAAACAGAGAGUUGAUGGAAUUGACAAAGAAAAAUUUACAUACAGCUAUACUGUACUUGAAGCUGAUGGAUUUAACGAUGUAAUCGAGAAAAUCUGUUGUGUCAUCAAAUUUGAACCCUCUGCUGAUGGAGGUUCAAUCUGCAAAACCACUAACACAUACUACCCCAAAGGUGGUGCUCAGAUCAGUGAGGAACACCUCAAGGGAGGAAAAGAGAUGGGUUUGGGAAUGGUUAAGGCUGUUGAGGCAUACCUCCAUGCAAAUCCUACUGCCUACAACUAAUUAUAAUGAAUGCUACUGCAAGGACUCUUCGACAUAUUUUCUUCAAGAUUGAAGUAUAAACUGAGGGUGUCUGUUUCCUUUUUUGCUUGGUUUGCUUAAGCUGUUUGGUUAAGUUAUUCGCAGCAAGAGAAUAAAAUAAUUCAUUUGCUGUUUUUAGAUAUGAAUUCAUGACUGUCAGUAGUCUAUAAAUACACUUAUUGCUCACCACUCUUUGCACCGCAAAAUCUUUUCAAGAUCCAUCAAACCCUCCUGUUCUUGAUCUUUCUCCAUUUGUGAAAAAACAAAUUAAAGCAUCAUGGCCCCUAUCACUUGUAGUGCUGAGAUGACCUCCCCAAUGCCUCCUGCAAGGUUGUUCAAGGCCGCCAUCCUUGAUGACCACCUUCUUCCCAAGAUCAUGCCACAGGCUAUUAAAAGUGGAAAUUCUUGAAGGAGAUGGUGGAGUUUGAACCAUUAAGUUGAGCACAUUUGGUGACGGUUAGAUGUUAUAUUAAAUGUAGAACCCAAAUUUUAAGGAUCUAAUAAUAAUCAAUUAAUAAUAAUCAAUGCGUGCAGGGUUACAGAAUUGGAGGGAUAAAACAAAUACUCAAAUAAAUGUGGAAGAAAAGAAAAUAAUAAAUUCAACUCACAAAAUUAUUGAAAUUUCAAACAAUGAAAAAAAUCAUACCUUAAUAAAUUCAGUUGGUUUUAAUAAUAAUCAAAGCAUACAAGGUUAAAGAAUUAAAAGGAUAAAACAAACACUCAAAAUAUAUGUGGGAGAGAAGAAAAUAAUAAAUUCAACACACAAUAUUAUUGAAAUCUCAAACAAUGAAAAAAGUCACACCAUAAUAGAAAAUCUUGCAAAUUCUUCUAGAUUCUUUCUCUUGAGAAACCAACCUAAAUAAUGUUCUAUUUAUAAUCUACCAAACUUGUUAGGAAAGAAACCACUUGCAUAAGAAAUUACCAAAUAAAACAGAAAUUCCUAAAUCACACAACUACUAAAAACAUAACUCAAAUAAAACUAAAAAAUAAAUAAAUUUUUCUUGGCUUAGUUUAAUUUGUUAACAUUGCCUCCCUUAAACCAAACUAUCCAUUGAGAUAUGUUCAACACCAUCUCGAGUAACAAUUUCUAUGCAAAUCUAUGUUGUAGUAUACUUGACAUGAAACUCUAACUUGUUACCAGUUAUUAAUUUCAUCUUUACACGUAACAGUGGACGUACUAUGUAUUUUGUAAAAAAUUUCUCAACAAUUUCUUCUUGAUCAAAGUACUCAUUUAUACAAACCCAUUCAUCACCAGAAUCAUCAUAUUUACCACCAAUGUAAGUUCCUAAAAAUACAAAAUCAUUGCUUGCUUUCUCGCUAAAAUUAUCAUAACCAAAUAAUUUAAAAUAGCCACUACUACAAUCAUCCAAAAUUUUCAUACUGUCAGUCAACUCUUUUGGAGUAAAAUAUUUUUCAACUAUAAUGACAUCCAUAUCUAUCAAAUCAAGCAUUCUCCCAUCACUUUGAAGAAAGUCCGAACCAACGAAUUUUUCAACAACAAUUUCAUGAUCUCUUCUCUUAUCAAGUCAAAAUUUUCUUCUUCUUUUGUCAAAUUACCAUAUUAUUGUUUCAACAAAUUCAUUACUUCUAAUUUCUCCAAACAAGGUACGCAAAUCAAAACUAUCAAUUGAUUCAAAAUUUUCGAUAUCACCCAUAUUAUCAACAAAUCUAUCAUUUUUAAAAUCCACAAACCAAUACCAACAACUAGACUUCGGUUUGAAAGCAUAAUUUCUCUCAAUCGUGUGCAAAACAAAGUAAAUAUCCUUCCAAAAUCUCUAAAGUAUUUUAGUAUGACCAAUAAAGGUUUUAUAAAUACUUUCUGCCAUUAUUUUACACAUCACUUGAAAGAAUAAUUGUGCUUUUUUUCUUAAAAACAUGUUUUGCCAACUUACUUGCAUCAACCCAACAAAGAAUAUCAUCCAAAUUACAUUGUUUGAGAUAUUUUUCCACUGUUAAAAUUCAGCCAAAAUAUGUAUGUCUAUUUGUGUUUAUAGGAGUCAAUAUGGAAAAUUUUUCACCAUCAAUCAGAUCUUUAUAAUAUUCCAUUAUUUAACAAUUUGUAUACCUGAAUAAAUUUUUUUCCUCCAUCCUGUCAUGUUUUCUUGGCCUCCUUGGUUGACUGACCAAAUUAUUGUUGUAUGUAUACCCAUGCUUGUCAAACCUCAUUCGUGUACACUCGUAAGGAGUGGUUUUGAGCUUACUGUGAAUGCUUAAUACCAAGAAGUAGAAGAGAGAAUGCAUAAGAGAGAAUUAACUUGGCUAAAGAAUUGGGAAGCAAUUUAGGGAUUUUUUAAGAAAUUAAUUCUCCAACCGCCACUUUUGGAAAUUUCUAUCAACAACUAGUUACCAAAACACUAGGACAGCGAUCCGUCUCUAUUUUACUCUUCAAGUCUUCGCCGGGGAAGCAACCCGGCCUUGCGAGACUAUAAUGAAUAGGCACUUGCCUUCUGUUUUUACUUUUUUUUUGUUCAAAGACUAUAAUGCCCUUAUUAUUUGACUGCGCAUCUCGCAAGAUAAUGCUUUCCAUCAAAAUUAACUGUUGGGUUUGACAGAAGCGCCACGAAUAUUCUAUUUUAUUAGAUCCAGAGUCAAAAUUUUACCGUUAAUUGUUAGAGGGUUAAAACUUUAUCUGGAAAGGAGUUGGAGGGCCAUUGGAACUCUUUUUCCAAAAAAAAAAAAAAGUCACUUUUGUCAUUUGUCCAAGAACAGUUCUGGGGCCAUCUCGACAGUAUAUAUUUUUCUUACAUGCCAAGACAAUUAAUGAAAAUUGACCAAUAACACACGCACACACACACACACACACACACACUCUCUCUCUCUCUCUCUCUCUCUCUCGGUUGCUGCCAAGUCUUUCCAUUGAAAAAGGAAAAUUCAUAUUGUUUACAUAGAUAAAUUACCUCCAGUCCGUGGAAUGUCUUGAUGUUAGGUGAGUUCUAAUAUUUUGGUAUCAUCUAGAGGUGGCAAAUCAACCCACUUAACUAAAUUUACCCAUAUCCGCCCAUGAAUAGAUGGGUAUGGAUAUCUUAAAUUUUUGUAUAUGAGUAUAAAUGGGUUACCCAAUAAUACCCAUUUAAAUGGGUAACCCAUCAAACCCAAUUAACCCAUUUAGAAUUCUCUUCCCCUCAAGUCUCUUCUUUUCCCCCACCUUUUUUUUUUUCAAAUUUUUCAUUUUGUCAUGAUGUUAACUACUUUUGUUUUAUUAUUAUUAUUUGUUGGUUUUAUCUUAUUAUUUUAUUUUCUCUUAGUUUGUUAACUUACUCAUUUUUUACCAUUACCAAUUUAUGAUAAAUUUUAGCCUAUUUUCUUAUCUUUAUAAAAUGAAAUUUUAAAUUUAUAUAUGAAAAAAAUGUUAGGGGUUCAAAAAUUUUGGAUUAAGUUUUUAUAUUAAUUUUUAUAGUACUUAGUUCAAAAUUUUAUAUUCUUAUUAUUCAAUUAUUAAAUAAUAGGUAAUUUUGUGACAUAGAGUAUAAAUGAAAAAAAAUUGGUAAUUAAGUUUAUUGAACAUUAUAAGUAAAUAUUUAAAACUAAUGAUGGGUAUAAAGAGUGAUAUAAAUUGAUAACUUAGUUUGCAAAAAUGAAUUUAAAUGAGUUUGCAAAAAGUUAAAAUAAAUGGGUUAUAAAUGGGUAAUUGGGUUACCCAAUUCAUUUUUUGACUUGCCUAUUUAUACCCAUAUAAUUAAAUGGGUAUAAAUGAGUUGACUCACUUAUACCCAUUACCCAUUUUACCCAACUCAAACCCGCCCAAGUCACCCAUUUUGACACCUUUAGUAUCAUCUAAUGUUCAUUUGUGAAAGAUUGAGAAAUGAUAAAGAGCAAAACACCAAUUUAUUCCAUAAAUUAUUUUGCUAAAAUCAAAAUAGUCCAUAAAUUUUCUUUUGGCCAAAUUUUUGUCAUGAACUUUCAGAAACGGUUGCAGGGGAUUUCAUCCGGAUUGCUUGUGCAGUUGAGUAACUAUACAGAAAUUCUUUUUGGGAUGCUGAGUAUCUUAGGAUGGGUACAAUGAUCGCUUAGAUCAGUAGAGAUGAUUGAUGAUGUAGUAGGGGAAGAUUCCCUUUAUAAAGCUGAUUUUCUCAUGAUUAAUAAGAAUAUAAAUGUUACCAAAUUUUCUUUUCAAAUGUGUAACGAAAAUAUUGGCCAUGAUCAGCAAGACCUCCUUAAUUAUAAAAGUUUCUUGAAUGUCAUCAUCCAAUUUGUUUAAGCGAGGAUUUUUAAAUGCUAUCUUUAAGCAAAUUGAUUUUUGUAUUAUAGAUACUUACUACUAUUACUUCAUACCUAGCUACAAACCUCAUGUAUGUUUUAGUUUUAAUCCAGAACAAAUCAGGGCCACGGGCCACCUUGCACAUAGCGAGAGUGGAAAAAUAAAACUACACAAUUGCUUUUUUGAAGCCAGUGACUCAACUGAUUUUGCGCUCGGCAAUUCAUCCGAUUUUCAUUAAAAGGGCCCUAAGAGGCCAUUGGCGUUUUGGGCCUGUGAAAAUUUGGAUGAUUUGGUGUGUCCAAUGCAUGUGUAAGCACAAAUUUUGUUGUCUAAAAUAAAAGACAAGAAAACUUACAUAAAUAUCAAAUUUAUUAAAUUAAAUAACAAGAGGGUUACAAUAUUUGAAAAUUUUUGAAUCAAAGAAAUUAAUCUCCUAAUUUUUAUCUUCAAAAGGCUUUAAUCGGAAGGCCAAAAAGGCUUGUUCUCCGAUCAAGAGGGUGUUUUCUAUGAUUUCUAUGUAAAAAACGGCUGCUUUGAUGAUGACGUUAAUAUUUGAAUCUUUAAAUCUUCAACGCCGAUGGAAGGAGGAUUUAUUUAACUUAAUUUGGAUUUGGAUUUGAAUUUGAGGGAAAAAGCUCUCAAGAGAAUUUGACAAAGUUACUUUGAAAUUUAGGAAUUUUAAUGUAUUUUUGCCUUGAGGGAAGACCUUUAUUUAGAGUCAACAUAUGCAAGCUAUGUCUUCAAGAGAAUCCUUCAAAACCAUCUUGCGUUUGGGUAACUUGUACCUUAAGAAACCCAUUUAACUUGGAGUUAAAUAGUCGGCCGACCCAAAUAGUCAAUUGUGAAUUAACAAAUCAAUUAAAUCACUUUAAUUUAAAUGGGCAUCACAUUUUUUAUUUGAUUUAAUAGCUCAUAUAACAUUGGCUCAAUUUGUCAAUCCAAAACAUAAUGAACUUCUAUAAUUUAAUUUAAUUUAAUAAAAAUCAAUUUAAUUUACUUAAUCUUGCCUAAAAAUAAAUUAAAUAAAUUUUCGUUGUCUAUGUCCCCACUUCAAAACUUGGCAAGGCAUUGCAUGUUUAUUUGAAUUAACUUAAAACUUCUUAAUACGAUUCAUCUAAGCACCUUUAUAUAUAUAUAUAUAUAUAUAUAUAUAUAUAUAUAUAUAUUUAUUUAUUUAUUUAUAUAUAGAGGUACAGAAGACAUGUCUUUGUCUUGAAACUGUGACAAACAGGACACUUAAGACAAGGGCGUGUGAAGACUAUCGCACUAUUUGAGCGAAAAAAACCUGUUUUGCACGUAUAUUUUGAAGGUAAUCAUCUUUAUUGUCUUUUGACAACUUCAUGUUGGUCGAGUAUCAGAUAUUCACCAAAUUUUGUUGAAAUUUGUCAAAACUUGAUUUGUUUCCAAUUUGGAGAAAAAAAAAGAUUUUUUUCUUCGUUUCUGCAAUUUUCCAGGUCACUCUUUCCUAUCAACAUGUUACGAUUCAGAAAUUGAGACAAAUCUUGUACAUAGGAAUCUUUUUUAACAGCUGAUGGUUGGAAUUUAGCAGACACCUUGAAGUCAAAGAAGGCAAAUAGCAUUCCAAUAGCAUUAUUUGGUUGCAUGCCAUAUCCAAGAUUUUCACUAGUAAGCCACCAUUUUCUUGCUUUUGAUUGUUAUUCAUUCUCUGUUGCGCAAUUUUAUUUUCGCACAAUCUAUUUUUUUCGUUGAAUUUUCUCUUUUGCAAAACAGCGACCACCAAGGAAAGACAGAAAGAUUUUUUUGUUUUUGUUUUUGUUUUUGUUUUUGUUUUUUUUUUUAUGGUUGCACCUUGUGUUGGCACCCCUUAUUUGAAGCAAGUUGAUGUUCCAGUUGUGUUGGGGAUUUUAGGGCCAUAGCUCUUAGAACUCAAAAUACUAAUGUAAUUUCCGCACUCCAUGACAUUUACUUCUUGUCAAUGCCAAACUCUCCUCUUUUUUUUUGUGAUAUGAAAGGAAGAUCUCUCGUUGCAACAUAUAUGGUGGACACUCAAUUUGAAAGAAGGUGCAACCACCAACUUGCACGAGAGCCAUAUCAUGGUUUGAGGAGUAUAAUGAAAAUGAUGCAACUGCAAACUCUUAUGAGAGCCAUAUCAUGGUUGAGAAGUACAAUGAAGAUAGUGCAAUCAAAAAUUUGAAAAAGGUGCAAUCGCAAACUCCCAUGAGAGCCUAUCAUGGAUUGAGGAGUACAACGAAGAAUGUGCCACAAAAAGUUGAAAAAUGUGCAAUCGCAAACUCGCACGAGAGCCUAUCAUGGUUUGAGGAGUACAAUGAAGAAGGUGCAACUACCCACUUCAAUGAGAGCUUACCAAAACUCGAGAAGCCCUUUCAUUUAACUUCACAUUGACUAUUUAUUACUUCUCUCACUGUCUUCGAUCACACCAUUGUAAUCAAAUUUUUUUCUCUUGCUUUUGGUCCUAACGAAAUGGUGAUGGUCAAGGAAGUUACAUCUUCAAACAAAAGGCACCUCCUUAUCACUAAUAGCCAUGAUGACUCUGCUGACAAAGGAACGAAAUUAUUGGUGCAUCCCUCUAUACAAGAAAUUUACUCUGGUGAUUGGUUUUCUCACAAGUAUUCCGAAUUAAAGGAUUGGUCACUAAAAUUUUCUCAAGAUGAUGGUACGAAAGUUCACUCCUUGAAAUUCCUUAUCAUAAUAAGGAGCCAAGGACAAUUGGCAGGCGAAUCCUAGAUGAGACUAAGGGUGCAAACGAGGCAAGUCGAAUCGAGUUUUGAAGUUAUUGAGUCGAGUUACACUUAUUUAUAUGCGAGCUCGAGUUCGAGGUCGAAAAAUAGAGCUCGAACUCGGCUCGAUGUAGGAAAAGGAAAACUCGAGAUCGACUCGCUUAUGGCUCGCGAGUUUAGCUCGAAUUCUGGCUCGCGAGCAGCUCGAGUUUUGCUAGAUUUUCUGGCUCGCAUGAAGCUCGAAGUCAGCUCGAUUCUAGCUCGUUAGGAGCUCCAGUUCGAACUCGAAAACAGCUCGAUUUUCUGGAAAUUUAUGCAAGAAAACAGAAUUUUUGUCCGCAUAUUUUUGAUAAAAUUUGAGCAUGAUAACAAUAAGUUUUCACAUAUUCUUGAUCUUGAGGCCUACAAAUUAUGCACUAAUACAAUCAUAAAUGUCCAAAUGUCCACUAAUACAAAUUAUCCAAAUGUCCACAAAUGUCCACUAAUACAAAUUAUCCAAAUGUCCACAAGAAGUCUGAAGAAUACCAGCUUGUUGUCCACAAAAACCAAGGCAUGACAUGAAGCGAGAAUUUCCUGACUGCGUCCUGGAACUUUACUCAUUUCUGUCUCUAAUUCCUCAUGAUCAGUUAGUCCACCAACAUUGAACAAUAUGGAUCAGGAAUGGGGAAAAAUCACUUUCUAACACUCAAGAUCACAUACAACUCAUAUCCAACAAAUAUCCUGAAGUUUCAUGAGUAUAAUCACAUUAAAAGAGAAAAGGAUACUGACAAGCAUGCUAAUCAAACUCAAGCAGAAAAGGUACUUUCUCCUUGCCGUCUCCGACAUCCCAGCCAGCAAAUGGCUGGGGUUCGUGACAGCUGUUUGGGUCCAAUCCAUCUCCGGCAACAACUAUACCUUCUCCAAUUACUCCGACGCCCUCAAAUCACUCAUGGCCCUCACUCAGCUCCAACUCAACAACCUCUCCGUCGCCAAUUGAUGUCAUUAAAGCAGAAAAUCGGCCUGAUGGCCUCCACCAGCUGCCAUCCCUAAUCCAAGAAGGUCGAGUGUAGUAUGCUUAGGACCAAAUACAGAUGGAGUUCCCAACAUCAGUUCCUUCAAGCUAGACCCACCAUCACACGGCAGCCCUAGUCCUAGGCCUACUACCAAUGAUGCACUAUCAGACUCAAUUGCCCUCCCACUCUUCGCCCGGAAAGACAGUGGUGAAAAGAGGUAAGGAGGUGGCGGCAAAGAGCGACGGGUUAGCCAAAGUUAGAAGAUCCUCUUUUUCUAGAUUUGCAAGUUUCCUACUCUAGAGACAAAAAUGUCCUUGAUAUUUGGUCGUGCAUCUUACAAGAUAAUGCUUUCCGUCAAUUUUAACCGUUGGAUUUGACGGAAGGGCCAUGAAUAUGCUAUUUUAUUAGAUCGAGAGCCAAAAUUUUACCGUUAAUUGUUGGAGGGUUAAAACUUUAUCUGGAAAAGAGUUGGAGGGCCAUUGGAACUCUUUUUCCAAAAAAAAAAAGUCACUUUUGUCAUUUGUCCGAGAACAGUUCAGGGGCCAUCUCGACAGUAUAUAUUUUUCUUACAUGCCAAGACAAUUAAUGAAAAUUGACCAAUAACACACGCACACACACGCGCACGCACACACACACACACUCUCUCUCUCUCGGUUGCUGCCAAGUCUUUCCACUGAAAAGGAAAAUUCAUAUUGUUUACAUAGAUAAAUUACCUCCAGUCCGUGGAAUGUCUUGAUGUUAGGUGAGUUCCAAUAUUUUGGUAUCAUCUAAUGUUCAUUUGUGAAAGAUUGAGAAAUGAUAAAGAGCAAAACACCAAUUUAUUCCAUAAAUUAUUUUGCUAAAAUCAAAAUAGUCCAUAAAUUUUCUUUUGGCCAAAUUUUUGUCAUGAACUUUCAGAAACGGUUGCUUCCUGCAACCGUUGGUGAGGGAUUUCAUCCGGAUUGCUUGUGCAGUUGAGUAACUAUACAGAAAUUCUUUUUGGGAUGCUGAGUAUCUUAGGGUGGGUACAAUGAUCGCUUAGAUCAGUAGAGAUGAUUGAUGAUGUAGUAGGGGAAGAUUCCCUUUAUAAAGCUGAUUUUCUCAUGAUUAAUAAGAAUAUAAAUGUUACCAAAUUUUCUUUUCAAAUGUGUAACGAAAAUAUUGGCCAUGAUCAGCAAGACCUCCUUAAUUAUAAAAGUUUCUUGAAUGUCAUCAUCCAAUUUGUUUAAGCGAGGAUUUUUAAAUGCUAUCUUUAAGCAAAUUGAUUUUUGUAUUAUAGAUACUUACUACUAUUACUUCAUACCUAGCUACAAACCUCAUGUAUGUUUUAAUCCAGAACAAAUCAGGGCCAUGGGCCACCUUGCACAUAGCGAGAGUGGAAAAAUAAAACUACACAAUUGCUUUUUUGAAGCCAGUGACUCAACUGAUUUUGCGCUCGGCAAUUCAUCCGAUUUUCAUUAAAAGGGCCCUAAGAGGCCAUUGGCGUUUUGGGCCUGUGAAAAUUUGGAUGAUUUGGUGUGUCCAAUGCAUGUGUAAGCACAAAUUUUGUUGUCUAAAAUAAAAGACAAGAAAACUUACAUAAAUAUCAAAUUUAUUAAAUUAAAUAACAAGAGGGUUACAAUAUUUGAAAAUUUUUGAAUCAAAGAAAUUAAUCUCCUAAUUUUUAUCUUCAAAAGGCUUUAAUCGGAAGGCCAAAAAGGCUUGUUCUCCGAUCAAGAGGGUGUUUUCUAUGAUUUCUAUGUAAAAAACGGCUGCUUUGAUGAUGACGUUAAUAUUUGAAUCUUUAAAUCUUCAACGCCGAUGGAAGGAGGAUUUAUUUAACUUAAUUUGGAUUUGGAUUUGAAUUUGAGGGAUAAAGCUCUCGACAGAAUUUGACAAAGUUACUUUGAAAUUUAGGAAUUUUAAUGUAUUUUUGCCUUGAGGGAAGACCUUUAUUUAGAGUCAACUUAUGCAAGCUAUGUCUUCAAGAGAAUCCUUCAAAACCAUCUUGCGUUUGGGUAACUUGUACCUUAAGAAACCCAUUUAACUUGGAGUUAAAUAGUGGUCCGACCCAAAUAGUCAAUUGUGAAUUAACAAAUCAAUUAAAUCACUUUAAUUUAAAUGGGCAUCAUAUUUUUUAUUUGAUUAAAUAGCUCAUAUAACAUUGGCUCAAUUUGUCAAUCCAAAACAUAAUGAACUUCUAUAAUUUAAUUCAAUUUAACUAAGAUCAAUUUAAUUUACUUAAUCUUGACUAAAAAUAAAUUAAAUAAAUUUUCGUUGUCUAUGUCCCCACUUCAAAACUUGGCGAGGCAUUGCAUGUUAAUUGCUGGAGGCAAGACUUGAAGUAUUAAUUUUACUGCUGACCUAAAGUCAAACUAAAUUAAAGACUUCAAGCGUUCGGCAUACGGGUGAUCCACUUUUUUUUUUUUUUUUUUUUUUUCCUUUUUCUUUGGGAAGAGAAUGGUCCACAUCAAUUGUAGAAUUGCACCUCAAAGUCCAAUUGAAUAGGCAACGGUCACGGGUCUUCACUUUCACCUACUACUUGAAUAAAGCCUUGAAGCUCUUGAAUUUUCCAACUCUUAAUUUAGUCGUCAAUGGAAGUGCAGCCCCACAAUAUUAGACCGCAACUUUGACCCGUAGAAUUAGAAACCCCCGUUUGAUUAUGCGAUGUGGGCUCCUGCGCAGAAACUCCCAUAUGCUGAAAUUUGGAGUUUGCUCGUACGUUUCUGACCACCAAAUCUUGUUUUGGCACUUGGCAAUAUGGAAUUUGCUGAGUUUCAACGCUUCCUAAACGGAACUUUAAUGUAUUUCCAAAACCAAUGUUUGCAACUUCUGAAUAAGAAUAUGCCAAAUUUUAAGAGCUUCCCAAAUUGACUUCCAGCCAUUGAAAUUAUUCUUGGGAACCAAAUUCAAAUGAUUUCCAAAAAGUUAAACGAUAAUCACUGAAUUUAGUAUCUGUCCAAAACUUAAAACUUCUUAAUAUGAUUCAUCUAAGCACCUUUAUAUAUAUAUAUAUAUAUAUAUAUAUAUAUAUAUAUAUAGGUACAGAAGACAUGUCUUUGUCUUGAAACUGUGACAAACAGGACAUUUAUGACAAGGGCGUGUGAAGACUACCACGCUAUUUGAGGGAAAAAAAACCUGUUUGACACGUAUAUCUUGAAGGUAAUCAUCUUUAUUGUCUUUUGACAACUUCAUGUUGGUCGAGUAUCAGAUAUUCACCAAAUUUUGUUGAAAUCUGUCAAAACUUGAUUUGUUUCUAAUUUGGAGAAAAAAAAAGAUUUUUUUCUUCGUUUCUGCAAUUUUCCAGGUCACUCUUUCCUCUCAACAUGUUACGAUUCAGAAAUUGAGACAAAUCUUGUACAUAGGAAUCUUUUUUAACAGCUGAUGGUUGGAAUUUAGCAGACACCUUGAAGUCAAAGAAGGCAACUAGCAUUCCAAUAGCAUUAUUUGGUUGCAUGCCAUAUCCAAGAUUUUCACUAGUAAGCCACCAUUUUCUUGCUUUUGAUUGUUAUUCUUUCUCUGUUGCACAAUUUUAUUUUCGCACAAUCCAUUUUUUUUCUUUGAAUUUUCUCUUUUGCAAAACAGAGACCACCAAGGAAAGACAGAAAGAUUUUUUGUUUUUGUUUUUGUUUUUGUUUUUGUUUUUGUUUUUUUUUUUUAUGGUUGCACCUUGUGUUGGCACCCCUUAUUUGAAGCAAGUUGAUGUUCCAGUUGUGUUGGGGAUUUUAGGGCCAUAGCUCUUAGAACUCAAAAUACUAAUGUAAUUUCCGCACUCCAUGACAUUUACUUCUUGUCAAUGCCAAACUCUCCUCUUUUUUUUUGUGAUAUGAAAGGAAGAUCUCUCGUUGCAACAUAUAUGGUGGACACUCAAUUUGAAAGAAGGUGCAACCACCAACUUGCACGAGAGCCAUAUCAUGGUUUGAGGAGUAUAAUGAAAAUGAUGCAACUGCAAACUCUUAUGAGAGCCAUAUCAUGGUUGAGAAGUACAAUGAAGAUAGUGCAAUCAAAAAUUUGAAAAAGGUGCAAUCGCAAACUCCCAUGAGAGCCUAUCAUGGAUUGAGGAGUACAACGAAGAAGGUGCCACAAAAUGUCGAAAAAUGUGCAAUCGCAAACUUGCACGAGAGCCUAUCAUGGUUUGAGGAGUACAAUGAAGAAAGUGCAACUACCCACUUCAAUGAGAGCUUACCAAAACUCGAGAAGCCCUUUCAUUUAACUUCACAUUGACUAUUUAUUACUUCUCUCACUGUCUUCGAUCACACCAUUGUAAUCAAAUUUUUUUCUCUUGCUUUUAUUGCAAGUUGGUCCUAACGAAAUGGUGAUGGUCAAGGAAGUUACAUCUUCAAACAAAAGGUACCUCCUUAUCACUAAUAGCCAUGAUGACUCUGCUGACAAAGGAAUGAAAUUAUUGGUGCAUCCCUCUAUACAAGAAACUUACUCUGGUGAUUGGUUUUCUCACAAAUAUUCCGAAUUAAAGGAUUGGUCACUAAAAUUUUCUCAAGAUGAUGGUACAAAAGUUCACUCCUUGAAAUUCCUUAUCAUAAUAAGGAGCCAAGGACAAUUGGCAGGCGAAUCAUAGAUGAAGACACACACUGGGGUGCUUCCUUGAGAUUUAGUGAUGAAUUUGGUUAUAUCGAGAAUUAUUAGGAGCGGUUGGAAGAUAUUUUUGGAAAAAACAAACAAGUGUUUCGUGAAAAUUACUUGUUCGAUGUCUUAUAUGCUUCGCUUCUCAUAUAUAACAAAAAUUCUCAUGUGUUUAGAGCAUUUUGCGAGACAUGGUGCCUAAACACUAAUACCUUGCAUAUGUCAAUUGGAGAAUUAUCUCUCUCACUUUGGGAUCUGUGUAAAUUAGAAGGACUUCCAAUCAUCGGAUACAUCUAUGAAGAGGCGAUCCCAUGUGUAGAGGAACUAACUGGAGUUAAUGAAAAGAAGUUGAUGCAUAUUCCGCAAAAUUGUGAGUAUUUGUUCGCGGCUCUGCACUACCUUCAACAUGGAGAAUACUACAAUUAUGGAGUUUCUGCUAGCCAAUAGAUUAACUUUUGGUUUAAAGGCAACGUGAGGUAUUCAAAACCAAAACAGAGAAGGAUAAAGAGAGCAUCUAGUGCUUAAGCAACCCAAAAUCCAGAUGGAAAGAUUGGACAACCACGUAAUUUUUAAUUCAAGACAAUGGCAUAUAUGAUACCAUUGGAGACAAGUCUCACUUACGAGAAGAGACUUAUCUUGUAGCAUUUAUAUCUUGUUGACUCUACGUUUUUACUCUACCAGAUGAGGACGUCUAUUAUAUUAGACUAUCUACCUUCAAAAUGGCUAGCAUGAUGGCUGUCGGAUAUAAAACUUGCCUUGCUGUUCCUGUCUUGCUGAGUAUCUAUCACGGAUUCAAUAAAAUUUCAAAUUCAUCUACUCCAAGGUGUGCGCGUGCAUUUUUUUCAAUGCACUACGUGUAUGCUUAACUGGCGAGUUAUUUCUCUACCCAUUAUUCAACUCCGAAUAUCAUGCCUGGACCAACAAUUAUCAAUUAUUCUGGAAAGGGUGUGCACAAUAUUUUGAUGAAAAUAGUGCUUGCGACCUCAUUCAUCAAGGAGACAAAGUAACUUGGGGGACAACUUCUCUUGUGAAGAAUUAAAAUGAAUUUUUUGUUGAUGAUGGCAAGUUAGCGAACCCAGAACUGAUUUAUUUCGUAAGUGCUUGCUCAAAUUAUUUAGUCUUACAUGCUGAAGGAGAUUUUCUUGUUGAGCCAUACAGGUUUGCAAGGCAAUUCGAAUUUUAUCAAAACACCCCACAAGAACUGGGAGCAGAUGUUCAUUCUACAAAUUAUGACUUGAGUCAAAUACUUUGACACAUUGCUAUUCAUAAUAAGACAGAGUCGAAGGUAUUUUUUUCUAGUUACCCCUUGAAUGCUAACAAGCAUAUAUCUCCAGAUUUUCAAACAUGAUGUUUUGAUUAAGAGUGUCCAACCAAAUUUGAAACAGAAGAAAUCGAAAGGAAAGAAACUUGCAAAUUUGAAUAAUCCUGUCAAGGUUGGCAGUAAUCUUGAGGCGAAACAGAAAAUCACCAAGACUGUGAGGAUUGAGGAGAAAGCAUUGCAGAGCUCCAGCAACUCGUGAAAUUCUAAUUUUCAAUGAAGAAUUUUCGAAUGGUAAUUCAUUUUGUCUUCCUUCAAUAAUUGUAAAAGCCACCAAUCAUGAGUCUCGCAAUUCCAAUGAAAAGAAGAGGAGCAACUCUUUUGAUGAGAAGGAUGAGCAAUCUACUAGUACAGACUAGCACUAGAAGCAUAAGAAAUUCAAGGUAAUGACUUUCUCUUUGGAUGAUAUUGUUUUAGACCCUAAAGAAAUGUUUAAGGACAUUCUGGACAAAUAUGUGCUUGGUAUAAGUCAUGCCAAUAUUAUAAGAACAUUCUCUUGCCUUCUUUAGUUUGGCAUUUGAAAUUUACUUAUCAAUUUCAUAUUCAUGAUAUGUCUCAUAACAUUUUCCAUGUAGUUGAAUGAUCAAAACUUGAUUUUUAUUAAUGAUGGGAAAUCAAGCUAAGAAUUCGUUGAAGGACCCACUAUAUUUUAACUUUUAACAAAACAAGUGGUCAAUUCUACUCAAUAAAAGGGCAUCAUUGAAAAUUUCAAAAAGGCAGUGCAUGAUGAAAAUUCAGUUCAACAAAUCAUGCUACAGAAGAAAGAACAUGUGACUUCACCGGAGAAAAAAAAGUUCAAAAUUUUUGAUCCACAACCGUAGCCAAGGGCACCUCAAGUGUCUGAAUUUUGCCCCCAAACUAUGAUCUUAACAUGUCAUCGAGAUUACAUUCAAAUGCUCUGAAAUAAUUUGAAGGUGCUGAUAUCCGAAACAAUCCUGGAACGCAUUUCUGCUCUUAAGAUGAAAGCAAAUGAAAUCAUGGAGGAAAUGCAAAGUUUCAAUGCUAUGAAUAUUUCAAACUUGUAAGGCCUUUUAAAGCCUUUCUUUACAAAACCAAUUCGUUCUGUCGUAAUAAAGUCUUCUUUCUCAAAUAAAAUUUCAAUUGAAUCAUAUAAUGAGUUGUUUUCUAUAGCUACCCAACAUCUUAGAGAUGCUCAGAGUAAGGAGAAAUAAUAACUUAAAAAGUUCUCAACGUACAUGUUAAAAUUUAAAGAGAUUGACCAUGAGAAAAUAGAGCUAAGGAAAUGACUUGAAUCUAUGGGUACUCAUAGGAUGGAAAUACUUUCACUGCUACGAAAGAAACAAGACGAGCUUACCUAAAUGCAAGGCAAGAUGAUCAACUUAUGAAAUGAAAUUCAAAAGAUUGAAGAUUCCCUAUCUUUACUUGUUGAGGAGAGCCAAACAUUGAACAAAAUGCAAGCACUACUUGAAAGCAACUGCAAAAAACUGUCAUCAUUUGAACUUUAGAAUUAGUUACAAUCUUUUACUUUUUUCAAAUUUUAUUUAUUGUCACUUGCCUAUAUUAUAUAGCCACAGGCAUAAUUAAUUUUUUAUUUCACCAUGAAUCAUGAUUUUUUUUAUUUCAUGAUACUCUUGUGGAUAUUUCUUACUUUCCUUUGUUGCUUUCAUUAACCACCAUUUUAGACUAUCGAUUGCAAAAUAAACAAUUCAACAUUUGCAUAAUUUUAAUCACAUUUGAAGAGGUAAUUGUCUACAUAAUUUGAUAAUUUGAACAAUAUACUUUCAGGUGUAUGUUGCAAAGUAAUUUGAAUUGCCCUAAAGAGAAAAACUUUUUAUCUUUUAUUGCAUGACAUCUUUAUGGGGUUGUAACUGAAUUUCGAAGUUACCAUCUAAACUGUUUGCAUAUCCCAAAAGGGAAUAAAUUCACGUGUAGUUCCUACCAUCCACAGUUUAAUUUCUUGCAGGUCAGGAGUAUCUAUUUGCUUAUCACUUUAAACUUGGUGGAGUGUUUUAGUAGUUUAACCAUAUACUACACUAUUGGUGAUUGCCGUCCACAGUUUUAACUCAUAUGGACCAAGAGCAACAUGCAGUUUAGACUCAUGUGUCAUGAAACAACAUGCAGUUUAGGGUCAUGCGUCAUGUUGUCCUUUAUUUUUUUUAUGGCGUGUAUAAUCUUAAGAAAUUUUCAUUUAUGGGUCAACAUUUACACCAUUUUGUCAACUACCUUGUACGCGUUAUUUGUAUAAACAUUUCGGAUAAUAUAUGGUCCAUCCUAUUCGGAGACAAAUUUAUCUUUAGCAUGAUGAGUCAUAACUAUUGAUUUUCGAACGGCGAACACUAUGUCACCAAUUUGAAAGGAAUGAUGAUGAUAGCUUUAGAAAGGUAAGCCUGGUAGCAUUCAAGAUUUUGUUGAGUUUCCAAUUCCUUUUCAUCUAAAGUUUCUAAUUCUUUAAGAAGCAAGCAAAUAUUUUCUUUCUCCAUGAGCCCUUAUUGGAUGGCAAUUCUCAGAGAAAGAAUUUGUUGUUCAAGAAGCAAGACAACUUCUACACCAUAAACUAAGGCAUCAGGGGUGGCUUGCAUUGGAAUUCGAUAUGUGGUGCGAUAAACGCAGAGAGUUUCACCUAUCAUUUCAUGCCAAUCCUUCUUUGAUCUGGCCAUCACUUUUUUCAACAAGUUGCAUAGAGUUUUAUUGAAUGCCUAAACAAUACUGUUGGCAGGGACAUUAUACAUAAAGGACUUGCGAUGUUUGAAUUUAAAUUUCUCACACAACCUAUCCAUUAAACAGUUGAAGAAGGGUUUCCAUUAUCAGUGAUAAUGUGUUAGAGAAUUUCAUAACGAUAAAUAAUAUUUACACGAAUGAAAUUCACCAUAUCUUCUUUUCUCACUUGAGUGGUAUAGUUUCAUCCCAUUUAGAGAAGUAGUUGGUUGUAACCAAUAUAUAUAGAUGUUGUCCGAACGACUUAGGCAAUGGUCCAACAACAUUAAGGUCCCAGGCAUCAAAAGGCUAAGAAGUAAUAGUCAAAUGUAAUAGUUCGGGUAAUUGAUGAAUGUAAUUUGCAUAGAAUUGACAAGUUUGACACCUUUGAGCGUAUUCCAUACAAUCUUUGACCAUAGUAAGGCAAUAAUAGCCCAUCAUUUUAAUCCAAAAAUGCAACUUGGGACCGAAUUGGUGAGUUUGACAUAUUUCAAAAUGUGCCUCUUGCAUAGCUUGAUAUUCAUUAUCUUCAUUCAGACAGCGCAAGAAUACACUUUCAAAUGAUUUUUGAUAUAGCGUAUCUUUGUAUAAGAUGAAACGGGGGCACGACAAUAGAUAUCAAAUCUUUUAUGUUGCUCCUUAGGUACCUUUUGAUACUUGAUAUAAUUGAUAACAGGUUGUCUCCAAUCUUCUUUAUCAACUUCAUAAGUUGAGACGACAUAAGCAUCACCUUCCUCAAUAUUUUCAUUAUCAAAUAAUGGUGAAACUAUCCACUUUUGAUACACACGAACUUGUAUUUCAUAAUUUGACAUAGUCAGAGAAGAAGCAAGCAUAGCUAAUGCAUGAGUUUGCUUAUUUUCUCUUUUAGGGACAUGUUCAAUACUUGUACCUUCAAGUUACCUUAUAAGUUGCGUUGCAUUCUUGUGAUAUGGAAUUAAUUUAAAUUUUUUAACAUCAUAAUUUCCCAAGGGUUGACUAACGACUAAUUGUGAGUUGCCAUAGAUUUGAAACUCAAAUUAUUUCAUGUCAAUAGUUAUUUCAAGUCCGAAUAUGAGGGUUUGAUACUUAACGACAUUAUUUGAACAACGUUGAUUUAGAAUAAAGGAGUAUGGCAAAACUUCUUCAUCAGAUGUUGUAAAUACAAUUUUGACUCCAACUCCAUGACGAUGAGUAGCAGAUUUCAAUAAGGAGUACAUUUUUAUUUGGUAGAUCAUCACUUAACUCCCAUUCAACAAGUAUCGGGUGAUCAAUAAGAAAAUCUACUAGUACUUAACCCUUCACGGCCUUUUGGAAUACAUAAAUAAUUUUAAAUUAUUGUAACUAGGUACCAUUUAGCUAGACAGUUGGAUAGUGUUGGUCUACUUAUCACGUAUUUUAUGAAGUUUGCCUUGAAGAUGAGUCUCACACUGUGUGCUUGAAAGUAGUGUUUUAACUUCUAUAUUAUAAAAAUAAGAGUUAAACACAACUUUUCAAUCGGUGAGUAGUUUAAUUUAUUAGAGAUCAUCAUAAAUAAUAAAGGGCAGUUUCUUUCACUUCAUUAUUUUCUUGUGCAACCAAUACCUCCACUAAACGUUCUUGGGUAACAAUGUAAAGAAUUAAUGGCUUUCUAUAAAUAGGUUCAAUCAAGACAGAUGCCUUCAUGAGAUAAGAUUUAAUGCUAUUGAAUGUAUUGCUGUACGCUUCAUUCCAUUGGAAUGGUACACCUUUCUUCAUAAGGUGAUUAAAUGGUUGACACCUUUCAAUUAAAUUUGAGAUAAACCUCCACAGAUAGGUUAAUCGCUCUUGAAGGCUUUUUAUUUCUGAAUAUUGCGAGAUUCAGGCAUUCUCAAUAUAGCAUCAAUGUUGACUCGAUCAAUUUUAAUACCUCGAUGACAGACCACAAAAUCAAGAAACUUUCCUGAUGUAACUCUAAAUGCACAUUUGAGAGGAUUCAAUUUGAGUUGAUAUAUUUUCAACCGAUCAAAAUUUUGUUUCAAAUCCUCCAAGUGAUUAUUUCUUUUUUUUUUUAUUUAACAACCAAAUCGUCCAUAUAACAUUUAAUAUUUUUAUGAAGCAUGUCAUCAAAAAUAUUUUACAUUAAUCUUUGAUAUGUAGUUUUGAUAUUUUCAAACUAAAGGGUAUUAUGUUAUAACAAUAAAUACCCUUAGGAGUAUGAAAUCUAGUGAGUUAUUUAUCCUCAGGUGUUAUUCGAAUUUGAUUAUAGUUAGAAAAGCUAUCCAUAAACGACAAACCCUCAGACCCAAUAAUUGCAUUAAUCAUGAGUUUGGUGAUGGGUAGAGAAAAAUCAUCUUUGGAACAAGCACUGUUAAGAUCCCUAAAAUUUACGUAGAUGUGAAUUUGCCUGUUCUUCUUUCGUACAGACAUGAUAUUUGAAAUUCAUGUGAAAGACUUAAAUUCAUGAAUAAAUCCAUCAUCAGUGAAUUUAUUGAUUUCAACUUCGAUCAAAUAGACCAAAUCGGGUCUAAAUCACCAUUGUACUUACAUUACAGGUCGAACUCCCUUUUUAAUAGGUAAAUGGUGGACUGCUACUUUUGAAUUUAGACCUAACAUUUCUUUAUAAGUUCAUGUAAAAAUAUCUUGAUACUCUUGCAAGAACUCAACAUAUGUCUUCUCUUCAUCAGAAUUCAAUAAAGCACUUACCUAUAUAGGAUAUGGGUCCUGUGAAGUGCCAAAAUUGAUUUUUUAAGUCAUCUACAGUGGCCUUAACGCCUUGUUCAAAUUCAGGUGAAGCAUCUUCAACAUCUUCUUCUUCUCCAAGGGAAUUAUUAUCAAAUAUGGUUAUAUGGUUGUAUGAAACAAUACUUUCUUCAUCAUCUUCCUUUGAUCUUGUUUCUACAAUAGUAUGCUCUCUAACCUUUAGUUCAGUCCCAUAAAUUAUUAUAAGAUUUGUACAUCUCCUCAUUCUUGAGAGAAUAAUGUUACCAAACUUAUAAAUGUUAUGGGGACAAUCAAAAGAUUCUUCAAAUUCUUUCAGUGAUUUUGUCAUUCUCCAUUUAUUCUUAUGAGAAUUUUGAGACUUUUAUUUUCUUUGUGGUCCUAGUCUUUUGAAGACGAAUACUCACAGAGCCUUAUCCCUAUUUUUAUGAAAAACGUGUGACUUAUUGACUAUUUUAGAAGAUUCAUCUCUUAUAGCAAUAAAUUGACUACCAGCUCUAUUGAUUUUGAUGCGAAUUGGUACAGGUGAAAAAUAGUAAAGAUCAGAUUUAGAAUUCUUAACAGCAUAUCCUUUCCCUUUCAACAUCUUUUGAGUAAGGUUUAACCCAUAAGUCACAUCGCUAGUGGCUUGAGGAGGUUUCAAUACCAGAGAUUUCUUGAAAUCAUACCCAAUUUUGGUAAGAAGUUUAUAAGCAAUAUAAUCAAAAGCUUCAUUAAUUCUUGACGUCAGUAGCAUAUCUUGCUUGAUGUCAAACUCUUUAUUAAGAUGAUCAAACCCUUUGAUUAAAGGCGAUGGUAUAUUCGUAGCAUCAAGUUUAGCCACAGGAAGAGUUAAUCCUUUCAGAGUUUUGUGUGGAAUUGAAGAUGGUUGUCCUUGUCCCAAUCUUGACUUGGGAGGGUAUCCGAAGACAACUGAUUUAUUUUUUAACAAUGAGGCAUCAAUUUUUUUAUGAACUACCUCUUUUGAUUUUGGAAUCACCACUUUCUUCGUUUUGCACUUGAUGAUUCGAGAUCUUGGAUUUUAACCAUAGAUGGAGAUUGUUUAAACUCAUUCUUUAUGUUAUACUGAUUUAUUUUUUAACAAUGAGGCAUCAAUUUCUUUCUGAACUACCUCUUUUGAUUUUGGAAUCACCACUUUCUUCCUUUUGCACUUGAUGAUUCGAGAUCUUGGAUUUUAACCACAGAUGGAGAUUGUUUAAACUCAUUCUUUAUGUUAUAUUUUUGGAUAUAAAAUUUAGCAUUAGCGAUAUGCAUUUCUACUUCAGUGUAAAGAUUAUAAUCAGUUUUCACACUUUUUACCACUCCAUUUCGGUAAUACUUGAAAUAUUGGUGAAGAGUUGAAAGCACAACCCCAUUUUCAUGAAUCCAGGGUCUUCCCAGUAGCAUAUUAUUUAUUGUUUUAGUAUCUAUUACAUACAGUUGUGCUUUAGACAAUAUAUCAUCGAUAACUAUCUCUAAAUUUAACGAUCCAAUAGCUCUUUGCCCUCCUUGAUUAAGGUCUUGUAUUAUUAGUCAGCUUAUUGGAAAGUUUAUCAAUGGAGAUGCCAAAUUCCUUUAGAGUUUUUAAGACAAGGCUAUUGACAGCAGAACCUCUCUCUAUCAAAAUUUUAUUCACAUUUUAUUUUUUAGCAUAAACAGUUACAAACAAAGGACGGUUAUGUGAUGUUGACCCAAAAAACAAGUUGAUAGGGUGUUAAUUGUUAGUAAUUUUAUUGCUAUUUUUCCCCUUUGUCCUUGCCAAAUAUUAUUUUAAUUGUUAACAUAUACUUAUUUUUGGUAUUUGGACCAAUCUACAGGAAGUGGAACUGACAAAUGCUAAAAAGGAGAUUUUAUUGAGAAAAAUCCUUCACAUGCUAGAGCCUCCAGCGGAUAUACAAGUUGGGCCCACAUGGUGUUACAAAUUCGGUUGCUGAUGGGGAGCUCUUAUUAUUGGGAGUUGACUUGUACGUGUAGGAGUCCUCCUACCAAGAGGAAACAAGAAAAAAGGAAUUCGGCAGAGGCCCAUCUUUUGUACUUAGCUUUCUCAAUUCGGUAGGGACCAUGGACUAGAGGUUUUCAUUAGUGAUUGGACUUUAAAAGGGAAGAAACGUAUAGAGGCUUGGGGAUUAUUAUGAUUAGCGUAGCUUUAGUUUUAGUGGUUAGCUAGCGUUUCCUUUUCAUGCGCACGAGGUGCUCGACAAUAUUUUUCAACGGGAAAAAAAAACAUCUUUUACUCUUGCUUUCUAGUGAAAAACUUGAUGCCUUUGCAAUCAAUUAAUUUGCGUGGAGAUUUAAUUAUGCGGCGUGGCUAAGCCUUUUAUCUAGUCAAGGAUCAACUCGACGGCGCAGUCCCAAAUAUCUGUGAGAUCUAAUUAGUUUUCACGCGUUUCUUAAUUUGUUAAUAUUUGCAUGUUGCCUAUUUGAAUUUCCACGGGAUUAUUUUGUUAAUUGGAUAUCAAGAGCCCGAUGUUCAAUGUGACUUAUUAAUUUCCUGCCAAAUUAGUCAAUUAAAUCCGUAAUUGUUUGAUUGAUUAAUAUUAGUAGCAACUGACAUGUUUACACACUAGAAGAACGUGCAAUCUAAUUUAAAUAACCCUCGUAGCGUGUUAUUGAUUGGGAUUAGAUUUUUCUAGUUAUUAAUGCAAUUGGGAAAUUAAUUCAUACAGUUGUACCUAGGAGUAUUUUCUGGUUAGGAGUAAUCAUUGGUCGUACCUUGGUUAUCAAUAAAUUAAGGAAAAAUUGGUCGUUAGAAUUCGUCGGCGACUAUAACUAGCCUAUUAAUAAAUUAAGUGAACCUCCCUUGCAUCAAUGAUCGGGUAAGUGGACUGUGUCUGAGUAGUUGUAUUCUUAACUAAAAUUUAUCUAUUCUUGAUUUAAUUCCUGCCUAUAUUCGUGCUAAUUAAUUAUUUAUUUUUAGUGAAUUGCUUAAUUAUUUUUAGUUUUACUCCAAUAAAAUUCCUCUUUACCAAUUGGAAUCUCAAAAAGACAAAUAUUCUCAGUCCCUGAAGAGACGACCCUACUUGCCAUUGUCUACUAUUUAGUAAGUUUUGUCAACUAAUUAAUUUUGGUAUAUCGGAUUAAGCAAAUUUUUCGGGAACAGGGUGAAUUAAGUAACCUAUUGCACAUCUAGAGUCCCGGCUCUAAUAUCUAGGAUUCAUUAUUGACUGCUUUUAGUGGUAUUUAGGUUAUUAUUAUUAUUAUUGCACAGUCUCGACACCUGUCAAUUUUUGGCGUCGCUGCCAGGGACUGGCGUUAAUUAUUUGUUUUUUUAAGUUCAAUUUUGUUCUAAUUUUCUGGUAUUUUUUCUAAUUUAUGCAUCAUUCUUCUCGUAUAAGUGAAUUAAUUUUCGACCCUGAAGUAGAGAAGAUCGCGCGUAGAACGAGAAAAGAAACCAGACAAUUCAGAGAAGAGCACUCAAGUACUACAUCUCAGAGACUUGAGCCGGAAGUUGAACCGGCAAAUUCGUUUGGUAACACUUCGAGUGACUCGGAUCAAGAGAAACUCACCAUGGCAAAUGCACAAACAUUAAGGGAGUUGGCUGCUUCUAAUUUAAAUCAACAGCCUUUAUGCAUUGCUUUCCCAAGUUUGAAUGAUGACACCCUCUUUGAACUAAAAUCUGGUCUAAUUCAUCUCUUGCCAUCUUUUCAUGGUUUACCAGGUAAGGAGCCCUACAAACAUUUACAAGAGUUUGAUGUUGUUUGCAACAGUAUGAAACCCCCGGGAAUCACAGAAAAGCUGAUAAAAAUGAGGGCCCUCCCCUUCUCUUUGAAGGAUUCAGCGAAAGAUUGGCUAUACUACCUACCACCAGGUAGUAUCACCACGUGGGACCAGUUGAAAAAAAAAUUCUUAGACAAAUAUUUUCCUGCGUCUCGGGCCGCCAGCUUAAGGAAAGAGAUAUGCGGUAUCAAACAACACCCAGGCGAGUCUCUCUAUGAGUACUGCGAGAGGUUUAAGAAGCUGUGUAUCAAAUGCCCUCAGCAUCAGAUAAGUGAGCAACUGCUCAUCCAAUAUUUCUAUGAGGGACUACUCUUCACGGACUGGAGCAUAAUCGAUGUUGCCAGUAAAGGGGCGCUAGUGAACAAGACCCCUCGAAAAUCUUGGGAGUUGAUUGAGGGGAUGGCUGAAAAUUCACAGCAGUUUGGUGGGCAGUGGCGAUGGCGAAGGCUCGCGGGGGUGGAAGAGCCGUUGGCGCGACUGGGGCCGCGCGGCUGCUAGAAUCUAGUUGCAUCAGUCUCUGUGGUCCUUGGGAUCUUUGAUUCGGCUGUUCCAUAGCUUGUCGAUCCUUUGUUGCAUCCCUGUAGGCAUUGUAAUUCCUGUUGAUUGAGUUGUUAUCUAGUUUUUGAGGGCACCUCUAGUAGUUCCUUUAUUUGGGAGUUAUUUGGGGUUGAGUUGGGAGUUAUUGGCCAAUUGAUUCCUAUUUUGCUUUCGUCCUGUUUCUGGUACUGUAUGGUUUUGAUUGGGGGGUGUCUCAGUGGUUUGGGUUGCCUGUUUGAAUUGGUUCUUACCUGUGUGUGCACCAGUGGUACUGGUUGUGUUGGGAAUCCGUGACUGAUUUGUUCUUGUCCAAUUGAAGCCAUUUUGAGCAAUUUUGGGGUGAACACAUUUUGUCAUUAAUUGUUGAUUGUUGGGGGACGUUUUUGGUAACACUUGAGUUGAUAGGGUGUUAAUUAUUGGUUAUUUUAUUAUUAAUCUCCCUUUUUAUUCUUGCCAAAUAUUGCUUAAUUGUUAAUAUUUACUCAUAUUUGGUAUCUGGACUUAAUUUCAGGAAUGAAGUAGAAAACUACCAAAAAGGAGGGAUUUUAUGGAGAAUAUGGAAACUUCUAAGGGCUUCAAUUCUUGGGCCCUUGAAUUGGUGGGGACCACAAGCUAGUGAAAGGCAUUUAGUCAUUUGAGCUCUUCAAAAGAAGCUACGUAUAUUUUAUUUUAUUUUAUUUUAUUUAUUUUAUUUAUCUCUUAUUUUUUUUUAUAUAGUUUAUGGCUUCUAACACUUCGUAUUUUGGUGAUAUACUGGAUUUUGUUUCCGGGAAAGGCAAUGUGACUAGUUUUUUUGCUAAGUCUGCAUAUGCAGAGGCACUAAACUCUAUUAGAGAAAGAAUGGCUGCUGCAACCUGUAAAAUUUGUUAUACCAGGGAUCAUUCAACCGGUAUGUGCCCCGAAUAUCAAGAUAAUCUGAGUGUCCCAUUCGAUAAUUAUGGAGAAUUUUCACCCUGGUCUCAAACGUGGUACGACCCUAAUCCAAACGGGUAUGAUCAAGGAUGGUGGGAUAACUCCAAUUAUAAUUAUACAACGGGACCAAUGAAUUUUCAGCAGUAUGAGUCUCAAGAAUCGUCAUCUAUGUCAGGUAUGUCUCUUGAAGAAAUAGUUGAACCAAUAGCUACUAACACAUACCAAUUCCAACAGGAGACACAAAUGAGGAAUGAGAUGAUGAAGGAUGCAAUGAGUUAUCUGGCAGAUCAACUAUGUCUAUUGACAUCCAGAAUAAAUCGAUGGGCUUCUCAAAUGGAAGAACUGCCCUCGAAAACCAUUGUUGACCUAGAAGAAAAUGAGAGUGCAAUUUGCUUGACUAGUGAUGAGGAGAUGCAAGAGUGUCAAAAUGAAAAAUCUACAGAUACAGUUGAAAAAGAAGCCGAAAAGGAAGAAAUGGAACCCCAACCGCAACCCAUUCAAGUGAAAGAAUCCAGUGAAGAAUCAUCAAAUGUGGUGACACCACCUCCAUUCCCUAACCCGCAUUUUUUCUAACUCUUACUCUAUGAUUUCUGUUAAUGAGAUUGAUUUUGUUAUACCGGAAGUUUUUGAGUCUCAUGGCAGAAAUAAGUUGAGAGUGGAGAUGGCGAAAUAUCUUGAACCGUUGAAUGCUCUUGAUGGAGGAAUGGAUGAAGAAUUGCGAUCAAUGCUUGAUUAUGUGGCGCCAUCAACUAGUCCAUGGAAGCCCGUGGUUCGUGUGCUCAAAGAUUACUCCAUCUAUGAGGGUUACCAGGAUCAUAUUGAAGAUGAAGCAUUGAAGCGAGCUACAAGAUUUUAUCCUCCAUGAACAAGACAUAACAAUGUCUAGCCAAAGACAUUAAAGAAAGGCGUUUUUUGGGAGGCAACCCAAAUAUUGAUUUUAUUAUUUUUAGUUGUUCAAUUCUUUCGUUCUGUUGUUUCUCAUUUGGAUAGUAGUUGGUCUUGAUAUUUUUCUCCACUGUGAUCAGGAAGUGAAAUCUUGGCGUGCCCACGCGGUGUUUAGGUCUCCUGAGAUCAGAGGACGAACACCAAUCUUGGCGUGCCCACGCGGUGUUUGGGUCUCCUGAGGUCAGUGAAUGUUUUGUAAUCUUGGCAUGCCCACGCGGUGUUUGACGACCCAAAACAUGAAAAAAAAAAAGUUUCAAAAUUUCACAUUGAGAAAAUUCAAAAAUUCAAAAGGCAUUUUUCUUUUUCUUCAAAAAUUCAAAUUUUGGAAUUUCAAAUUCAGGAAAAAAUUUGAAAAAAAAACAUUGAGAAAAAAAAACCCAAAAAGAAAAAAUUAAGAUUCAAAAAAAAAAAAAAACUAUUUUUUUUUCUCUCUUUUUCUUUUUCUCUUUUCUUUUUCUUUUUUCUUUUCUUCUUUUUUCUUUCUUUCUUCCUUCACCACCGCAGCAGCUACCCCACGCGACUCUCCUCCGCCUACCCCAGCGCACAGCCCAGGCCACGCGCUCCCUCCUUCCUGCAGCCCGUCGACGAAGCCCACCAGCCACCACCAGCAGGCCGCGGCUCCUUCCCCCUUGCGCGGCCACAGCUCGCGAACCACCUCUCCCACAGCGCGCGGCCUUCUCCCUUAUCUUUUGGCCGCGCGUCAUUGGCUCGCCCAAGGGCAGCCGCCGCCGCCGUUCCUCACAGUCAAGCAAUCGCAGGCCAAAGCCCACAACCCCAGCCGGCGCCGCCCGCAGCUCCUCGUGCGUGACAGCCGUGCGACGCCGCGCCUCCCUCAGCAACAGCUCCAAGCUCCAGCUCACUCGCAGACAGCCGCGCGAUUCUCAGCCAUUCACCUCGCGCGACCCCGAGCGCACAAUUCCGCGUGCCGCCAUCGAAGACCGCCGCGCCUCUCCCUCAGCCCGCCAUUGCGCCCCACCACUGUCCCGCUGUCUACGGUUGGGCACAAGGGAGGUACUUUUAAAAGAAAUUUUUAAUUUAAAUACGAGAAUGUCAAUUUCUAAAUUCUGGGGCUGUUUAGUGAUUGUUUGGAUUUCUUGGUGGAUUUGGUUGGCCGUCUGAUUAAAUUCUUCCUUGUGUGAUAACCAGUGGUACUGGUUGGGGUCUUUCGACCAUAGUUGUUGCUUAUAUUUGGUCAGAUGUCUGCUUGUUUGAAAGUUCACGUUCUUGUGAUUGAGUUGUUGCUCAAAUUCUGAUCUGCUGUUGCUAGAACUUUUGGUUGGUUGAGUUGUGCAAUUGACUGUCCAAUUGGAGACAGUUAUUGAGAUCUUAGGUGGGAUGGUGUCCAAUUGCUAAAAUUUGUUGCUUUGUUUCGUCACUCGCACUGCUCCUAGUUUGUUCGAGUGAAAUUGGUUGGAUGUUCUUUGCCCGUGGAGUGUAACUGUUACAUUGUUUGGGGCAGUUUUUUGGUAUUGAUUGAAUUGUUGGGCGUAAAUUGCUCAGGACUUUACAUUGCUAAUUUGGUGGGCCAUUUAUUGUGCAUUACCCUUUUGAAUUGGGAGAUACCUGUGCUUAUUGGGUUUUGACUACUUGAGAUUUCUGUUGCAUCUGGGGGAUAAAAUUUGAUGACUUUUGUGCCAGUUUAUUUGUUUGGAAAUUGUUGGGGGUAAUUUGGGAGUUACUUGUCAAUUGGGUCCCGUGUUACCCUCUACCAUUCAGUGGUACUGAUUGGUGUGUUUGGCUUUAUCACAUGUCUUGGGUUGGCCAUUUGAUUUCAAUUUUCCUUGUGCAUGCACCAGUGGUACUGGUGAGGGUAGUUUACAUAAUAUUUGUUACUCCUGUGUUAUUGGUUGCCUAAUCGACUACUGGGCAUUUGUGGUUGAAUUGUUUCUGUCCAACUUCUGAACUGUUGUUGCUGGAGUGCCAUUUUCUUGGGUCAAUUGCUGAUUUUAGCAAGUUGAAGUGGGUAAUUGACUGUCCAAUUGGAGACAGUUGUUACGAUAUUGGGUCCGAUUGUGUCUAAUUGCUGGAAGUUGUUGAUUUAUUAAGACACUAGCACAGUUCCUAGUUUGUUCGAGUUGCUGUUCUGUUGCAUUAUUGGGAGCUGUGCUCUAGUAUUGUGGCUACUUUCCUGCGUUUAUUUGUUGAAUUGGGAUAUGAAUGUGCCUAUUGCUCAUUUUGUUGCAUCUAAUUGACUUGCUUGGGGUAAUCUGCCCAUCAAUUUUAAUUACUCAAGUCUUUGGAGCAGUUGUUGCACAUUUGGACUACUUUGUUUCUAUAUCUGACUGAAUUGGGACCACAAGUGCUUAUCAAUUGCAUUUGCUAUAAGUAUUGGGGUAUUCGUAUAGAUUUUAGGAGCCUGCAUUGUGCAUUUUAUUGUUUGGGUUGCCUACUAGUUACCAUGGUGAAGCCACGAUCCUCCCCCAGGGGCCGAUGACUGGCUCCAACUUUCGAUGACAGUUGAGAGACUGGAGACUCGAGUGACCCACAUUGACAUCGACUUGCAUAACAUGGCGCAGAAUUUGGCAGCACUCCGCCCGACCCGCCCCUGUUUUGACAAUUUCAAGGAAGUACCGUUGCCCUUCUCUUUACUUUUGUUGUUGGUUUAUCACAUUGAGGGCAAUGUGUGAUUUAGGUGUGGGGGGAUCAGUUUGGGUGCUAGUAUUUUUAGUUUUUAGGUUCUAGAGGUUUUUCUUUUGUUUUAGUUUGAUAUUUAGUUCUUUUUUUUUCGUCUAUUUUAUUUUAUUAUUAUUAUUUUUUUUUCUUUCUCCUUUUUUCUAGUGGUCAGUCUUCAUAUGAAUACCAAGUUUGAUACUGGAUUGUUGUCUCUAAUUCUGCUAUUGCCAAGUCUUAUUAAUAAAAGGGUAUUAAGUUAAUGUGCUUGAGUUCAGGAAUAUCUCUUUGGUGAAUAUCGGUAAUUGCUUAACUUUUUCAAUUUUUGGUUAACUUUUCUAGGCAUAGGGAAUGAUUGUUGGCAUUUUUCAUGUGAAUUGGUUCAGUUAUUAAUUUUAGUUCUCCAUGUCUGGAAAUUUGAGGCUGGCUGCUGUUAAUCUUAUGUUGCUUUUAGAUAUCGUGUUAUAUGGUUGUAAAUAAGAGUUGACUGUACUCCGCUAGUGGUUACUACUGAGUAACCGGGGAUUUUCACCUAAAGUGUCGAUUCUCGCGUCAAAAGGUAGUAGUUGCUAUGAAUGCGUGGUCCUGUAGCGAUCGGAGCUGAGUAACCGGGCUCCUCCAUCUGAUAAAUGUUGGAGUUCGCGUCAAAAGGCUCUAAAUGGCUAGAGACUAAGUCUUUUGCUAUUCCCAAAAAAAAAAAGAAAAAAAACAAGUAAAGUUUGUGUUAGUAUUUAAAAAAAAAAAAAAGAAAGUCAGCUUGCCUAUUUGUGAUCUUAAUGUCGAGAUUUUGGUUAAUAGAUGGACCAUUUGCUGAUAAAUGUGAGCAACCAUUCCUUUUCCUUAGAUUAGUUUGCUUCAAAUUGAAGGAGUUGGUGGUUUAGAGGCUAAUCGGGGUGAUUUUUCUUGGAUGUUGACCUGUGAUGCUUGAUAUUUAUUUUUCUUGGACAUCUUGGCAAUACGGUAGUUGGAGUAACAGCCAUGGUCAACUUUUGGUGUUCAAUUGUUGUUCCCAUACUUGAGGGCAAACAUGAUUUAGGUGUGGGGGGAAUUGAUAGGGUGUUAAUUAUUGGUUAUUUUAUUAUUAAUCUCCCUUUUUAUCCUUGUCAAAUAUUGCUUAAUUGUUAAUAUUUACUCAUAUUUGGUAUCUGGAUUUAAUUUCAGGAAUGAAGUAGAAAACUACCAAAAAGGAGGGAUUUUAUGGAGAAUAUGGAAACUUCUAAGGGCUUCAAUUCUUGGGCCCUUGAAUUGGUGGGGACCACAAGCUAGUGAAAGGCAUUUAGUCAUUUGGGCUCUUCAAAAGAAGUUACAUAGAGAGACUUGGAGAAAGAAGUACUUUGGAGGCUUUGUCCAUAUGUGUGGGGACCACCUAGAUAGCUUUUAGUCAUCUUUCUUUUGUUGCUUUAAAAGGGGACAACGUACAGAAGCAAAGGACAUCUAGGGCUUUAGUUUUAGUUUUUUUAGUUUAGUUCUAGUUUCCUUUCUUUGGACUGGCCUCUGACACACGCCAGGUGUUCGACAAUAUUCCCCAACGGGAAGAUUUUCUCAUGAGGCGUGGUUAAGCUUUUCUAGUCAAGGGGACAACUGACGAUUUGGUUCGACAAUUACUGUGAGAUCGAAUCUGUUUUAAUUAUUUUCUUCAUUUAUUGGUAUUUAUAUGUUCCUUGAUUUUAAUUGCUAUGGCCUUGUGUAUGAUUGAUUAGUGCGCAAUAAUUAAUUAUUCAUAUAGGCUAUUUUUGCUAAAUAGGGGUAAUUGAAUCCGUAAUUGUUCGUUAUCUCUACCUCAGUAGCAACUGGCGUAAAUGGGUUUAUGUCAGGGGAGCAUAUGAUCUAAUUUAAACAAACCCUCGUAGCGUGUUUGUUGGUUAGGAUUGGGCCUUUCUAAUUAUUAAUGCAAUCUAGAAAUUAAAUCCUACGGUCGUACCUAGGGUUGUUUUUGGGUUAGAGAAAUAGCUAACGGUCGUACCUUAGCUAUCGAGAAAUUAAGGAAGGGUUGGUUGUUUAUCGCGUGCAUGACAACUAUAACUAAUCUAUUGCUAAAUGUUGGAAUUAUUUCUGCAUCAAUGAUCAGUGCAUGAACCAUUUCUGAUGUGUACCCUUGGCUAGAGUUUCCCCAAUCAUUUCUUUUAAUUAAUUAUUUUCUGCAGUUAAUUUAUUUAGUUAGCAUUUAAUCCAAAACCCCCCAUACUUUGGACUCUAGAAGAAACGAAUUAUCCCCAAUCCCUGUGGAUUCGACCCUACUCACCGCUAUAUACAAAAUCUGUAUCUUUAUUGAGUAGGUAUUUAUUAUUGUACAGGUUCGGCACCUGUCAAUUUUGGGGUGAACACAUUUUGUCAUUAAUUGUUGAUUGUUGGGGGACGUUUUUGGUAACACUUGAGUCUAUUUUGCUGAGUUCUGUUGAUAGAGCAGUUAUUUGGCACAUUUUACAGUGUUAUUUUGUCCUAAUUUUGGCUAUUCAUGGUGUUAAGAAUUGGAAUAUCACUCAUAUUUGAUGUUUGUGUGAAUUGUAGGUGGUCGGCAUUAAAAAUGACCUCUCAAGGCAAAUUUCUAGAAGACUCUUCGUCUCAGAGCAUGGCCACGCCAGAGAAGGUCGAUGUUACCGAAAAGCCGGACCCCGGUCCACGUGAACCGCAAGGAGCACGGGAUUAAAGCUCUAAAAGGCUAGCUUUUGUUUCAAUCAAUUGGGUCAGACAUGACUUGGCUCCUAGAGGCUUCAAUUAAAAAAGAAAAGAAAGGGCCAGACGUCGAGGGAAUGAGAAUGAGGAAACUAGGUCUACAUGGACCAGCUACACGGGAUAAAAACUCCAAUGAAGAGAAGAGCUCUGCUCCGCGUGGAUUUCCCCUGCGGCACUAUAUAAGACAACAAAAAAGGUGAUGCAGCGGAGAAUAUAGAUUAGCUUUGAUUUUCUUUUCGAGAGGGGUCAGGCGAUUGCAGACUUUUGUAGCUUUUCGGUUGUGACACUUGGACUCCUUGGCUUUUGUUUUGACUCUGCACAAUUUACGUUAGUUUUUGUUCGUACACUUGCGGCACCAAAGCAAAGACGAAGGCAGUGCCUUCUCUGUUGUUACUGCAAUUAAUUCCCCUUCCCCAAUUUUCGGCGAAUAAUUGAAUGAAUUCAAUUAAAUCACGCGGGAUUGACACGAUAAGGAGCGGCUAAUUUUCUCCUCUACCCAAAGGUUGACGCGAAGGCGCGGUCCAUAAUAUCUGUGAGAUCUAAUCGAAUUUUCAUUAUUUCUUUCAAUUUAUUGCUAUUCGUACGUUUCCUGAAUUAAUUGUUCAUGAGUAUUUUACUAAUUGAAUAUCAACGGCCGGGUAUUUGAUUUAAUUUAAUAGUCUACUGCCACGUUAAUUAAAUAGAAUCCGUAAUUGUUCAUUUAGUUAACACCUCGUGGCAACCACCAUAAUUGGCUUUAUGAUGGGAAAACGCAAGAUCUAAUUUAAAUAAACCCUCUUAGCGUAUUUAUUGGUUAGGGUUGGAUUCUUCUAGCUUUAAUGCAAUUGGGUAAUUAAAUUCUCACGGUCGUACCUAGGGUUGUUAUCUGGUUAGAGAAGCAGUCAAUGGUUGUACCUUGACUAUCGAAAAAGUAAGGAAGAACUGGUUGUCAGAGCUUAUUGAUAACUAUAACCAACCUAGUGAUGAAUGGAUGAAAUACCUUUGCAUUGAUGAGCAUCUGUCUUGAGUCCAUUGAAGUGCCGUUGGUUGAGUAAUUUCUGCGUCUUUUUGUUGAAUUGGAAGGCUAUUGUGACACUUCCAUUGCACUUUCGGAAUGCAUUGUUUCUGUAUUUGACUAAAUUCAGGCCACCAGUGCUUCUUGAUUGCAAUCACUGUGCUGUUGGGGUAUUUGUACAGCUUUGAGUACCUGAAUUGUGUUUGUGUUGGUUGGAGUACCAUUUAUAGAGAAUGGUGAGACCUAAAUCCUCCUCUAGGUCUAGGACACCUAGAACUUCUCAGCCUCCUCCCACCCUAGGGGCUAACGAUUGGCUCCAACUCCGAAUGCAAGUUAAGAGACCGGAGAUUCGAGUGACCCACAUUGACAUCAACUUGCAUACCAUGGUGCAGAAUUUGGCAACAAUUAUGCACCAUGCGGGUCUUGUUCCUCAGUUUCCGUCUGACCCACCCCUGUUUUGACGACUUCAGGGAAGCACCGGUGCUCUUUUGCUUACUUUUGCUAUUAAAUUAUCACAUUGAGGGCAAUGUGUGAUUUAGGUAUGGGGGGGAUCAGUUGUGGUACUAGUAUUUCCAGUUUUUGAUUUUUAAGUGUUUUUCCUUUGUUUUUAGUUUGAUAUUUUUCUCUUUUUCGUUUAUUUCUUUUAUUCGUGAUCAGCUCUUAUUUGAAUACCAAGUUUUGAUGUUGGAUUGUUGCCUCUAAUUCUGCUCUUGCCAAGUUUUAAUAAUAAAAGGGUAUCAAGUUAAUAUGGUUGAAUUCAGGAACAUCUCUUUGGUGAAUAUCAAUAAUUGCUUAACUUUUCCAAGUUUUGGUUAACUUUUCUAGGCAUAGGGAAUGAUUGUUGGCAUUUUUCAUGUAAAUUGGUCCAAUUAUUAAUUUUAGUUCUCUAUGUUUGGAAAUUUGAGGCUGACUGCUGUUAUUUUUAGUUAUUGUGUUAUAUGAUUGUAAAUAAUAGAUAACUGUACUCCAUUAGUUGUUACUACUGAGUAACCGGGGAUUUUCACCUAAAGUGUCGAUUCUCAUGUCAAAAGGUAGCAGUUACUAUGAGUGCGUGGUCCCGUAGCGAUUGGAGCUAAGUAACCGGGCUCCUCCAUCUGUCAAAUGUUGGAGUUCGCAUCAAAACGCUCUAAGGGUUAUAAACUAAGUCUUUUGUUAUUCAAAAAAAAAAAAGAAAAAAAGAAGCAGAAGAAAACAAAAGAAGCAGAUUGUGUUAGUAUAUGAAAAAGUCAGCUUGCCGAUUUGUGAUCUUAAUAUCGAGAUUUUGGUUAAUAGUUGGACCGUUUGCUGAUAAAUAUGAGCAACCAUUCCUUUUUCUUAGAUUAGUUUGCUUUAAAUUGGAAGAGUUGGUGGUUGGGAAGCUAAUCGGGGUAAUUUUUCUUUGAUCUUGACCUGUGAUGCUUGAUAUAUGUUUUUCUGGAUAUCUUGGCAAUACGGUAGUUGGAGCAAUAGCCAUUGUCAAAUUUUGGUGUUCAAUUUCUGCUCUCAUGCUUGAGGGCAAGUAUGGUUUAGGUGUGGGGGGAAUUGAUAGGGUGUUAAUUGUUAAUAAUUUUAUUGCUAUUUUUCCCCUUUGUCCUUGCCAAAUAUUAUUUUAAUUGUUAACAUAUACUUAUUUUUGGUAUUUGGACCAAUCUACAGGAAGUGGAACUGACAAAUGCUAAAAAGGAGAUUUUAUUGAGAAAAAUCCUUCACAUGCUAGAGCCUCCAGCGGAUAUACAAGUUGGGCCCACAUGGUGUUACAAAUUCGGUUGCUGAUGGGGAGCUCUUAUUAUUGGGAGUUGACUUGUACGUGUAGGAGUCCUCCUACCAAGAGGAAACAAGAAAAAAGGAAUUCGGCAGAGGCCCAUCUUUUGUACUUAGCUUUCUCAAUUCGGUAGGGACCAUGGACUAGAGGUUUUCAUUAGUGAUUGGACUUUAAAAGGGAAGAAACGUAUAGAGGCUUGGGGAUUAUUAUGAUUAGCGUAGCUUUAGUUUUAGUGGUUAGCUAGCGUUUCCUUUUCAUGCGCACGAGGUGCUCGACAAUAUUUUUCAACGGGAAAAAAAAACAUCUUUUACUCUUGCUUUCUAGUGAAAAACUUGAUGCCUUUGCAAUCAAUUAAUUUGCGUGGAGAUUUAAUUAUGCGGCGUGGCUAAGCCUUUCAUCUAGUUAAGGAUCAACUCGAUGGUACAGUCCCAAAUAUCUGUGAGAUCUAAUUAGUUUUCACGCGUUUCUUAAUUUGUUAAUAUUUGCACGUUGCCUAUUUGAAUUUUCAAGGGAUUAUUUUGUUAAUUGGAUGUCAAGGGCCCGAUGUUCAAUAUGGCUUAUUAAUCUCCUUCCAAAUUAGUCAAUUAAAUCCGUAAUUGUUUGAUUGAUUAAUAUUAGUGGCAACUGGCGUGUUUAUACACUAGGGGAACGUGCAAUCUAAUUUAAAUAACGCUCGUAGCGUGUUAUUGAUCGGGGUUAGGUUUUUCUAGUUAUUAAUGCAAUUGAAAAAUUAAUUCCUACGAUCGUACCUAGGAGUAUUUUCUGAUUAGGAAUAAUCAAUGGUCGUACCUUGAUUAUCAAUAAAUAAAAGAAAAAUUGGUCGUUAGAAUUCGUCGGCGACUAUAACUAGCCUAUUAAUAAAUUAAGUGAACCUCCCUUGCAUCAAUGAUCGAGUAAGUGGACUGUGUCUGAGUAGUUGUAUCAUUGGCUAGAAUUUAUCUAUUCUUGAUUUAAUUCCUGCCUAUAUUCGUGCAAGUUAAUUAUUUAUUUUUAGUGAAUUUUUUAAUUAUUUUUAGUUUUACUCCGAUAAAAUCCUCCUUUAUCAAUUGGAAUCUCAAAGAGACAAAUAUCCCCAGUCCUUGAGGAGAUGACUCUACUUGCCACUGUCUACUAUUUAGUAAGUUUUGUCAACUAAUUAAUUCUGAUAUAUCGGAUUAAGCAAACUUUUCGAGAAUAGGGUGAAUCAAGUAACCCAUUACACACCUAGAGUCCCUGCUCCAGUAUUUAGGAUUAAUUAUUGACUGUUUUUAGUGGUAUUUAUAUUUUUAUUAUUAUUAUUGCAUAGGCUCGACACCUGUCAAUUUUUGUGAUGUUGACCCAAACAACAAAGGACGGGUUAUGUGAUGUUGACCCAAAUAACAAGUCUUCACUAGUGAAUGUGAUAUUUGUGAUAUCCACCUCUUUAUUACCAGUGGGCACGUGAGUUAUCUCACAAGGAGAUUCGCGAGUAUCAUCCUUUGUUCUUCAAUAUCAUCAACUUGCGUUGUGUGACAUGAGACCAUAUCAAUAUCAAAGAAUCUUUUAGAUAUGAAUUCUUUUAAAAUGAUAGAAACUCGCGACUUUUGCUUGAAUACUUGAUUUUCUUGAAGAUUGUGAUUAUUAUUAUUUUUCUCUAUAUUCUUCUCUUUUCUCUUCCAGACCAUUCUACUUCUUGUUAAGGCCUUGUUUACCUUAUUAGAUGGACGAGAGUUUCAUCUUCAUCUUCGCGUGAUCAGAGUUCAUCCAUCAUCAUCUACGUCUGAUUGUAAUGACUUCUCAUCUUCAUAUUCAUAUUUUUGAAGAGCUGAAGGGGCGAUUUUUUGUUCAACUUCUAUAGGAUCAAAUGAUCCAAAUUGAAUGGUUGGCAAUAUAGGUAUCGUAAACUUUUCGACUUCCAUGGACUGUAGUGAAUCAACGGAGGUUUGAUUCAUACUUGCUUUGUUUUUUUCAAGAAAAUUUUUUUCUUGUCUUGCCAAAUCCAUCAUCUCAUCUUUAAAGACAAAGUAUUUUUGAAUGGGAUGUCCAACCAAGCAAUGAUACUUGAUUUGGAUCAUCCGUAUUACUAAUCUCGUCAAGUCAGUUCAUCUUGGAAGCAUGAUCAAGUUCAUGCUUAACAAAUUAUCAAAUAUACUAGGAACAUCAGAAUCAAGGAAAUUGUACUUCUUGUUUUGCAUCUCCUUGAGUGUUGGUUUUUUCUUUCCUUCGUCUUGAUGCAUACUGGUUUUCUUGUCUUCUCUUUUAGCAGUUCUGAGAAUAAUCUUGAAAGGUGUUAUACUUGCAGCUAUGGCCUCUUUCUCACUUUGAUUGGGGGCUUGCCUCCUUUCCUCACUUCUUGUUUCUCCUUAGCCUUGCGAGAAUCAGGAAUUGGCGGCUCUUGUCCAUCAAGGUUAAUUUCUAUCUUAUGAGUUUUUGGGGAUAAUUCAUCAAAUAUUUCUGGUUAUACCCCUUACAAGAUAUAUCUGAAUCCCCAAUGCAAGUCUUGAAUACACAUCUCAAUAGCGGAAGACUCGAAAAUUCGAUCCUUACAGUUUAGGCUUAGAUUUUUUCGAGCGAUUGAUAAAGUUAAUAACAUGUUCAUUCUUUCACUAGCACAUAUUUUAGAGUUCAAUUAUGCUGACAGUCCUUUUCGUGCUAUAGAAGCAAUUAAGGAAUUCCUACUCUAAUUGCUCCCAACUGUCAAUGCUGCUAGAUUCUAAAUCUGUGUACCAAUCAAACGUGUUACCCUUCAAUGAGUGAACAAAUUGCUUAACUAGCAAGUCACCAUUAGUGCCAGCAUUGUUACAAUUUUCGACAAAGUGCGCAAUAUGUUGUUUAGGGUUACCUUUGUCAUCAAAUUAUUGAAACUUUGAAAAUUGAAAUCCUACAAGCAUCUUCAAACAUUUACUCUUGUGGUGUAAGGUUUGAUAUAAUUGCUAUAUGACUUGGUAUUUCCACCAAUCUUGUCCUUGAUCGUACCUUUGAUAAACUCCUUUAAAUUAUCAACAUGAAUGGUACUAUCAGGAGAGAUUGAAAACUCCUUCAUUAUUCGUGACUUGGUAUCCUCUUUCUCUUUCUUCCUUGAUGAUGAGUUACCUUCAUAUUUUUUACCAUGGCCAUUAGUUUGGCUAUUUUGGCAUCUUGACUUUGCACGUGCCCUGCUAGCCCUUCGACAAUUUGGCAAGAUUUGAAAUUUGAUCUCUACGGUUGUGGUGUUAGUCAUCAUGAUGGGCAUUACCACAGAAGUAGCUAAAUUGCUUGAGCUAUCAGCAGAUUCAUCAUGGACUCCCUUCUUGUUGGGAAAAAUCUCAAAAUUUUUUCUUUCAACCACAGCAUUCGCCUUAACCCUAUCUACUAAUUUCUUAGCCUUGCUCCUUGUCAUAGGUGUAGUAUACUGCAUCUCCUGAGUUGUUGGGAUGCCAGCAACUGAGCCUUCAAGAGCAAAACUCAUCUUCUUGGACUCCAUUGAUUCUUGAAACAAGUAAGCUAUUCAAAGAAAAGAGAUGAAAAACAGAGAUGGUCCCACCAGACGUGUCAUAAAAUUUGUGAGCAUAAAUUUUGUUGCCUAAAAUAAAGACAAGAAAAUUUGCAUAAAUAUCAAAUUUAUUAAAUCAAAUAAUAAAUGGGUUAUAAUUUUUGAAAAUUCUUGAAUUAAAGAUAUUAAUCUUCUAAUUCUUCUCUUCAAAAACUUCAAUUGAAGGGUUGAAAAGACUUGUUUACCGAUCAAGAGGGUGUUUCCUACGAUUUUGACAUAGAAAACCGCUGAUUUGAUGAUGACGUUAAAUAGUUGAUGUUGGGUUUGGAUUUUAUUCCACCAAUCGUUCAUUUUGUUGGAUUUGAGUUUUAUACCACCAACUGUGGGAUAAAACCCAAUCCCAAUAAAAUGAACGGUUGGUGGGAUAAUACUCAAAUCCAAUAAAAUGAAUGAUUGGUGGGAUAAAAUCCAAACCCAACACUUGUAUCUUUAAAUCUUCAAUGUCGAUAGAAGGAGGAUUUAUUUUAACUUGAUUUGGAUUUGAAUUUAAGGGAAAAUGCUCUCGAGAGAAUUUGACAGAAUUUCUUCAAAAUUUAGAAAUUUCAAUGUGUUUUUGUACUAAGAGAAUACCUUUAUUUAUAGGCAAAAUAUGUAGAUUAUGUCUUCAAGAAAAUUCUCCAGAACCUUCUUGCGUUUGGGUAACUUGUACCUCAAGAAACUCAUUUAACUUAGGUUUAAAUAGUGGGCCUAUUCAAAUAAUCCAUUGUGAAUUAAUACAUCAAUUAAUCCACUUUAAUUUAAAUGGGUAACACAUUGAUUUGAUUUGAUUUAAUAGCCCAUAUAUCAUUGGUCUAUUUUGUCAAUCAAAACAUAAUAGACUGCUAUAAUUUAAUUUAAUGUAAUCAAGAUCAAUUUAAUUUAUUUAAUCUUGACUAAAUAAAUUUUCUUUGUCUACAGCAUGUACGUGUAAUUUUCCAAAUAAUGAUACUUUUCAAAGAGAGUUUUCAAAUAAUGAAAGUUCUAAAACAAGGCAUUCACCGAAUGCGUGAAUGUAUCUUUUUAAACAACGCAUUUAGUCAAUACGUUUUUAAGGAAAAAUGCCUAUACAAAUAAAAGAAUGAAUUCUAUAAAUGUGUCUUUUGAGGAAACAACACAUUUACUAAGUACGUUUUUUCACUCUUUGGGAAGAAGUUCAAAAAACACCACCAUUUGAAAGGUAAUUUUAGAAAAUCCCACUUUUUGAGAAUUUACUCAAGCUUGUACUUGACAAAAUGUGUUGGGAAAAUUGUGACGUCAGGUGAAUUGUAAAACUGUUGUGCCAUCGUAAUGUAUGUUUUGCACUAGAUUGAGUAAGAAUUAUAUCAAAAUAGUCGGCCACAAUAUAGGAAUGUGAAAACUUUGUGUUAAGUAAGUUGUAAUAUUUUUGUAUCAUCUAACGUAUAUUUGAAAACGAUUGAGAAUAUAAUAUAUGGAAACAACAGGUCACAAUGUUGAAAUGUCAAACCUCUUGUUUCAAACCAAAUACUUAUUAAACUCCUUCAUAUCGCUAACGAAUUUUGAUUCUGAAGUAAUAAUAGUUUUAUUUAAUUAUUUGCCUUUUUUGGAACAAUAUUAAAAUGUAGCCAUAAAUUUAAAUUCCAAAAUUGUUGAAUACUUGAGGAAUUCUAGAAAUGGCACUGAGAGUCAAAGUUCACCUUAUUCAAAAGUCACCAGCCAUCUCAGAGUGCAUGUUUCUAUUGAGUUUCAGGUUCAAUGUGUACCCACUUCCACUUUUGGCUGAUCAAUCAGGACUAAGGUUCCGUUUGAUAAAACUGAAUCUGAAUUCUGAAAUCUGAAUACUGAAACAAUUAAUUUGCUGAAUUUUAAGUUCUGAAAAGAAAUAUAUGAAUGUCUGAAUUUUAAUGUUAAAUCUAUUUCUACUGUUUGAUAAACAUUUAUAACUGAAUGCUUAAUAAGUUAAAUUUGACAAAUUUGCCCUUAAUCUUUUCAUCCAAAAAAGAAGUAGAACCUAUGAUUUAAUUAGGUAAAAAUGUUAGGUAUGAAAAUGACAAUAUUUAUUUUUAAAUCAAAUUAAUAUAAAAGAUGAAAUAUAUUAUAUGCGGAGUGGAGAAGAUGUAAAAAUCAUUCAAAAUGGAGAAAAAAGAAAUAGAAAAUCAUUAGAUAGAGAAUAUUAGAUUGUUUAAUUAGAUAAGAAUUUUGAACAUAAUUAACAAACAAUGGUAGAUUUGAUAGAUAAGAUAAGGUAAUUGAAGUAAUUCUAUUGAUUCUUAUCAGAAUUAAGUAUUCAGUUAGGAUUUUUGUGCUGAAAAAAAUACACACAAUUUCAGCACUACUUAACAAGUUCAGCAAAUAGAUUUUCAUUUAUCAAACAUUCAAAACAUCUAAAUGUCUAAAAAAAUUUAGAUUCAACACUUUUUUAUAUUAUUAAACAGACCCUAAGAGAAUAAAAUAACUUGCUUGCUGUUAGCGAUGGCAACGGGGCGGGGUUGGGGCGGGGGACCCCUCCCCCGUCCCCCGCCCCGUUGCCUAUUAGUUCCCCCUGUCCCCCGCCCCCCCCCCCGCUUCCCCCGCGGGGUUAAUAAAAUUUUAUUAUAAUUAAAUUUUAAUAAAUAAUCAAUUACUAAAAUAUCAACACAUCACCAAAUUAUUAUUCAUUGUAAUUUUACAAUUAAAACUCAUAAAAACAAUCAAACAAAAGUUAUUUGAAUACAAUCCAAUAUGAUGAAAUAAAUAUAACUAAAAUAGUUAAGUUUUCGCUUUUAGUACAAAUGCAAUCACUAAUUCAUUAUUGUGUUUGUGCUUUUCUUUUGAGAAAAAAGUGUUAUUCUAUUAAGUGUAAUUAGAAAUUUAGUAUAAAUGUAUUAGUAAAUUUAGUAUAACUAAUUAAUAAAUUUUAUUAGUAGACAUGUAUAAUUAUUCAUAUAAUUGAUAAUAUCAAUUAUAUUACAUAAACUACUAUACAUUAUAUAAUACAUCUAACUAAUAAUAUCAUUAUCAUAAGUUUAUAACUAAUUAACUUACAUAUUAUAUAUAAUUAUAUAUAUAUUUUUUUUAGGGUGGCGCGGCGGGGGAUGGGGCGGGGGUAUACUCCCCCGUCCCCCGCCCCGUUUCUAAGCGGGGGGAAAAAUUCCCCCCCCCGCCCCAACCCCCGCCCCGAGAGCCCCCCGUGGGCACCCGCCCCCAUUGCCAUCCCUACUUGCCGUUUUUAAAAAAGGAUUCAUUAUUUUUUCUUUGAGCAUUGGUAUCUCCACCCUCAAUGACACUAAUCUGGAUUCAAUAUGAGGAGUGUCCGUAGAGGCUGACUCUUACUCGAGAGUAAAGACUUGACCCAGAGCUUUUCAAGGCGUCAUCAUAUGUAGGAGUCAAACUUAUGAACUCUGUGCAUAGAUAAUUUAGCUCCAGUCUGUGGAAUGUCUUGAUGUUAGGUGAGUUGUAAUAUUUUGGUAUCAUCUAAUGAAAUUUUUAAAAGAUUGAGAAAUAAUAUAGAGCAAAACACCAAUUUAUUCCCUAAAUUAUUUUGCUAAAAUCAAAAUACUCCGUAAAUUUAUUUUGAGUCAGUUUAGUCCCCCAACUAUUUUUACAAAGCUGAAAUAGUCCUUAAACUUUAUUAUGAGCCAAUUUAGUCUCUCAACUAUUUUGUUUAAGUGAAAUAGUACCCCACCUUUAUUUAUUUGGCCAGUUUGGUCCUUGUUUGACUCAUCCACCCAAUUUAUCAACCUUGUGCACUAACAAUCAGGGGCAAAAUAAGAAAUUUAGUCAAUGCCCUUACUAAAAUGAUAGAAGAAUUAGAUAUCUGGCAAAAUUAAAAACAAAAUUGAAUCAUAUAGAGAACAAAAAAAUAUAGUGUUUCUUAUGGAGGAAAAAAAUGGAGCUGAUGCCUAAAAUCUCACAUGGAUCCAACUCAGUCCAUUGAAUGGAGAAAAGGGAAAAUAACACAACAAGAAUAUGUUAAAAGUUGGAAAAUGUGCUAUAAUUAUGAUUACUCCUUUAAGAAAUAAAGCUGAAAGAAGCUCAAUUUCUUUUUGUUUUCCAUAUUAUUCAAUUUCGUUGUCGAUUUUUCGAUAGAUGUAUGUUUUUUUUUUUGUUUUAAUAAGGGCUAUGAUUGGAUUUCCUAUUAUGCCAUUGGCUGUCGAUGCUACACUUGAUAAAUUAGAUGGAUCAUCCAAAUAAAGACAAAAUUGGCUAUGUAAACAUUAGUGAGGGACUAUUUCAGCUUAAGAAAAAUAGUUGAGGGACUAAAUUGGCUUAUAAUAAAAUUAGGGACUAUUUCAGCUUUGUAAAAAUAGUUGAGAGACUAAAUUGACUCAUAAAAUGUUUAGGGACUAUUUUGACAUUAAGGAAAUAGUUUUGGGACUAUAAACAUUAGGUCACAAUGUUGAAAUAUCAAAACCCAUGUUUUGGACCAAAACUCAUAGAACUUCUUCACGUCGCUAACGAAAUUUGAUUAUGAAGUAAUGCUAAUUUUAUUUAUUAUUUGUUUCCUUGCUGGUCUUCUGUCUUUUUGGUUAUUCCAAAAUUGUUGAAUAUUUAAACGAAUUCUAGAAAGGGCACUGAGAGUCAAAGUCUUAUUCAAACAGCCAGCUAUCUCAAAGUACAUAUUUUUUUAUUAUCAGGUUCAAUAUGUAUCUAUUGCAAUUUUUGAAUGACCAGCCAUGACUAAGAGAAUAAAAUAAUUCACUUGCUGUUUUUAGAUAUGAAUUCAUGACUGUCAGUAGUCUAUAAAUACACUUAUUGCUCACCACUCUUUGCACCGCAAAAUCUCUUCAAGAUCCAACAAACCCUCCUGUUCUUGGUCUUUGUCCAUUUGUGAAAAAACAAAUUAAAGCGUCAUGGCCCCUAUCACUUGUAGUGCUGAGAUGACCUCCCCAAUCCCUCCUGCAAGGUUGUUCAAGGCCGCCAUCCUUGAUGACCACCCUUAAUGCCACAGGCUAUUAAGAGUGUGGAAAUCCUUGAAGGAGAUGGUGGCGUUUGAACCAUUGAGUUGAGCACAUUUGGUGAAGGUUAGAUGUUAUAUUAAAUGUAGAACCCCAAAUUUAAGGAUCUAAUAAUAAUCAAUGCGUGCAGGGUUACAGAAUUGGAGGGAUAAAACAAAUACUCAAAAUAUACGUGGAAGAAAAGAAAAAUAAUAAAUUCAACUCACAAUAUUAUUGAAAUUUCAAACAAUGAAGAAAAUCAUACCACAAUGAAUUCAACUGGUUCUAAUAAUAAUCAAAGCAUACAAGGUUACAGAAUUAAAAGGAUAAAACAAACACUCAAAAUAUAUGUGGGAGAGAAGAAAAUAAUAAAUUCAACACACAAUAUUAUUGAAAUCUCAAACAAUGAAAAAAGUCACACCAUAAUAGAAAACCUUGCUAAUGCUUCUAGAUUCUUUCUCUUGAGAAACCAACCUAAAUAAUGUUCUAUUUAUAAUCUACCAAACUUGUUAGGAAAGAAACCACUUGCAUAAGAAAUUACCAAAUAAUACAGAAAUUCCUAAAUCACACAACUACUAAAAACAUAACUCAAAUAAAACUAAAAAAUAAAUAAAUAUUACUAGGCUUAGUUUAAUUUGUCAACAUUGCCUCCUUUAAACCAUACUAUCCAUUGAGAUAGGUUCAACACCAUCUCGAGCAAUAAUUUCUAUGCAAAUCUAUGUUGUAGUACACUUGACAUGAAACUCUAACUUGUUACCAGUUAUUAAUUUCAUUUUUACACGUAACAGUGGACACACUAUGUAUUGUGUAAACAACUUCUCAGCAAUUUCUUCUUGAUCAAAGAACUCACUUAUACAAACCCAUUCAUCACCAGAAUCACCAUAUUUACCACCAAUGUAAGUGCCUAAAAAUACAAAAUCAUAGAUUUCUUUCUCGCUAAAAUUAUCAUCACCAAAUAAUUCAAAAUAACCACUACUACAAUCAUCCAAAAUUUUCAUACUGUCAGUCAACUCUUUUGGAGUAAAAUAUUUUUCAACUCCGAUGACAUCCAUAUCUAUUAAAUCAAACAUUCUCCCAUCACUUUGAAGAGAGUCCGAACCAACGAAUUUUUCAACAACAAUUUCAUGUUCUCUUCUCUUAUCAAAUCAAAAUUUUUUUCUUCUUUUGUCAAAUUACCAUAUUAUUUUUUUCAACAAAUUCAUUACUUCUAAUUUCUCCAAACAAGGUACGCAAAUCAAAACUAUCAAUUGAUUCAAAAUUUUCGAUAUCACCCAUAUUAUCAACAAAUCUAUCAUUUUUAAAAUCCACAAACCAAUACCAAUAAAUAGACUUCGGUUUGAAAGCAUAAUUUCUCCCAAUCGUGUGCAAAACAUAGUAAAUAUCCUUCCAAAAUCUCUAAAGUAUUUUAAUUAGUACGACCAAUAAAGGUUUUAUAAACACUUUUUGCCAUUAUUUUACGCAUCACUUGAAAGAAUAAUUGUGCCUUUUUCUUAAAAACAUGUUUUGACAACUUACUUGCAUCAACCCAACAAAGAAUAUCAUCCAAAUUACAUUGUUUAACAUAUUUUUCCACUAUUAAAAUCCAACCAAAAUAUGUAUGUCCAUUUGUGCUUAUAGGAGUCAAUAUGAAAAAUUUUUCACCGUGAAUCAGAUCUUUAUAAUAUUCCAUUAUUUAACAAUUUGUAUACCUGGAUAAAUUUUUUUCCUCCAUCCUGUCAUGUUUUCUUGGCCUCCCUGGUUGACUAACCAAAUUAUUGUUGUAUGUAUACCCAUGCUCGUCAAACCUCAUUUGUGUACACUCGUAAGGAGUGGUUCUGAGCUUCUUGUGAAUGCUCAGUACCAAGAAGUAGAAGAGAGAAUGCAUAAGAGAGAAUUAACUUGGCUAUAGAAAUAGGAAACAAUUGAGGGAUUUUUUAAGAAAUUAAUUCUCCAGCUACCACUUUUGGAAAUUUUCUAUCAACAACUAGUUACCAAAACACUAGCACAUAAUAAGAAAUCAGGAUAAUUUCAGAAACCUCCCUUGAGGCUUUUAAUAACCUCAAGAAGCUCCCCUCAAUAUUUUAAAAUUACACGUACCUUCCCUAUUGGUGCAAAAGUACUCUACUACCCCUAAUAGGAUACUCAAAAGACUUUUUUUUAUGGGAAAAAUGAAGCUCAGAAAUCCAAGCAAAAUCAAAAAAAUCAAUUGAUUUUCUCUUUUAGCCUUUUACACUUUUGCCUUCUACCUUUGCUCACUUUCCCAUCCCAAUCUUCCUACACCCGCUUUCCCAAUCCCCUUUCCCCAACUUUUCUCCUCUACUUCAAGACCAAUUUUUGUCUAUCUAUCCUGGCUUGUGCUUUGUUCCAUUCCCUUCCCUUCUCCUUCUUUGAUUUCGCCUACAUCUCCCUUUCUCUUUGCAAAAGUGACUAGGCUCAUGUCUCUCUUUUUCCCCCCUAUUCUAAGUGUAGUGGGUUUGAUUAUUUUGCAUCUAUUUUAUUUGAUUUGGGUUGAUUAUGGGUGAUAGAACUUGGCGAUGUCAAAUAUCAAAAGUUUGAUAGAUGGAUAUUGGGCUUUAGACAAUGAUUUGCUGAAAAAAAUGGCUGCAAUGAGACAAAGAGGCAAGGGGAUUUGAGUGUGGGGUUGAUUGUUGAUAAAUUGUUGUUUUGGACAAAAUUUGAGGUUGAGUUUUAUUAAAUUUGAUAGCAAGUGGCGAGUUUUGUUCAGGUUGCGGGAAAUAAAUUAGAUUGUGGUUUCUUGGGCACCCACAGUUGUUGGAAUUGGUUUUGAUUCAAAUUAGGGUGGUUACUUGAUUUUCCUAAUAGUGUUGCUUAAAAGCACACGAUCAUCAAAAUUCCUUAUUUUUAUCUUUUGUUUUUUCUUGUAGAAAAGAUUUCACGACUUUCGUGAUAGUCUAAUUUGGAAGAAGGCAAUCAAGGGAUGCAAUCAACAUUUAGCAAAAGCUCUUGUUCUUUCCUUUGUAAUUUUUAGGGUAAAAAGGGUAGUUUAGGGUAUUUGAAGGAAAUGAUAGUCUAUUGGGUCUAUUUUCAAGCAUAAAUAGUGAACGUAAGGGAGGUUGGUGUAAUUUCUGAAACCUAAGGGAAAUUGUCUGAAAUUGUUCGAGACCUCAGAGGAGGUUUUCGAAAUUAUCCCUAAGAAAUCAAAUGCGAAACUUGAUUAGUACACGCACACACGACACCGCACCACGCCGCGCGUGUGUUGAGGAUUGGUGUCCGUAACCAACGACAAGCAGGUUUUCAAUUUUUUUUUCCUUUCCUGGAUUCUCCAGAGAUGGUGUCAGCUUCUAUUAUUGAUGAGCAGGAGGAAAUCCACAAUAUACAGUACACAUCACCCAUAUUCUUUUUAAUUGAACAAUGUAUGAAAUUAUGGUGAUUCGAAAUUAAAUUAUAUGUUUAUUGGGCACUGAAUCCAAAAUAAGAGUUGGAAAUGUAUUGUGACAACAAUUGUUAACAUAGGCCACAAAUGAUCAAAACAAAUAUUUAAGGUUUAAUAUGACAUUAUGGGUUCAGAAUAUAGUUACUUGUUAUGAAACAACUAAAAGUAUGGAUAUCCAUUUGUAUUUUCAAGAGGAUCAAUUCAUAAUUCAUUGCUCCCAAGAGGAUUAAUUCAUAAUACAUUGCUACAUUAUGUAAAGGAAUUGCAUUGGAUGAACGGUUUCAAUCCAUAAAAGCUAUUUAUGUAUUGGAUGAACCGUUUCAUAUGGCUAUUCAUGUUCUUGUAGUAAUGAGUGUUUAAUAGAAUUGAUGUACCUUUAAUUUUGUAGUACCUAUAUAUACAGGUACUUUGGCACCUCUUGGGUAUACUUUUUGAUUAGUUGGAAUAAUAAGAAAAUUAUUCUUCAUUUCUGUACUUCUUUCUCUAAUAUUUCAAUUCCUAUUAUAGUAGUUCAUUUUUUUUAGUUUUACAACACGUUAUUAGCAUGAGUCUCUACUUUUGAACAAAAAGGUGAAAACGGAGCCUCUACCUUAAAAAAAAGUGAAACACGAGAUUCUGCCAAAAUUUUGCCCGUAUUUUUCCGGCAACUUCUGUCCACUUAUUGAGAAAUGGAUGCCAAAUAUUUGGGAUUAAAUAAUGGUGAUGAUGAUAUUUGUCUCAUUGAUAGUGCUACUACGCACACUAUAUUGAAAAAUAAAAAAAAAAUUUCUUGUAUGAAAAUGGGAGAGACAAAUGUUAAUACCAUAACUGGUAGUGCAAAAUUGAUUGAACGCUCCGGAAUAGCCUCUCUAUUUCUUCAUGAAGGGACUAAAAUUGUCGUAAAUAAUGCACUACUGUCUCCCAAGUCUCGGAGAAAUUUAUUGAGUUUUAAAGAUAUCUGCGAAAAUGAAUACUAUAUAGGGAUAAUGACUGAGACAAAUGGAGAAUUUUUAUUAAUCACAAGUAUCAUUUCUGGGCAGAAAUGCGUAGUAGAAAAAUUACCUUCUUUUUCUUCUAGCUUAUAUUAUGCACAAAUUAGUGCAAUUGAAAUUUAUCACCUAGUAGACCAGAAGUCUACUCAUCCCAAUAAUUUUAUGAUUUGGCAUGAUCGUCUCGAAAAUACUGAAUCUAUAAUGAUGAGACGAAUAAUCAAGAAUUUACAUGGUCACUCAUUGAAAAAUUAAAAGAUAUUAAAAGCAAAUGAAUUCUCCUGUGUUGCUUGUUCCCACGGAAAAUUAAUUAUUAGACCAUCACCAGUUAAAGUUGGGACUGAAUUCCCUACAUUUCUAGAACGAAUUCAUAGUGAUAUAUGUGGACUCGUAGAUCCACCAUGUGGACCAUUUCGAUAUUUUAUGGUGCUAAUUGAUGCAUCAACUAGAUGGUCACAUGUAUUUUUAUUAUCUACUCGCAACUUGAUAUUUGCGAGAUUGCUUGCUCAAAUAAUUAAAUUGCGAGCACAAUUUUCAGACUAUCUAAUAAAGAAAAUUCAUUUAGAUAAUGCUGGUAAAUAUUCGUCACAUGCUUUUGACAAUUAUUGCAUAUCUAUUGGAAUAACUAUUGAACAUCUUGUAACUUAUGUUCACACACAAAAUGGUCUAGCCGAAUCAUUUAUUAAAUGGUUACAAUUAAUUGCUAGACCAUUGUUGAUGAGGUCUAAACUUCCUUCAUCUGCUUGGGAAUAUGCUAUAUUAUAUACAGCAAUACUUGUGAGAAUUAGACCGACAAGUUAUCAUACUUAUUUUCCUCUAUAAUUAACUUUUGGUUAUAAGUCAAAUAUUUCUCAUUUACGAAUAUUUGGUUGUUCGGUUUAUGUUCGAAUUGCACGGCCCCAAUGUCGUAAAUUGGGUCCACAAAGAAGAUUGGGGAUAUAUGUCGGAUAUAAAAUCACCUUUAAUUAUUAAGUAUAUGGAACCAUUGACAGGUGAUUUAUUUACUGCAAGAUUUGCAGAUUGUCAUUCUAAUGAAUCACAUUUUUCGACAUUAGGGGGAGAUAAAAAUCAAUCGAAAAAGAAAAUCACUUGAAAAAUAUCAUUCAAUUUUCUCGAUUCUCGUACCAAAGAAUGUAAACUAGAAGUUCAAAGGAUUAUACAUUUGCAAAAAAUUACAAAUCAACUACUGGACGUAUUUAAUGACUCCAGAAGAGUUAUUAAAUCACAUAUUUUUAUUGAAAAUACUCCGAUUAAAAUUAAUGUCCUUGAAGGACAAAUUACAAGUGUUAAUGAGUGUAAAGUGCGCCUGAAGCGUGGGAGACCUCUUGGUUCUAAAGAUAAAAAUUCUCGAAAGAAAAGAGAAAUUGAUGAAUCAACAAUUAGUGACAAAAUUCAACCUCCUGAAGAAGUCGCUCCUAAAGAGCCAAUUCUUGAAGAUAAUGAAAUUAUAGAAAAUUCAAUAAAUUUUGUCGCUUCAGGAAAAAGUUGGAACAAAAAAAAAUUAUUAAUAGUAUUUUUGCAUAUAAUGUAGCACUUGUUAUUAUGGUAGGUAAUGAAGAUCGUGAGCAUAGAUCGGUUGAUGAAUGUCGACGUAGAAAUGAUUGGCCAAAAUGGAAAGAUGCGAUUCAAUCUGAAUUGGACUUACUAGCUACAAGAAAAGUUUUUGGGCCUGUAGUCCAAACACCUGAAGGUGUAAAGUCAGUAGGAUAUAAAUGGGCAUUUGUGAGAAAAAGAAAUGAGAAAAAUGAAAUCGUGAGGUAUAAAGCAAGACUUGCAACCCAAGGAUUUUCACAAAGGCCUGGAUUUGAUUAUGAUUACACGUAUUCACCUGUAGUGGAUGCUAUCACAUUUAGAUAUCUUGUGAGUUUUGCAGGACAUGAAAAAUCAGAUAUGCAUCUAAUGGACGUCGUUACUGUAUAUUUAUAUGAAAAUUUUGAAAAUGAUAUUUAAACGAGAAUCCCUGAAGGAUUCAACAUGCCUGAAGCAUGCAAAUCAAAUUUUAAAGAUAUUUAUACUAUUAAAUUACAAAGGUAUUUGUAUGGGUUCAAACAAUCUGGACGUAUGUGGUACCGCCUCAAUGAAUGUUUAACUAAAGAAGGCUAUACCAAUAAUCUAAUACAUCCAUGUGUCUUUAUCAAGAAAAAUGGACUAAUUUUAUGAUAAUUGUUGUCUAUGUUGAUAAUCUUAAUCUGAUUGGAACUCUUGAAGAGAUUCAAAAUAGUGUUGAAUAUUUGAAGAAGAAGUUUGAAAUCAAAGAUUUUGGAAAAACAAAAUUCUACAUUGAUUUACAAAUUGAGUGAUAGGUUGCAAUUUUAUCAUUUAUUUUAUUAUUAAUUUUCCCUAUUACUUAACCCAAUGUGAAUUAAUUAUUAGAUUCUACUCACUUUUAGUAUUUUACAUAUAUUUCAGGGAGUAGAACGAAAAUACCAUAAUAAGUGCCGAUUUGACAGUUAUCAGGAAAGAGUUCAAGUAGCAGGCAUCCAGGGCAUUUUUGGAACAAGGAGAUACAAGUCCUUUUUGGUAAUUCGCAGAGCGCAGCAUUAAAAGGAGGAACGAAGGGCUGAAGUAGGGAGUCUUCUUCCCCCUGGGAGGAACCGCCGCACAGCAGAGGGCUGUCUGGUCCUCUUAGUUUUUCCGUUUCUUUAGUUUUAGCUUCGGAUUUUGACUUUUCUUCUCGUAGGAAUUUUGGGUAGCCUUGAGCUUAGCAACUUUUGUUGACCCUUUUUUGGCCUUUUAGCUAGUUUGUUCUUACGCAUGGAAGAUGGCUGAAUAGCUGAGGCUUGUUCUUUGUUUUUCUUUGACUUUUCCUUUUGGUUUGCUUCCUGCGGACGCCCAGACCGAAGGAAAACUAUGAAGUCCCUUUUGUAGCUUUCUCUCUUUAUUAAAUAGACGAAUUGAAUUCCCUCAACUUGCGAAUUGAUGGCCGCAGCUUUUGCUUCAAUUUCUUGUGGGUUUAGUUCAUUAAUUAUGAACUAAUUCUACAAUUCUAGUCAAGGGGACAACUGACGAUUUGGUUCGACAAUUACUGUGAGAUCGAAUCUGUUUUAAUUAUUUUCUUCAUUUAUUGGUAUUUAUAUGUUCCUUGAUUUUAAUUGCUAUGGCCUUGUGUAUGAUUGAUUAGUGCGCAAUAAUUAAUUAUUCAUAUAGGCUAUUUUGCUAAAUAGAGGUAAUUGAAUCCGUAAUUGUUCGUUAUCUCUAUCUUAGUAGCAACUGGCGUAAUUGGGUUUAUGUCAGGGGAGCAUAUGAUCUAGCUUAAACAAACCCUCGUAGCGUGUUUGUUGGUUAGGAUUGGGCCUUUCUAAUUAUUAAUGCAAUCUAGAAAUUAAAUCUUACGGUCGUACCUAGGGUUGUUUUUGGGUUAGAGAAAUAGCUAACGGUCGUACCUUAGCUAUCGAUAAAUUAAGGAAGGGUUGGUUGUUUAUCGCGUGCAUGACAACUAUAACCAAUCUAUUAAUAAAUGUUGGGAUUAUUUUUGCAUCAAUGAUCAGUGCAUGAACCAUUUCUGAAGUAUACCCUUGGCUAGAGUUUCUCUUAGUUAUUUCUUUUAAUUAAUUAUUUUCUGCAGUUAAUUUAUUUAGUUAGCAUUUAAUCCAAAACCCCCCAUACUUUGGACUCUAAAAGAAACAAUUACUCCCAGUCCCUGUGGAUUCGACCCUGCUCACCGCUAUCUACAGAAAUCACUUUUAGUUUGAGCAGGUAUUUAUUAUUGCACAGGCUUCGACGACCUGUCAAUCUUUGGCGCCGUUGCCGGGGACUGGUGCCAGAUUAAAUUGUUUCUUUUUGAGUUUAUCUUGUUUUCAUUUUUUUAAUUUAUUUUUCUCUUAUUUUUUAUUAUUAUUAUUAUUUUUUUUAUGGCUGCUAACAUUCCAUAUUUUGAUGAUAGACUGGAUUUUGUUCCUGAAUGGGGUUAUGAGACUCAUGUUUUUCCUAACGAUCAAUGGGCUGUUGCAAAUUGUGGAACUUAUUUUGACUCAAGUUAUUCAACUGACACAUGCCCCGUAUUUCAAGAUAAUUUAAGUUCUCCACUUGAUACUUUUGGAGAUUUUUCACCCCAAUAUCAAACGUGGUAUGACCCUUAUUCAAACGGGUAUGAUCAAGGAUGGUGGGAUAAUUCCAAUUUUGAUUAUGCGACCGGGCCAAUGGAUUUUCAACAGCAAGAGUCUCAGCAAUCAUCCUCCGUGUCAGGUAUGUCUCUUGAAGAAAUGAUAGGUUUACUAAUUGCUAAUUCAAAUCGAUUUCAUCAGGAGACACAAGCGAGCCUAAAUCGAUUUCAUCAGAGGACACAAGCGAGCUGUCGCGACCUGGCGGAUCAACUGCGUCAAUUGACAGCCAGGAUGCAGCGAUUAGAGGCUCACCUUGAAGAAUUGCCCUCGCAAACCAAUAUCAAUCUUGAGGAAGAUGAGAGUGCAAUUGUCCGGGCAAAUGACAUGGAACUGCAAGAGUUUCAAGAAAACGGAUUUAAAGAUGCAGUUGAAAAGGAAGCUGAAGUGCAAGAAAUGAGACUCCAAGAUCAACUCGUUCAAGUGAAUGAAUCCAGUGAACAAUCUCCAAAUGCGGUGACAUCUUCUCCACUCCUUAAUCAAUAUUUUCCUGGCUCCUAUUCUUCAACUCCUGUUACUGAAAUUGAUUUUAUUAUACCAGAAAAUUUAAAAUUUCAUGACAGGAAUAAGUUAAGAGUGGAGAUGGCAAAAUAUCUUGAACCAAUGAAUGCGUGUGAUGGAGGAGUGAGUGGAGAAUGCAGAUCAUUGUUGACUUGUUUAGCGCCAUUUACUAGUCCAUGGAAGCCCGUAACUCGUGUGCCCAAGAAUUACUCCAUCUAUGAGGGUUACCAGGAUCACGUUGAAGAUGAAGCAUUGAAGCGAGCCACAAGAUUUUAUCCUCCAUGAGCAAAACAUGAUAAUGUCUAGCCAAAGACAUUAAAGAAAGGCGCUCAUUGGGAGGCAACCCAAUUUCUUUUAGUUGUUUGUUUGAUUUUAUUUGUUAGUUUAAAUCUGUCUUCCUUGAAUUUGACUGAUUUUGGGUGUUAAUUUUCGUUUUUACUGAUUUGUAGGUGACCUUCAGUCAUGACGCGCCCGCGUGGUGACGUGCAGGAAGCUCACGAUCAGAAACUUCUGGGAGCUCUCUUACCCUCAUGACGUGCCCGCGUCAAGUCACCUGGAGAGUUCCAGAUUCCGUGCCUUCAUGGUGUGCCCACGUCACGUUCACGGGAGAGAUAAGUAUUUAAAAAAAAAAUUCAAAAACGAUUGUUGAUUGUUGGUUAUCUCUGCUUUUGAAUCUCGAAAAUAAAAUUUGCUAAUGAAAAUAAAUUUCAAAAAAAUAAAAAAAAAUUUUUUAAAAAAAAAAAUUUAAAUUUUUGUUUCACGGUAGCUUAGAUUUUCAAAUCCUAAAAAAAAAAAAAAACACAGAAACUCUUUCUUAUCAACGUAGCUUUAGUGUCAAAUAUUUUAAAAAAAAAAAAGUCUCAAAUGAAAAAAAAAAAGGGCUUUUCUUUUUCUUUCUUUUCUUUCUUUCUUCUUCUUUCUCUUUUCUGUCUUCCUUCUCCCCUGUUUCUUCUUCCUCUCUGUUGACCGAAGCCCUCUGUCCGCCGCCGCUGCUGAAGCGCCCUCAGCCGUCGCGCAGCAGCUCCUCACUCGAAGACGCCGCGGCCACAGCACCUCUGCACGCGGCCUCCACCUCUCCAUCGCGCGCCGUCAAGAGCUCCGCCGACCCACGACGCGCGAGGCACCAGCUCGCGCGCCUCCCCCACCUAGCAACUGCUGGCCGACCAGCCCCACCACCAGCCCGCGCCGCACCUGCUGGCCGACCUAUCAACUCCUAAGCUCGCGAACCUCCUCAGCUCAGCUCCACCAGCGAGCUGCUCCUCGCUCACUCCAUCGCGUGAAGACCAGGCGAGCACGGCCCGCAGCCUCUCACCGCCACUGCGCACCUCUGACCAGCUCGCAGCACCUCUCUCUGCCCUCCGUGCGCUGCCCGCGCGUGGCACCAGCGCCUCCACAGCUCGUCGACGAAGCCCAAGCUGACAGACCACGCCGCUCGUCCACUUCCACCACUCGCGACGCACAGAUCAGCGCUGCCGUUGGUUGCCCAACCUCCCUGGUGCCAGGUUUUUCUUACUAAUUUUGUGGUCUACGAUUCCAAUUUCUUGAUGAUGGGAUUUUUGAUGAUUACGAUUUCAUUGAGUAAAUUUGAUUGGCUUGCAUCUGUGUUACUGGAGCCCGUGGGUUGGGUUAUGACCUGCAACUGAUUUGCCUAGUCUAAUAUAAUUGUCAUUUGUUUGGGCUCUUGAAGUACUGUCUAGUGUUGUUUGUAUUUCUUAGUGAAUUGAGUUUGCCGUUUGAUUUCAUUCUUCCCUGUGCGUACACCAGUGGUACUGGUUGUGGUAGUUGCCUAACAUUUAUUCAUUCUCAUUGGUGUGGCUGUUGGGAUUGAAAGCUCAGAACUUGUGACUAAGUUGUUAUUGCCUAAAUGCUGACCUGCUAUUACUAGACUUGCUGAUUUCUUGGGAGCAUUUGUUGGGAUUUUGGGUGGAUAUUAGCAAGUGGUAUAUUGCUUGAUUUUUUUUACCUGUGCCUUGCUUGGAGUUUCUAGUGCAUGUUUGGGGCUGCCUUGGGAGUUAUUUGCCACAAUUGAUUGCCGUUUUGGUUUCUUCUGUUUCUGGUACUGCUUGUGCUGAUGGAUUUAUCAGUGUUUUGGGCGGCUUAUUUGAAUUGCUUCUUCCCUGUGUGUUUGGUCAGCUGUUUGCUUGAAAACCCAAACCCUUGUGCUUAUAUUUGCUCCCAGUUGAGUUAUGUGUUGGACUUUCCAAUUGGUGACAACUUUUGGGCUUUAGGGGUGAGUUCAUUUUGUCAUUAUUUGCUACCUUGUUGGGGUCAUUUUUGGUUUCACCUGAGUCUAUUGUCCUGCCUUCUGUUUUGAGUCCAUUGGAGUGACGUGAGUUGAGUAAUUUCUGCUUUUGUUUGUUGAUUUGGAAGGCUACUGUGCCACUUUCAUUGCUUAUUGCUUAGUGAUUAUGUCUAAUUAACAAUGUGCAUAGCAUGGCGCAGAAUUUGGCAGCAUUCAUGUAGCAUGCCGGUCUUAUACCUCAAUUGGGUACCUCUAUUUGGUUGGCUGCGUUCUUAUUGUCCAAUAUCUAUGCUGUUUUCAAUGGAAUUGCUGAUCUUGGGUUAAGACUUUAGCUGGCCAACUGGAGCCAUUUGUUGAGAUUUUGGGUGAACUGCAAUACUGCACUCGUUUGUUCAAUUGGGAGGUUUCUUUUGGUAUUCUGGUUGAGUUAUUUCUAAAGUUGCCUGAUGAAUUGAGAGACAUAGAUGGCUAUUGCUCUGCCCUGAUAUUGCUUGGUUGCCAGUGCGCAUUCUCUAUGCCAAGUGGCAAGGAUGUCUCAGAACUCGGCUUCCCUCCACUGUUCCCUCCUAUCCCUUAGCUGUUCAGCAGGGAAGUCUCGUUAUCCUCUUCGCUUUAAUUAUUUUAUUACCUCCAUUGAGGACAAUGUAGGAUUUAGGUGUGGGGGGAGCAGUUAUGGUGCUAGUGUCUUUCGUUCAUUUUCUUUUUCUUCUUUUUAGUGAUUGGCUCGUAAGUGCAUGCCAAGGUUUGAUGUUGGAUUAUUGCCUCUAUUUCUACUUUUGCCAAGUUUUAAUAAUAAAAGGGUAUCAAGUUAAUGUGGUUGAAUCCAAAAACAUCUCUUUGGUGAAUAUCAAUAAUUGUUUUACUCUUAUAAUUUUUUGGUUAACUUUCCUAGGCAUAGGGAAUGAUUAUUGGCAUUUUUAGUGAAUUGGUCCGGUUAUUAACCUUAGUUCUCCAUGUUUGAAAAUGAGGCUAGCUGAUGCAAGUUUUCUUUUGGUUCUUGUGUUAUAUUGAGUUUUUGUGAUUUUUAGCUCUGAAUAAACUUGACUGUACUCCGCUAUUAGUUACUACUGAGUAACCGGGGAUCUGCACCUAAAAGUGUUGAUUCUCGCGUCAAAAGAUAGUAGUUCCUAUGAGUACGUGGUCACGUGGCGAUAGAAGCUGAGUAACCGGGCUCCUUCAUCUGGCCAAUGUUGGAAUUCGCGUCAAAAGGCUCUAAUGGCUAGCGACUAAGUCUUUUGUUACUAUUGAAAAAAAACGAGAAAGAAGAAGAAGAAAAAAAAAAGAAAAAAAAGAGAAAAGUAGAAAAAUGUGAAAGAAAAAGUGAAUGCUGUGUUAGUGUAUAAUAAAAGUCAGCUUGCCGAUUUAUGGAUUUAAUGUUGAGAUUUUGGUUAAUAGUUGGACCAUUUGCUGAUAACUGUUAUGCGUCAUUCCUUUUUCUUAGAUUGGUUAACAUGAAAUUAGAGGAAUUUAUGGUUUAGAAGCUAACCGGAGUGAUGUUUCUUGGACUAGACCAUUGAUGCUUGAUUAUUAUAUUUUCUUGGUAUCUUGGCAAUAUGGUAGAUGGAGUAAUAGCCAUUGGCAAGUGUUGGUGUUUAUUUGCUGUUCUCAUGCUUGAGGACAAGCAUGGUUUAGGUGUGGGGGGAAUUGAUAGGUUGCAAUUUUAUCAUUUAUUUUAUUAUUAAUUUUCCCUAUUACUUAACCCAAUGUGAAUUAAUUAUUAGAUUCUACUCACUUUUAGUAUUUUACAUAUAUUUCAGGGAGUAGAACGAAAAUACCAUAAUAAGUGUCCGAUUUGACAGUUAUCAGGAAAGAGUUCAAGUAGCAGGCAUCCAGGGCAUUUUUGGAACAAGGAGAUACAAGUCCUUUUUGGUAAUUCGCAGAGCAGCAGCAUUAAAAGGAGGAACGAAGGGCUGAAGUAGGGUCUUCUUCCGCCUGGGAGGAACCGCCGCACAGCAGAGGGCUGUCUGGUCCUCUUAGUUUUUCCGUUUCUUUAGUUUUAGCUUAGGAUUUUGACUUUUCUUCUCGUAGGAAUUUUGGGUAGCCUUUAGCUUAGCAACUUUUGUUGACCCUUUUUUGGCCUUUUAGCUAGUUUGUUCUUACGCAUGGAAGAUGGCUGAAUAGCUGAGGCUUGUUCUUUGUUUUUCUUUGACUUUUCCUUUUGGUUUGCUUCCUGCGGACGCCCAGACCGAAGGAAAACUAUGAAGUCCCUUUUGUAGCUUUCUCUCUUUAUUAAAUAGACGAAUUGAAUUCCUUCAACUUGCGAAUUGAUGGCCGCAGCUUUUGCUUCAAUUUCUUGUGGGUUUAGUUCAUUAAUUAUGAACUAAUUCUACAAUUCUAGUCAAGGGGACAACUGACGAUUUGGUUCGACAAUUACUGUGAGAUCGAAUCUGUUUUAAUUAUUUUCUUCAUUUAUUGGUAUUUAUAUGUUCCUUGAUUUUAAUUGCUAUGGCCUUGUGUAUGAUUGAUUAGUGCGCAAUAAUUAAUUAUUCAUAUAGGCUAUUUUUUGCUAAAUAGGGGUAAUUGAACCCGUAAUUGUUCGUUAUCUCUACCUCAGUAGCAACUGGCGUAAUUGGGUUUAUGUCAGGGGAGCAUAUGAUCUAGCUUAAACAAACCCUCGUAGCGUGUUUGUUGGUUAGGAUUGGGCCUUUCUAAUUAUUAAUGCAAUCUAGAAAUUAAAUCUUACGGUCGUACCUAGGGUUGUUUUUGGGUUAGAGAAAUAGCUAACGGUCGUACCUUAGCUAUCGAUAAAUUAAGGAAGGGUUGGUUGUUUAUCGCGUGCAGGACAACUAUAACCAAUCUAUUAAUAAAUGUUGGGAUUAUUUUUGCAUCAAUGAUCAGUGCAUGAACCAUUUCUGAAGUAUACCCUUGGCUAGAGUUUCUCUUAGUUAUUUCUUUUAAUUAAUUAUUUUCUGCAGUUAAUUUAUUUAGUUAGCAUUUAAUCCAAAACCCCCCAUACUUUGGACUCUAAAAGAAACAAUUACUCCCAGUCCCUGUGGAUUCGACCCUGCUCACCGCUAUCUACAGAAUUAAUUUUAGUUUGAGCAGGUUUUAUUAUUGUACAGGCUUCGACAACCUGUCAUUGAGCAUUUGAAAAGUGAAAUUUUUGUCCACCAAACUGCUUAUACCCGGAAGGUAUUAAAGUAGUUUUAUAUGGAUAAGGCAUAUACAUUAAGUACCCCAAUGGUCAGAUCAUUAGAUCCUAAUAAGGACCCUUUUAGACCGCGAGAGGAAGUUGAAGAGAUACUUGGUCCUAAAGUACCAUAUCUCAGUGCAAUUAGUGCACUAAUGUAUCUUGCUAAUUGUACAAGACCUGAUAUAUCAUUUGCAAUAAAUUUAUUAGCAAGAUUUAGUUCUCGCUCACAAGACGACAUUGGAAUAGUAUUAAACAUAUUUUUUGUUAUCUCCAAGGAUCAAUUGAUCUUGGCUUAUUUUAUUCAAAUAAAUCUAAACUUGAAUUGUUUGGUUAUGUUGAUGCUGGAUAUUUAUUUGGCCCACAUAAAGUAAGAUCUCAGACUGGUUAUCUAUUUACAUAUGGAGGUACAACCAUUUCUUGGCGAUCUACAAAGCAAUCAUUAGCUGCCAUUUCAUCGAAUCAUGCUGAAAUAAUAGCAAUUCAUGAAAUUAGUUGAGAAUGUGUUUGGUUAAAAUCAAUGACCCACUAUAUCCGGAAAAGUUGUGGGUUAUCCUCCGAAAAAGAAAAUCCUUCAACUAUAUUAUAUAAAGAUAAUGCAGCUUGUAUAACUCAAUUGAAAGGAUGAUAUAUUAAAAGAGAUAGAACGAAAUAUAUUUCACCAAAAUUCUUUUUUACUCAUGAUUUACAAAAGAAUGGUGAAAUUGAUGUGCAACAAAUCUGAUCAGAUAAUAAUUUGACAGAUUUAUUUACCAAUGCAUUGCCAACUGCAAUAUUUAAGAAAUUGGUGAAGAAUAUUGGAAUGCGACGACUAUAAGAUCUCAAAUGAUAUUUGCAUCCGGGGGAACAAUCAAUACACAAGAAUAGUGUACUCUUUUUCCUUCAUUAAGGUUUUUAUCCCGUUGGAUUUUUUCCUAGUAAGGUUUUAAUGAGACACAUUCUUUGUGUAAUGGACAUCCAAUGGGGAGUGUUAUGAAACAACUAAAAAUGUGGAUGCCCAUUUGUAUUCUCAAGAAGAUCAAUUCAUAAUUCAUUGCUUCCAAAAGGAUUAAUUCAUAAUUCAUUGCUACAUUAUAUAAAGGAAUUACAUUGGAUGAACGGUUUCAAUCCAUAAGAGCUAUUCAUGUAUUGGAUGAACCAUUUCAUAUGGUUAUUUAUGUUCUUGUAGUAAUGAGUGUUUAAUAGAAUUGAUGUACCUUUAAUUUUGUAGUACCUAUAUAUAGAGGUACCUUGGCACCUCUUGGAUGUACUUUUUGAUUAGUUGGAAUAAUAAAAAAAUCAUUCUCCAUUUCUGUACUUUUUUUUCUAAUAUUUUAAUUCCUAUUAUAGUAGUUCAUUUUUUUUUUAGUUUUACAACAUUACUCAAAGAAGAGGGUUAUUGGACUAUAUGUUUAUUGACCUCUACUAGGGAUGACAAUGGGGGCGGGUGACGGCAAUGGGGGCGGGUGACCGCGGGCACCCGUCCCGCGGGGGGCUAAUGGGGAGAGGGAUGGGGCCGGGGCGGGGGGUAGGGGAGUGUACCCCCGCCCCAUCCCCCGUCCCGCUACCCGCUUUAAAAAAAUAAAUAUAUAAAAUAUAUAUAGGUAUAUAAUUAUAUAUAUAAUAUAUAAUUUAAUUGGUUACAAACUUAUGAUAAUAAUAUUAUUAGUUAUAUGUAUUAUAUGAUGUCUAUUAGUAUAAAUAAUAUAAUUGAUAUUAUUAAUUAUACUAAUAAUUAUAUAUGUGUACUCAUACAAAUUAUUAAUUGGUUAUACUAAAUUUACUAAUACAUUUAUACUAAAUCCCUAAUUACACUUAAUACAAUAACAUUAUUUUCAUAAAAAAAACACAACCACAAUAAUGAAUUAGUGAUUGUAUUUGUACCAAAAGUGAAAAUUUGAUUACUUUAGUUAUAUUUUUUUCAUCAUGUUGGAUUGUAUUCAAAUAAUUUUUGUUUGAUUGUUUUUAUAAGUUUCAAUUGUAAAAUUGCAAUGAAUAAUAAUUUGAUGAUGUGUUGAUAUUUUAGUACUUGAUUAUUUGCUAAAAUUUAAUCAUAAUAAAAUUAUAUAACAAAUUUUUAUUAGCUCAGCGGGAGCACCCGCCGGAGAAGCGGGGCAGGGUGGGGACGGGGCGAGGGAAGCGGGGGAUGGGGGAGGGGUCCCCCGCCCCAACCCUCUUCCCCAUCUCCCGCCCCGUUGCCAUCCCUAACCUCUACUAACUUAUUUAAGGUCAUUUUAUAUCACUAUCCAAAGAAGAAUUAAGGUCAUUUUAUAUCACUAUCCAAAGAACAAUUCUUGGGCGUUAACAUUUUUCUUACAUGCCAAGACUAUUAAUGAAAGUUGACCCAAAUCUCUCUCUCUCUUUCUCUCAAUUCUUAGGACUGAUGCCAAUUCUUACCAUUUAGAAAGAAAAAUUAGAUUGUUUAUAUAUAUGAUGAGUUCCCUCUAAGUCAUGGUUAAGAAAAAUUCUUAGUUAGACGCAGUUUUAUGAAAUGUGAAUUUCCUUUUCUUUGUCUUUAUUCGUUAGUAUUAUUGGGGUUAUUGUAUUAUGAUUGCAAUGCACAGAUACAUGGAUUUUUGACAUUUUUUUCUCAUUUUUUCUUUUUAAUUGACUCUGACUAUGUCUCAAACUCGAGACAUCAAACCUGGAGAAGACUUUUGUCCAAAAUGCUUGUAAAAAUUCAGAAGAAUAAUGUUGGACCUUAUUAUUUAAUAAUGGUGCAAUUAUGAGAGUCAUUCCUGGUUUAAUUAUCAACAUCAUGUCAUUAUUAUUUUUUUGUUUCAUAGAAAAAUAAAGUAUUCUCCGACUCGACAUUAUCAUAUUAUUUUCAAUUGGCAGCUUUAAGUGAGAAAGGCCGGUGAAAAUUUUGGGCAUUACUAGUUUAUUUAGGCCUCACGCGCUCCGUGAAGGUGCCGACGUCAUCUUCGUUUUAAUGGAAAAAUUUGAGCGCGCUUUGAUCAUAAGGAAUUCACAAUCAUCGGGCCAACAAAGAAAGCACUAAAUGGUUAAAACAAACCAUGCAAAUUUGCUCAGCACUUAAACAAUAGACUCCUAAACCGACCAUUUUACUGUCUUGCCAAAAAAGGGCAUUAAAGUAAAAACAACCCAUGCCUAACACAACUAACAAACUUCAGCACCUUCACUUCACUGCCACGUCAUCAACAACAUCUGUAAAUUUCCAAGGAAGUCCACGCACUAAAGGUGCCAUGGGGGACCUCAGGUUAGUGUUCUUAACAUCAACUCCUGUCUUUAUAUUCUUAGGAAAUAUUGAAAUUAAACAUUAUAACUAAUCCUGAUUUCCUUAUGCUGUAUUUGUACACAAUUUGGCAACUUGAUAAAAAGUUUGUUCCAAUUUAUUCCAAUUUAAUUUGUCAGCUAGUCGAAUCUAAUUUGAAUAGUAUUUAACUUUGAAAUUUGAUAAAAAGUUUGUUCAAACUUGGUUUACUAAAUAAACAAGUUAAGUUUGAACAAAAUUUCAAACUUAUUAAAAUAAUUAAAUACGUUUGAAUACUAGGGUAUUCAAUUUAAUUAGACUCGUUUGCACCCAUAAUUAAAGCAUGCACUUUUUUAUAAAUUUAGGAAUCAACAUUAUCUAUUUGAUAGCUAGCUAAUGGCCCAAAAAGUUAAUUGCCUUAAAUUCUUUUAGCAGCCAUAAAGUAUAGUUGGAGGGAUUCCCUUGAAAUUGAUUAGAUUCUUCUAUGUGACUGUGACGUAUUACUAGUCCUACCCAAAAAAAAAUGGUAUUACUAGUCCUUUUUUCUUUUUGUGGCGUGCCACCGCCGUAGGGGGCGGGGAGGGCAGUCAGUGCGAGAAUUCUAGAUGGGGUAGAAGUAGCCAAAGUUCACCUUAUUCAAAGUAAACAACCGACAAUCUCAGUUGUCGACUUUCCUGUCGAUUGCGUAUAUAUUACUAUCUUUUACCAUGACUUUAGAGGAUACCUAAUUUUGCUUGCUAUUAAAUAAUAAUUCCUGGCACCACAUAAUUCUUUCAAGAACUACCAAAACCUUCUUGAAAUCCCUCUUUUUCCUUUUAGUUCAUUUCCAAGAAACAAAUUGAACCAUCAUGGCCCCUGUCACUUCCAGUUAUGAGGUCACCUCCUCAAUCCCUCCUGCAAGGUUGUUCAAGGCCACCAUCCUUGAAGAGAAGCAUCUUCACAAGAUCUUGCCACAGGGCGUUAAGAGUGUCGAAAUCCUUGAAGGAGAUGGUGGAGUUGGCACAAUUAAGUUGACCACAUUUGUUGAAGGUAAGAUAUCAAUACAAAGUGAUUAUUUUCACACAUUUGAAGUCCUCAAAAUGUUCUUUUUUUUUUUUAACAUUUUAUUUGUGGGGGUAAGUAUGUAUGUAAGCCCUAAUAACCUUUUUUUUUUUGUUGGGUUAAAUAUUUAGGUGGCGAGCUUAAGACUGCCAAACAGAGAGUUGAUGGAAUUGACAAAGAAAAAUUUACAUACAGUUAUACUGUACUUGAAGCUGAUGGAUUUAACGAUGUAAUCGAGAAAAUCUGUUGUGUCAUCAAAUUUGAACCCUCUGCUGAUGGAGGUUCAAUCUGCAAAACCACUAAUACAUACUACCCCAAAGGUGGUGCUCAGAUCAGUGAGGAACACCUCAAGGGAGGAAAAGAGAAGGGUUUGGGAAUGGUUAAGGCUGUUGAGGCUUACCUCCACGCAAAUCCUACUGCCUACAACUAAUUAAAAUGAAUGCUACUGAAGGACUCUUCGACAUAUUUUCUUCAAGAUUGAAGUAUAAACUGAGGGUGUCUGUUUCCUUUUUUGCUUGGUUUGCUUAAGCUGUUUGGUUAAGUUAUUCGCAGCAAGAGAAUAAAAUAAUUCACUUGCUGUUUUUAGAUAUGAAUUCAUGACUGUCAGUAGUCUAUAAAUACACUUAUUGCUCACCGCUCUUUGCACCGCAAAAUCUUUUCAAGAUCCAUCAAACCCUCCUGUUCUUGAUCUUUCUCCAUUUGUGAAAAAACAAAUUAAAGCAUCAUGGCCCCGAUCACUUGUAGUGCUGAGAUGACCUCCCCAAUGCCUCCUGCAAGGUUGUUCGAGGCCGCCAUCCUUGAUGACCACCUUCUUCCCAAGAUCAUGCCACAGGCUAUUAAGAGUGUGGAAAUCCUUGAAGGAGAUGGUGGAGUUUGAACCAUUAAUUUGAGCACAUUUGGUGAAGGUUAGAUGUUAUAUUAAAUGUAGAACCCCAAAUUUAAGGAUCGAAUAAUAAUCAACGCAUGUGGGGUUAUAGAAUUGAAGGGAUAAAACAAAUACUCAAAAUAUACGUGAAAGAAAAGAAAAUAAUAAAUUCAACUUACAAUAUUAUUAAAUUUUCAAACAAUGGAAAAAAUCAUACCACAAUAAAUUCAGCUGGUUCUAAUAAUAAUCAAAGCAUACAAGGUUACAGAAUUAAAAGGAUAAAACAAACGCUCAAAAUAUAUGUGGGAGAGAAGAAAAUAAUCAAUUCAACACACAAUAUUAUUGAAAUCUCAAACAAUGAAAAAAGUCACACCAUAAUAGAAAACCUUGCUUAUUCUUCUAGAUUCUUUCUCUUGAGAGACCAACCUAAAUAAUGUCCUAUUUAUAAUCUACCAAACUUGUUAAGAAAGAAACCACUUGCAUAAGAAAUUACGAAAUAAAUUAGAAAUUCCUAAAUCACACAACUACUAAAAACAUAACUCAAAUAAAACUAAAAAAUAAAUAAAUAUUUCUAGGCUUAGUUUAAUUUGUCAACAUUGCCUCCCUUAAACCAAAUUAUUCAUUGAGAUAGGUUCAACACCAUCUCGAGCAAUAAUUUCUAUGCAAAUCUAUGUUGUAGUACAUUUGACAUGAAACUCUAACUUGUUACCAGUUAUUAAUUUCAUUUUUACACGUAACAAUGGACGCACUAUAUAUUUUGUAAAAAAUUUCUCAGCAAUUUCUUCUUGAUCAAAGUACUCAUUUAUACAAACCCAUUCGUCACCAGAAUCACCAUAUUUACCACCAAUGUAAGUGCCUAAAAUUAAAAAAUCAUAGGUUGCUUUCUCGCUAAAGUUAUCAUCACCAAAUAAUUCAAAAUAACCACUACUACAAUUAUCCAAAAUUUUCAUACUGUCAGUCAACUCUUUUGGAGUAAAAUAUUUUUCAACUCCGAUGACAUCCAUAUCUAUCAAAUCAAACAUUCUCCCAUCACUUUGAAGAGAGUCCGAACCAACAAAUUUUUCAACAACAAUUUCAUGUUCUCUUCUUUUAUCAAAUCAAAAUUUUCUUCUUCUUUUGUCAAAUUACCAUAUUAUUUUUUUCAACAAAUUCAUUACUUCUAAUUUCUCCAAACAAGGUAUGCAAAUCAAAACUAUCAAUUGAUUCAAAAUUUUCGAUAUCACCCAUAUUAUGAACAAAUCUAUCAUUUUUAAAAUCCACAAACCAAUACCAACAACUAGACUUCAGUUUGAAAGCAUAAUUUCUCUCAAUCAUGUGCAAAACAUAGUAAAUAUCCUUCCAAAAUCUCUAAAGUAUUUUAGUAUGACCAAUAAAGGUUCUAUAAAUACUUUCUGCCAUUAUUUUACGCAUCACUUGAAAGAAUAAUUGUGCCUUUUUCUUAAAAACAUGUUUUGACAACUUACUUGCAUCAACCCAACAAAGAAUAUCAUCCAAAUUGCAUUGCUUGACAUAUUUUUCCACUGUUAAAAUCCAAUUAAAAUAUGUAUGUCUAUUUGUGCUUAUAGGAGUCAAUAUGAAAAAUUUUUCACCGUCAAUUAGAUCUUUAUAAUAUUCCAUUAUUUAACAAUUUCUAUACCUGAAUAAAUUUUUUUCCUCCAUCCUGUCAUGUUUUCUUGGCCUCCCUGGUUGACUAACCAAAUUAUUGUUGUAUGUAUACCCAUGCUCGUCAAACCUCAUUCGUGUACACUCGUAAGGAGUGGUUCUGAGCUUAUUGUGAAUGCUUAGUACCAAGAAGUAGAAGAGAGAAUGCAUAAGAGAGAAUUAACUUGGCUAAAGAAUUAGGAAACAAUUGAGGGAUUUUUUAAGAAAUUAAUUCUCCAACCGCCACUUUUGGAUCUUUUCUAUCUACAACUAGUUACCAAAACACUAGCACAUAGUAAGAAAUCGGGAUAAUUUCAGAAACCUCCCUUGAGGCUUUUAAUAAUCUCAAGAAGCUCCCCUCAAUAUUUUAAAAUUACACGUACCUUCCCUAUUGGAGCAAAAGUACUCUACUACCCCUAAUAGGAUACUCAAAAGACUUUUUUUAUGGGAAAAAAGAACCUCAGAAAUCCAAGCGAAAGCAAAAAAAUCAAUUUAUUUUCUCUUUUAGCCUUUAACGCUUUUGCCUUCUACCUUUGCUCACUUUCCCAUGCCAAUCUUCCUAUAACCACUUUCCCAAUCCCCUUUCCCCAACUUUUCUCCUCUACUUCAAGACUAAUUUUUGUCCAUCAAUCCUGGCUUGUGCUUUGUUCCAUUCCCUUCCCUUCUCCUUCUUUGAUUUCCCCUACAUCGCCCUUUCUCUUUGCAAAAGUGACUAGGCUCAUCUCUCUCUUUUUUCCCCUUAUUCUAAGUGUAGUGGGUUUGAUUAUUUUGCAUCUAUUUUAUUUGGUUUUGGUUGAUUAUGGGUGAUAAAACUUGGUGAUGUCAAAUAUCAAAAGUUUGAUAGAUGGAUAUUGGGCUUUAGACAAUGAUUUGCUAGAAAAAAAUGGCUGCAAUGAGAGGAAAAGGCAAGGGGAUUUGAAUGUGGGGUUGAUUGUUGAUGAAUUGUUGUUUUGGACAAAAUUUGAGGUUGAGUUUUGUCAAAUUUGGUAGCAAGUGGCGAGAUUUGUUCAGGUUUCGGGAAAUAAAUUGGAUUGUGGUUUCUUGGGCACCCACAGUUGUUGGAAUUGGUUUUGAUUCAAAUAAAGGUGGUUACUUGAUUUUCCUAAUAGUGUUGCUUAAGAGCACACGAUCAUCAAAAUUCCUUAUUUUUAUCUUUUUUUUUUUGUAGAAAAGAUUUCAUGACUUUCGUGAUAGUCUAAUUUGGAAGAAGGCAAUCAAGGGAUGCAAUCAACAUUUAGCAAAAGCUCUUGUUCUUUUCUUUCUAUUUUUUAGGGUAAAAAGGGUAGUUUAGGGUAUUUGAAGGAAAUGAUAGUCUAUUGGGUCUAUUUUGAAGCAUAAAUAGUGAACGUAAGGGAGGUUGGUGUAAUUUCUGAAACCUAAGGGGAAUUGUCUAAAUUGUCCGAGACCUCAGAGAAGGUUUUCGAAAUUAUCCCUAAGAAAUCAAAUGCGAAACUUGAUUAGUACACACACACACGACACUGCACCACGGCACGCGUGUGUUGAGAACUGAUGUCCGUAACCAACGACAAGCAGGUUUUCAAUUUUUUUUUCCUUUCCUGGAUUCUCCAGAGAUGGUGUCAGCUUCUAUUAUUGAUGAGCAGGAGGAAAUCCACAAUAUACAGUACACAUCACCCAUAUUCUUUUUAAUUGAACAAUGUAUGAAAUUAUGGUGAUUCGAAAUUAAAUUAUAUGUUUAUUGGGCAACGAAUCCAAAAUAAGAAUUGGAAAUGUAUUGUGGCAACAAUUGUUAACUUAGGCUACAAAUGAUCAAAAUAAAUAUUUAAGAUUUAAUAUGACAUUAUGGGUUCAAAAUAUAGUUACUUGUUAUGAAACAACUAAAAGUGUGGAUGUCCAUUUGUAUUCUCAAGAGGAUCAAUUCAUAAUUCAUUGCUCCCAAGAGGAUUAAUUCAUAAUUCAUUGCUACAUUAUGUGAAGGAAUUACAUUAGAUGAACGGUUUCAAUCCAUAAGAGCUAUUCAUGUAUUGGAUGAACCGUUUCACAUGGCUAUUCAUGUUCUUGUAGUAAUAAGUAUUUAAUAGAAUUGAUGUAUGUUUAAUUUUGUAGUACCUAUAUAUAGAGGUACCUUGGCACCUCUUGGCUGUCCUUUUUGAUUAAUUUGAAUAAUAAGAAAAUCAUUCUCUAUUUCUAUACUUCUUUCUCUAAUAUUUCAAUUCUUAUUAUAGUAGUUCAUUAUUUUUUUAGUUUUACAACACGUUAUCAGCACGAGUCUCUAUUUUUGAAUAAAAAACUGAAAAUGGAGCCUAUACCUUAAAAAAAGCAAAAAAUGUGAUUCUGCUGAAAUUCUGCAUGUAUUUUUCCGGCAACUUCUAUCUACUUAUUGAGAAAUGGAUGCCAAAUAUUUGGGAUUAAAUAAUGGUGAUGAUGACAUUUGUCUCAUUGAUUGUACUACUACGCACACUAUAUUGAAAAAAAAAAUUCUUGUAUGAAAAUGGGAGAGACAAAUGUUAAUACCAUAAGUGGUAGUGCAAAAUUGAUUGAAAGUUCUGGAAGAGCCACUCUAUUUCUUCCUGAAAGGACUAAAAUUGUCGUAAAUAAUGCACUACUAUCUCUCAAGUCUUGAAGAAAUUUAUUCAGUUUUAAAGAUAUCUGCGAAAAAUGGAUAUCAUAUCGGGACAAUAAAUGAGACAAAUGGAGAAUUUUUAUUAAUCACAAAUAUCAUUUCUGAGCAGAAAUACGUAGUAGAAAAAUUACCUUCUUUUUCUUCUGGCUUAUAUUAUGCACAAAUUAGUGCAAUUGAAAUUUAUCACCUAGGAGACCAGAAUUCUACUCAUCCCAAUAAUUUUAUGAUUUGGUAUGAUUGUCUCGAAAAUCCUAGAUAUAUAAUGAUGAGGCAAAUAAUUGAGAAUUCACAUGGUCACUCAUUGAAAAAUCAAAAGAUAUUAAAAGCAAAUAAAUUCUCUUGUGUUGCUUGUUCCCACGGAAAAUUAAUUAUUAGACCAUCACCAGUAAAAGUUGGGACUGAAUCCUCUACAUUUCUAGAACGAAUUCAUGAUGAUAUAUGUGGACUUGUAGAUCCACCAUGUGGACCAUUUCGAUAUUUUAUGGUGCUAAUUAAUGCAUUAACUAGAUGAUCACAUGUAUGUUUAUUAUCUACUCGCAACUUGGCGUUUGCGAGAUUGUUUGCUCAAAUAAUUAAAUUGCGAGCACAAUUUUCAAACUAUCCAAUAAAGAAAAUUCAUCUAGAUAAUGCUGGUGAAUAUUCGUCACAUGCUUUUGACGAUUAUUGCAUGUCCAUUGGAAUAACUGUUGAACAUCCUGUAACUUAUGUUCACAUUCAAAAUGGUUUAGCCGAAUCAUUUAUUAAAUGGCUAUAAUUAAUUACUAGACCAUUGUUGAUGAGAUCUAAACUUCCUUCAUUUGCUUGGGAACAUGCUAUAUUACAUGUAGCAAUACUUGUGAGAAUUAGAUCGACAAGUUAUCAUACUUAUUUUCCCCUAUAAUUAACUUUUGUUUUUGAGUCCAAUAUUUCUCAUUUACGAAUAUUUGGUUGUUCGAUUUAUGUUCUAAUUAUACCGUCCCAACAUCGUAAAUUAGACCCGCAAAGAAGAUUGGGGAUAUAUGUUGAGUAUGAAUCACCUUUAAUUAUUAAGUAUAUGGAACCAUUGACAGGUGAUUUAUUUACUGCGAGAUUUGCAGAUUGUCAUUUUGAUGAAUCACAUUUUUCGACAUUAGGGGGAGAUAAAAAUCAACCGAAAAAGAAAAUCACUUGAAAAAUAUCUUUGAAUUUCCUCGAUUCUCAUACCAAAGAAUGUGAACUAGAAGUUCAAAAGAUUAUACAUUUGCAAAAAAUUACAAAUCAAUUACCGGACGCAUUUAAUGACUCCAGAAAAGUUACUAAAUCACAUAUUCCUAUUGCAAAUGCUCCGAUUAAAUUAAUGUCUUUGAAGGACAAAUUACAAAUGUUAACGAGUCUAAAGCGUACCUAAAGCGUGGAAGACCUCUUGGUUCCAAAGAUAAAAAUUCUCGAAAGAAAAGAGGAGUAGAUGAAUCAACAAUUAGUGACAAAAUUCAACUUCCUGAAGAGGUCGCUCCUAAAGAGCCAAUUCUUGAAGAGAAUGAAAUUAUAGAAAAUUCAUUAAAUUUUGUCAUUUCAGGAAAAAGUUAGAAUCGAAAAGAAAUAAUUAUUGAUAGUAUUUUUGCAUAUAAUAUACCACUUGAUAUUAUGGUAGAGAAUAAGGAUCACGAGCCUAGAUAGGUUGAUGAAUGUCGACGUAGAAAUAAUUGGGCAAAAUGGAAAGAUGUGAUCCAAUCUGAAUUGAACUCACUGGUUAAAAGAAAAGUUUUUGGACCUGUAGUCCAAACACCUGAAGGUGUAAAGCCAGUAGGAUAUAAAUGGAUAUUUGUGAAAAAAAAAAUGAGAAAAAUGAAAUCGUGAGGUAUAAAGCAAGACUUCUAGCCCAAGAAUUUUCACAAAGGCUUGGAUUUGAUUAUGAUUACACGUAUUCACCUGUAGUGGAUGCUAUCACAUUUAGAUAUCUUGUGAGUUUUGCAGUACAUGAAAAAUCAGAUAUGCAUCUAAUGGACGUCGUUACUGCAUAUUUAUAUGAAAAUCUUGAUAAUGAUAUUUAUAUGAGAAUCCCCGAAGGAUUCAACAUGCCUGAAGCAUACAAAUCAAAUCCUAAAGAUAUUUAUUCUAUUAAAUUACAAAGAUUUUUGUAUGGGCUUAAACAAUCUGGACGUAUGUGGUACUGCCUCAAUGAAUGUUUAACUAAAGAAGGCCAUACCAAUGAUCCAAUAUAUCCAUGUGUCUUUAUCAAGAAAAAUGGAUCAAAUUUUGUGAUAAUUGUUAUAUAUGUUGAUGAUUUAAAUCUGAUUGAAACUCUUGAAGAGAUUAGUGUUGAAUAUUUGAAGAAGAAAUUUGAGAUCAAAGAUUUUGGAAAAACAAAAUUCUGCCUUAGUUUACAAAUUAAGCAUUUGAAAAGUGAAAUUUUUGUCCACUAAACUGCUUAUACCCCGGAAGGUAUUAUAGCAGUUUUAUAUGGAUAAGGCACAUACAUUAAGUACCCCAAUGGUCAGAUCAUUAGAUCCUAAUAAGGAUCCUUUUAGACUGCGAGAGGAAGAUGAAGAGAUACUUGGUCCUAAAGUACCAUAUCCCAAUACAAUUGGUGCACUAAUAUAUCUUACUAAUUGUAGAAGACCUGAUAUAUCAUUUGCAAUAAAUUUAUUAGCAAGAUUUAGUUCCUCGCCCACAAGACGACAUUAGAAUGGUAUUAAACAUAUUUUUCGUUAUCUCCAAGGAACAAUUGAUCUUGGUUUAUUUUAUUCAAAUAAAUCUAAGCUUGAAUUGCAUGAUUAUGCUAAUGCUGGAUAUUUAUCUGACCGGUAUAAAGCAAGAUCUCAGACUGGUUAUCUAUUUAUACAUGGAGGUACAGCCAUUUCUUUGCGAUCUACAAAGCAAUCGUUAGCCGCCACUUCAUCGAAUCAUGCUGAAAUAAUAGCAAUUCAUGAGGCUAGUCGAGAAUGUGUUUGGUUAAGAUCAAUGACCCACUAUAUCCGUAAGAGUUGUGGGUUAUCCUCCGAAAAAGAAAAUCCUCCAACUAUAUUAUAUGAAGAUAAUGUAGCUUAUAUAACUUAAUUGAAAGGAGAAUAUAUUAAAGGAGAUAGAACAAAACAUAUUUCACAAAAAUUCUUUUGUACUCAUGAUUUACAAAAGAAUGGUGAAAUUUAUGUGCAACAAAUCCGAUCAGAUAAUAAUUUGACAGAUUUAUUUACCAAUGCAUUGCCAACUGUAAUAUUUGAGAAAUUGAUGAAGAAUAUUGGAAUGCGACAAUUAUAAGAUCUCAAAUGAUAUUUGCAUCAGGGGAAGAAAUCAAUACACAAAAAUAGUGUACUAUUUUUCCAUCACUAGGGUUUUCGUCCCAUUGGAUUUUUUCCUAAUAAGGUUUUAAUGAGGCAUAUUCUUUAUGUAAUGGACAUCCAAUGGGGAGUGUUAUGAAACAACUAAAAGUGUGGAUGCCCAUUUGUAUUCUCAAGAAGAUCAAUUCAUAAUUCAUUGCUCCCAAGACGAUUAAUUCAUAAUUCAUUGCUACAUUAUGUAAAGGAAUUACAUUGGAUGAACGGUUUCAAUCCAUAAGAGUUAUUCAUGUAUUGGAUGAACCAUUUCAUAUGGCUAUUUAUGUUCUUGUAGUAAUGAGUGUUUAAUAGAAUUGAUGUACGUUUAAUUUUGUAGUACCUAUAUAUAGAGGUAUCUUGGCACCUCUUUAGUGUACUUUUUGAUUAGUUGGAAUAAUAAAAAAAUCAUUCUCCAUUUCUGUACUACUUUCUCUAAUAUUUCAAUUCCAAUUAUAGCAGUUCAUUUUUUUUUUUGGGUUUACAACAUUACUCAAAGAAGAGAGUUAUUGGACUAUAUGUUUAUUGACCUCUACUAACUUAUUUAAGGUCAUUUCAUAUCACUAUCCAAAGAAAAAUUCUUGGGCGUUAACAUUUUUCUUACAUGCCAAGACUAUUAAUGAAAGUUGACCCAAAUCUCUCUCUCUCUUUCUCUCAAUUCUUAGGACUGAUGCCAAUUCUUACCAUUUAGAAAGAAAAAUUAGAUUGUUUAUAUAUAUGAUGAGUUCCCUCUAAGUCAUGGUUAAGAAAAAUUCUUAGUUUUAUGAAAUGUGAAUUUCCUUUUCGUUGUCUUUAUUCAUUAGUAUUAUUGGGGUUAUUGUAUUAUGAUUGCAAUGCACAGAUACAUGGAUUUUUGACAUUUUUUUUCUCAUUUUUUCUUUUUAAUCGACUCUGACUAUGUCUCAAACUCGAGACAUCAAACCUGGACACGACUUUUGUCCAAAAUGCUUGUAAAAAAUCAGAAGAAUAAUUUUGGACCUUAUUAUUUAAUAAUGGUACGAUUAUGAGAGUCAUUCCAGGUUAAUUAUCAAACUUGUAACUUGAAAAUAAUGUCGACAUCAUGUCAUUAUUAUUUUCUAGUUUCAUAGAAAAAUGAAGUAUUCUCCAACUCGACAUUAUCAUAUUAUUCUCAAUUGGCAGCUCAUGUGAGAAAGACAAGAAAUUCACAAUCAACUGGCCAAGAGAGUGCCAACAAAGAAAGCACUAAAUGGCUUAAACAAAGCAUGCAAAUUUGCUUAGCACUUAAACAAUAGACACCUAAAUCAACCAUGUCACUGUCUUGCCAAAAAAGGGCAUUAAAGUAAAAACAACUCAUGCCUAACACAGGUAACAAACUUCAGCACCUUCACUUCACCGCCACGUCAUCAACAACAUUUGCAAAUUUCCAAGGAAGUCCACGCACUAAAGGUGCCCAUGCCCUUAGGGGACCUCAGGUUAGUGUUCUUAACAUCAACUCCUGUCUUUAUAUUCUUAGGAAAUAUUGAAAUUAAACAUUAUCACUAAUCCUGAUUUCCUUAUGCUAUAUUUGUACACAAUUUGGCAACAAGGUUGUCCUUUUUUGGGCCAAAUUGGACAAGUAAAAAAAAGAAAAUUAAAAGGUUUAUCUGCAAACUGUAGUUCGGCCUGCCUCUUUUUUUUUUUUUUUUGGGGAUAAGAUCGUCAUGUAUCAAUAUUUCUGUACUUAGCAUUGGCUUCUUCUCGCCUGAAGAACACACGAACCACCGGAUGAAAGUGGUGAAUGAAAGUGCACUUAACCCUUUUAAUUUUUCAAAACAAUGCUUUUAGAAAAAAUAAUAAAGACUUUUUUGAAUUUAAUUUUAGAGAAGAAGAAUUUUAAACUUUUUUGAAUUUAAUCUUACAGAAGAAGAAGUUUAAAAUGUACUUUAAUUUUCACAACUGAUGAUGAGAAUAGCAAAAUGUAUACGGACGGUGACAAAAGUGCCGUCUUAUCCUUUUGCUGACGGCCCGUUUUCCAAUGAGAGGAUGCCUCUGCUUCGUAUUUUAUCCAUAUUGAUAUAUAUUCUUUUCUGUCCCCCUAACUAUUAAAUGUGAAAGGUUGCCCACCAAAUUUGACGAAACCGUUUAUCCUAAUUGAUUAUUAUCCAUAGGGCAUAACUUUAAUAUUCUUCUUCCAACCCGUCCGUCAAUGACCACUAACCACCUCUAAUCUAUUCUCAAAUUUUAAUGAAAUUGCGCAAUUAGUUUUCAUUUCUCACUUUUAUUUCAAAUUUGGUCUCAAUUUAAUGUGAAUCCCAAUAAAUAAGACCGGAGUUGAAAUCAAAGAACGUAUUUCAAUCACCAUCGGAUAAAUUCUUCAUGUCUAGUUUUGUCCUUGAGAUGCAUAGAAAAUGUAAGCUGAUCUUGCAGUCUACGAGAAAAACGAAGUCUAAGAGAAUAAUUUUGUCAAAACUUGACAAUGGAAUGAACCGGUGGUCGCUGGUUGGCAGCUGCUAGAAGUCAUAGCAGUUUUAAAACAUAAUUGCAGCAAGUAAAAGAUUAAAACUACGUUGUGUACUGUUAACGACUUACAUUGACAAAAUGGUUAAGGACAGAGUUGAAAGAUGAAUCAAACUGUUCGACAUUCGAUUCGAAUUUGACUUGGUAAAAACUUAUUCCAAUUUGAUUUGUCAGCUAGUCAAAUCUAAUUUAAAUAGUAUUUAACUUUGAAACUUGAUAAAAAGUUUGUUCAAACUCAGUUUACUAAAUAAACAAGUCAAAUUUGAACAAAAUUUCAAACUCAUUAAAAUAAUUAAAUACGUUUGAAUACUAGGAUAUUCGAUUUAAUUAAAUGCGAUUGCACCCCUAAUUAAAGCAUGUACUUUUUUUAUAAAUUUAGGAAUCAACAUUAUACAUUUAAUAGCUAGCUAGAGGGUCAAAAAGUUAAUUGCCUUAAAAUUCUUUUAGCAGCCAUAAAGUAUAGUUGGAGGGAUUCCCUUGAAAUUGAUUAGAUUCUUCUAUGUGACUAAAGAAUUUCGGGUGUGACGUAUUACUAGUCCUACCCUAAAAAAAAUGGUAUUACUAGUCCUUUUUUUCUUUUUUAGCGUGCCCCCGCCGUGGAGUGUGGGGAGGGUGGUCUGUGCGAGAAUUCUAGAUGGGGUACAAGGUGCCAAAGUUCACCUUAUUCAAAGUAAACAACCUUCCAUCUCAGAUGUUGAAUUUCCUGGCAAUUGCGUAUAUAUUACAAUCUUUUACCAUGACUUUAGAGGACAGCUAAAUUUGCUUGCUAUUAAAUAAUAUUUUCGGUAGUCUAUAAAUACUCUUGGUCCUAACUGCUUCUUGCACCACAUAAUUCUUUCAAGAACUACCAAAACCUUCUUGAAAUCCCUCUUUUUCCUUUUAGUUCAUUUCCAAGAAACAAAUUGAACCAUCAUGGCCCCUGUCACUUCCAGUUAUGAGGUCACCUGCUCAAUCCCUCCUGCAAGGUUGUUCAAGGCCACCAUCCUUGAAGAGAAGCAUCUUCACAAGAUCUUGCCACAGGGCGUUAAGAGUGUCGAAAUCCUUGAAGGAGAUGGUGGAGUUGGCACAAUUAAGUUGACCACAUUUGUUGAAGGUAAGAUAUCAAUACAAAGUGAUUAUGUUCACAAAUUUGAAGUCUUCAAAUUGCUCACUUUUUUUUUCUUUUAUUUGGGAAAAGCUAAUGACUUUUUUUUUUUUUUUUGGUUGGGUUAAAUAUUUAGGUGGCGAGCUUAAGACUGCCAAACAGAAAGUUGAUGGAAUUGACAAAGAAAAAUUUACAUACAGUUAUACUGUACUUGAAGCUGAUGGAUUUAACGAUGUAAUCGAGAAAAUCUGUUGUGUCAUCAAAUUUGAACCCUCUGCUGAUGGAGGUUCAAUCUGCAAAACCACUAAUACAUACUACCCCAAAGGUGGUGCUCAGAUCAGUGAGGAACACGUCAAGGGAGGAAAAGAGAAGGGUUUGGGAAUGGUUAAGGCUGUUGAGGCUUACCUCCACGCAAAUCCUACUGCCUACAACUAAUUAUAAUGAAUGCUACUGAAGGACUCUUCGACAUAUUUUCUUCAAGAUUGAAGUAUAAACUGAGGGUGUCUGUUUC
rnacentral:lncRNA from 1 species